CCGUUCUUCACCCUACUUACCGCUUUUCGUCUGACAAUGGAUUGCUGCUGGUCGACUUCGUCGGUUUGUACUGUAAAUCCAAACCUACUACCAGGCGGAGGCUUCCCCUCUCCCUCAAUACUCAGACUAUGCGCCGCUUUUCAACCUCCGCCGCCAAUAAUUCUGUUAGGGCCGUUCUUGAUCAUCUUCCAACUACUACUACUACUACUACUACUACUACUACUACUACUACUACUUCCGUUUAUUCUGCGUCUGAUCAUCGAUCAUCCGCUCCUCAAUCUAAGGUGGAGUUUUACACUCUCAAUCAAUCAUAUACUUCUACUAUUUAACGUUUAAACUCAAACCUUUGGUUUUGACUUUUUUUUUUCACUACAAUGGCUCAUUUGUUUAUUUACAUAAAAAACAGAAAGCGACUACUGCCGUGAACCAAAAGCCCCCUUCAUUAAUUCAAAUUUAAAACAUGUUUUUGACCUCUUCUUAAAAAAGAUGAUUGUAUUAUCAUACGAGUUGGUAGCUGAUUUUUUUUUUCUUGAAAGUAAAGUUAGCAGAAAAGAAACAAUUAAAACUGUUCAUUGUUAAUGAGAAGUUAAAUCAAAUUAAAUAAAAUUUGGAUUCUGGAAGCUAGAAAUUUUGUUUUAAACAUAUCAAUUUUUUAGUUUUUCAUAUAAUAGCAUGUAUUUUUGUUGUCUGAAGUCCACGUAAUUUCACAGAUUAAGCAACACAAUUUUUGGUGUAAUAAACAUAUGAUGCUUACUGAAUGUUUAAAAUUGGAGCCCUUUCUUAAAGCUCAAGUUUCAGUAGUUACAAUGACCAAAGCUUAUUUGAAUUGAAACUUGAGUAAUAGUUUUUCUUUUCAUUUUUUUUUGUAUGAAUUGAUUAAUAAGAUUGGUUUUGAAAUACGCCACCUUGCUGCCUUGAUUCCUCGGGCACUAAAUUUGGAGUCAUAUGCUGUAUUAAGAUGAUAAAUGGUCGUGAAUAUUUUAUAUGAUAUUCUAGUGAAAGAAGUUUUUGGAAAUUUAUUUGAAGUUACUGACGGAAGGUCUGCUAUGAAUUAUUGCAUUUGCAUGCCUUUUUCUUGUUGCUCUUGCUUCUGGGGCUACUUCUUGCUUCCCCUUGUUCUUCAGAUGAUUUUAUACAGAGUUAUGAAGUUGUCUGGGACAGGAUAUCCAAUGAUUGCCAGUGUGUCCCUUCUUGCUUUUGAUGUUAGAUUAAUGGCUUGCCUUGUAAGAAAGUAACUAUUUUGAUACUUCUUUGAGAGGUCUUAUCUUUACACAUUGAAUUAUGGGAAAGAAAUGGUUAGCAAACUAGAAUCAUAUAUGGCUUCAUAAAUCACAAAUCUGUACUCAUCGGCAAUAUACACCCAAAAAGCAAAAAAGAAAAGCUUGAGGGAGUGCCUGCUGCAAUUACGAAUUCAGGUUAUAUAUUAUACUUGAAUGAUGACUGCAAUUACGAAUUCAUGGACUAAAAGUAAUUAAAAUUGUACAUGUCUAAUACCUUAUUAUCUCAACUUCCUGUGGUAGUCGCAUGCAUAGCAGUAGCAUAGUCUGCAAUUCCUCAGAAUUUGAUGGUGAGCAAGGAUUCCGACCCCCUUGUUUAUUUGAGAAACUAAGUUCUAUGUCACAUUCUUGCUUUUCAGAAUUUAGUAGAGAGUGCAUUUUUCAUGAUCAGUUGGUCUCCUUGUAGUGGCAGACAUGCUAUUUUGCCUUUUAGCUAGAAGGUCAUGGUUCUAGGCUUGUCUUUAUUGCUUUCUUCUUUUCUUUUUGUCAAGAAUUUACUAGUUUUUGUUAAGUUUAGAGUUACUGCUGAUAGCAACUUGGUGACAGAAUUAGGAGUGCAAGGUUUGCAGAGCAUGGAGCUCUAUUAGAAUUAGGAUGCAGUAAGUUCUUUGUUUCUAGUGAUACAAAUUUGGUUUUACUUAUUUUCUAUUUAGAAAAUCUUCUCUGACUUUCUCAAGGUUUAUUUCUUGUAGCAUUCUACUGUGCCUUAGAUGACAAUAUGAUAAAUCGAUAACCUUUAAUGUGUCCUAUCGAAGAUUUUCUUCAUCUUUCAUUGUUCAAUAUGAUUCCCAAAUGUUCAUUGGCUGAAACAUCGAUAAAGCUUGCUAUACCAUAAGAGGAGUAUCUGACUAUUAACAGCUUAUGUUGGUGUAGCCCAUACUUUUCUGUGUCAUAGGUGAAGUGACUCAUCUUUUUGAGUACAUAGGGAGCAUGUUAAGUUCGGUUACCUUAUGUAUAAUCAAGGUAUGAAGGCCAAAGAGUGAUGUUGCUAUCAUAGAGUUGUUAUCUUCUCCCCUUAUUACUGCUUGAAGAAAUACAUGAUCCCUGGCAUUUGAAAAUUUAUUUUUUCAUAACCCCUUUUACUUGGUGUUGGUUUCUGUAUCUUUUCUCCUGGUUCUACUUCAAGAUGGUAUGGAAAACAUUUUUAUUUUCUAGGAUCCAGUGGGGAUAAUUGAAGUAGGAAUGCACUUGACUUAUAGAACAGCAAUAUGUUAUCUUUCAUUGAAAAUUGUUGCCAUAAUUUUCAUUUCUUUAUACUUUCUUCAUCUUUGUGACCAUUAUUGAGUUGUUUCAUGUGUUCACUGUUCUCUUCUUAUGAUCUGAAUUUUAUAUAGGUUGCAAAUUUAGAGGAUAUAAUAUCAGAAAGAGGUGCUUGUGGAGUUGGAUUCAUUGCCAAUUUGGAAAAUAAAGCAUCGCAUGGAAUUGUUCAGGAUGCCCUUACAGCUCUUGGUUGCAUGGAGCAUCGUGGGGGUUGUGGAGCAGAUAAUGAUUCUGGUGAUGGUUCAGGAUUGAUGACCUCAAUCCCUUGGGAUCUGUUUGACAGCUGGGCUGCAAAUCAAGGGAUGGCAACCUUUGAUAAGAUGCACACAGGUGUUGGGAUGGUUUUUCUUCCCAAAGAAGAUAGCCAUAUAGAAGAAGCCAAAAAAGGUAAUUAUUUACUUUAAUUACAUCAACUGUUUGAUUUACUAUUCUUCCUAAAGUUGGGGCACAUGUAUGAAUGAAUUGUAUUGAUGCUUUAAUUUUGUAUAUUAUUCAGGUAUGAGUGAAGCUUUUGUUCUUUCAUGUAGUUGUAGAACAUCAUGAUUGGGAUUUGGUUCUGAUAAAUAAGGAUUAAAGAUAUGAGUGAGAGUUUGCUGUAUUCAAAGGGUUUUGCUGGUUUGGAUUUGUCUAGAGUUUUGACUGUGUAGGGUUUCAAAUAGAAAUUAAAGGAGAUAUUUAAGAAGGGAAGAAGAAACUAGUUUUGAUGCUGUGGGUUCUGGUUUUUUUGAUGUGAGCAUUAACUUUAAAAUAUUCCUAGUCACUUUGGAAAUACGCAGAGGUAGAGAUUGGAAAAAUACUAAUUUAUCCUAACUAGACUGACAAAGAAUUGUUAAAUUUAUUAGCUUUAGGAAUUAAACCCAGUUAAGUACCAUAAUAGCCAAUAUAAGACAACCAUGAUUGAGGUCUGUACCAGCAUAACUUAAAAUGAUGAAUAUUCCCCCGUAUAGUGACAUGAUUGAAUGGAGAAAUUAAUGCACCAAUGAUCAAUUUAAAACCAUAGAAACUUUCUCUUGGACCAAAAGGACAUGCUAUUGAAGAGCCCUUGACUUGUCCCCUUCACUUCCAAAGAGGAUUUAUAUGAGCAAACUUUUGAUGCACCACUAAUGUGGAAUUCAAACACAAUACUUCCUUUGAGAGCCCAUUUGAACAUUUGUGAAACUUGUAUUUCAGUAAUAGUUGAAUUUUGAAAUUUAAUUGUUGUGAUUCAUUUUUUCUUUCUAUCAUUGUAUUUAUUUUGGAACUAAGAUAAGGAAUUAGUACUCGACUAAAGAUGAAACCAAUGAAAUGGAAGCAGAACUAAAUUCUGUUAAUAUUUGUUAUCCAAAGGUUUAGGAGAUAUAAUCUCAUUUUGAUUUUCUUUCACUUUCUUCAUAUGCCAAUUCUUAUUUAAAUUUGAAGUAAAGAGCAUACUUGUUUCCUGACCCAUAUUAUUCUAUAAGCUAUUGUUUUGGCCUUGGGCAGAUAAAGUAGUCAUAGGUCAGUUUAAUUAUAUAUAAGGAUUCAGUUCCAAAUUGAUUAAACAUCUUUGAAGGGACUUUCUAAUGCAGUUUAAUCACUUAGUAGCUUUUCUGGAACUCACAUCUCCUUAUUAUUACCACUAGUUUUAUGGCUUUUCUUAGCUUUCGUCACAUAUAAAGAGUGUUAAUCAUGUGGAAAUAAAUUUUCUCAUUUCUGUACAAUAUAUUCUCAUUUCUGUUUCAUUGUGAUCUAGUCUGUCUUUUACAUGUCUAUUCUUGUGUUUGACUAAUUCUUAUUGCUUAUGUAGUUAUUGUAAAUACUUUUAGACAAGAGGGUCUUGAGGUGCUUGGAUGGAGGUCUGUUCCUGUAAAUACAUCAGUGGUUGGCUUUUAUGCAAAAGAAACCAUGCCCAACAUACAGCAGAUAUUUGUUAGAGUUGUCAAGGAAGAGAAUGUUGAUGACAUUGAACGGGAACUAUAUAUCUGCCGGAAAUUGAUUGAAAGAGCAGCAGCCUCAGAGACUUGGGGAAGUGAGCUUUAUUUCUGUUCUUUGUCCAAUCAAACCAUUGUUUACAAGGGCAUGCUUCGUUCAGAAGUUCUUGGGUUAUUUUAUUCUGACCUUCAGAAUGAUCUUUAUAAGUCUCCAUUGGCCAUUUAUCACCGAAGGUAUAGCACAAAUACUAGUCCUAGAUGGCCUCUUGCUCAACCAAUGAGGUUUCUUGGUCAUAAUGGAGAGAUCAAUACUGUACAGGUUAGUUUCGCUGUAAAUUUCAAGUUUGUCUAAUAAUAUUAUUUCCAUUAUGACAAAUAUGAUUAAUGAGCCAUGUUUGUUCUCUCUGUCCUGCUCUGAACCUUAUGCAGGGGAACUUGAAUUGGAUGCAGUCUCGUGAAACCUCAUUGAAGUCCCCUGUUUGGCGUGGUAGGGAAAAUGAAAUUCGCCCUUUUGGUAACCCAAAGGCAUCUGACUCGGCAAAUCUUGAUAGUGCAGCUGAAGUAUGGGCUUUAAACUUAAUUAAUGUUUUAGUAUACUGUUGAAAUUAUACUAGAUCAUGAUUGGUUAUUGAUCAUUCUAUAAUUCAUGUGCUAAUUAAGUGUUUCACUAGAGUGUGUAAUAUGUAUCUGGUUCUAUGUAUUUGUAUUAAGAUGAACAUUUGAGGUGGAAUACUAUUGUUUAUAAUGCCUGGGGCUAAAUCUAAACUCUAGUUUGUGUACUUCAUUCCUCAACAAACAAAAGAUAAGUUUUAUUUCCAUAGAGGAUGCAAGUUGCUAAGGGCCUGCAUGUGUCCAAAUAAAUAAAUAGAAUUUCCUUUGUUUGAACCUAAUAGGUUGUAGUAGUGUAAUCUGAUUCUUAGUUUGAUUUCUGACACAAGCUGGUAAUUUCUUUUAAUGAAGGUGGUAUUUGCAGAUUGGAAAUAAUAGCACAUAACAAUUGUCCAUCAGCUAAAUUGUACUGAUAGAAUAUUAUUAUUAUUUCCUUGUUUGUGUUUGGGCUGUAUUGGAGAUUCAAGACUCUGUGCAUCUUUGUGGAGGGAGUAGGUUCUUGUGUGCUAAUGUUAAAAGGCUAGAAUUGAUCCCUCAAUAGUAAGCUUUUGAUCAAGCCAGAUCUGUACUUGACCUAAAACCAUUCUAGACAGUUUUGAUUUCGUACAGUGCUUAUGCUCUCAAUGUAUGUGGUUAAUGUGGAGAAAUUAUCUUUUUAGUUUGAUGUUAUAGAAUGUCUUGCUGUUUGCAUUUUAGAAAAGGCCUUUUCAGUGUGAUAUAGAAUCAUGGCCUUGGCAGAGUUGCAAACUAGGUUCUAUGUUGGCUUUCAUUUCAGCCUUGGUUGUUCGGUACGCAAACCUUUUCAUUCAAUCACUGUUUACUAUGCUGGAAUUUUGGUGGUCUGGAAGUUUUUUAUAGGGAGAGUUUAGAUGAUGUUCAUAACAGAACUAAUUUUACAUUGCUUCAUGUGUAGUAACUGUUUGCUAUUGGUGUUAUAUCUACAUAUUCAUUGGGACGUGUCAAGAGUAUGUUUCUGCAGUUGAGUGAUGAGAAACCCUUGACAAAACCAUGUUUACUCAAUGCUUAUAUUCACUUUCAUGCAUGAGCUGUUGGAGAAAUUUAAAUGAUUCUCUUUAUUGUGUCCAGUUACUGAUACGAAGUGGCCGUAAUCCUGAUGAAACUCUCAUGAUUCUUGUCCCAGAGGCAUACAAGAAUCAUCCAACAUUGUUAGCUAAGUAUCCUGAGGUAUUUGUCUCAAGACUAUGCUGGUUAUUCAAGUUGCUUAUAAAUUCUGCUACAGGGAGCAAUGUUGUUAUUCUUCACUAAACAAAUUUUUGUUUAGUAUAAUGAAUUCUCUGAGUUUUAACUAGGUUAUUUCAGUUCCAGGUUACUUUUUUAGCUUAAUUAAAUCAGAUAGAUGAUCAAGUCUAUAUAAUUCGUUUUGGUUAAUUUGAUGAUUCCUCUUUAUUUUACAACUCUUAAUUGUGCCCCAACCAUAUUCAGUACUGUUUCACUCUCUUUUUCCUUGAGAUGCCUUUGCAGUCGUGUUUUUGAUAGUGUUUUGUUUGGUGUUUUAACGCGUGUCUCUAGUUAUCUUAUUUCUAAUUACUAGUGAAUUUUUUGUGAAUUUAAUUAUCUUUCACAUGGACGGUACUAAAUUAAUUGUUUCUCCUUAGGUUGUAGACUUCUAUGACUAUUACAAGGGUCAGAUGGAAGCUUGGGAUGGACCUGCCUUACUUCUAUUUAGGUAAUGCUUUCAGGGCUCAUCUACCCUUUUUGUGGGCUUCUAGUUUUAUUGCCCAUGUCUUCUCAUAAUGAUAGUGACUGCCAGUCUUUUAAAUUAACGAAAACAAGCAAAACAGUUUGGUCUCGUGUCAGUAGCAUAUGUUAUAAAAUGCAUGAUUUUGGUGAAAAGGCACGAAUAAGUACAUACAUGCAUGCUUGUCUGUGUAUGCUCACAUUUAUGCAUAUGUAUUUUGUCGCAGCAUUUCUAUUGAUUAGAUUUGAUAGCUAGUGGAUCAGGAAUGGUGUAAUCCUUUGAUAAAUGAAUGAUAUAUUUUGAGUAUGCUUAUUGAGUGAUCACUAUGGAUGUCCUUUUCUAUUUUAAUUGGAAAAGUGAAUACCUCCGGCUUUAAAGACUAGUAAAUUUGACCUAUGUAUUAAAGAUAGUUGUUAACACUUCUGAUAUUAUGGUCUAGUACGUUAAGUGGAUCUGCUGUCGAUGUUGAUCAGUAAUGCACUUCUCUUUUUUAUGUCUAUCCUGUAGAAUCACUGAAUGAUAUGAUAAAUAAAUAGGAACUAGUGUUCCUAAUUUAUGGUCAAGAAAGAAAUGUGUUUUAGAUGACAUCAUGUUGUUAAAUUCAACAGUACAAUUAGCUAAGUAUUGUUGUGCUAAACCUUUGGCACACAAAUCCUUGUACAUUGUUUUGUUACUUUUUUGCAGUUUUGUCUCACCAUUUUCGCCCAGUAUUAUUCCAUUUUCUAAUACUUCCUAGUUUAAUUUGUGCGGUUCAGUGAUGGCAAAACUGUCGGGGCAUGUCUUGAUCGGAAUGGACUUCGCCCUGCUAGGUAUUGGAGGACAAUUGACAAUGUCGUAUAUGUUGCAUCUGAGGUGUGUUUUGAUCCCUUAAUGACUGCAAUUCCUUAUCAAUGAUAAUAGUUAGAAUCCUACUCUGUCCAACUGCAGUUUCAAAUAUUUGAAAUGUAGAAGAUUAGAGUGUACUUUUGUUUUUUGGUUGAAUAGAAGAUUAGACUUUUCUUAAGAAUAGGAAACUUGCUGAUUAAUCUUUGUUUUGAUUACUGCAAUGCCAUUGGGAUUCAAAAUGAAUUCUCUCUUCAUUAAAUUAAUCUAUCUUAGGUCAGUCUACAAAUAAAAGGUUGUUGCACUGGAAAUAGCAUUAAAGGAUGAAUUUUCUCUCAUUAUAAGCAGGCACAUUACUGUAUGUGAUAGAAGUGUAAAUAUUGAAAGACACAAGUCCAAUAUGAUGAGGUUAAUUUAUUUUUGUUCUCAUUUUUUAUGAAUUAGCCUGCUUUGAUAAGUUGUGUUGAAAAGAAGCCACUUUGCUUACAGAUACAUAAGAGCAAACCUUGCAGGUUUAUCAUAUCCAACUUUAAGCCAUUUUAGAUGUCCAAUAAACACAGCUUUCAUUAUGUUUUCCUUGUCCACGUAGAAAUGGCUGAUGGUAUCUUUUUAUGUACUUAAAAAAUGGACAUGUAUAUAAUUAACAUCCUAUGUUUUCUUGGUGUUUCAUGCAUUUUGCUUGUGGUCUUGGUUCACUGCAUAAGAAUAAUGGCCAAUGUUUAUUCUUUUAUUAGGUUGGUGUUCUACCGGUGGAUGAUUCAAAAGUUAUUAUGAAGGGCCGUUUAGGUCCCGGAAUGAUGAUAACUGCUGAUUUAUUAAGUGGUCAGGUUUGUAUAGCAAUUUAUUGUGGUUUGAUGUUGUGUAUGUCCAACUUCUGCAUUGAAAGUGUGUUCAUAAUGAUUACUGAUGAUUGGUUUCUUAACUAUUAGCUACUUAAAAAAAAAAUCUUUUGGUCGGUUUAUUUCGGGAUAUACUUAUAUAUCUUUUAAAAUCAACCUUUAUGCAUACUGGCCAUUUGAUAUGUUUUUCUAUCUACAAUUUCUUUUCGAGAUGUUCUUUAGUUUUCUUACCAAAAUAUUUGUAAAUGCUCAAAUACUAAGGGGUUAUUUGGUAUUUGCAUCCUUUAAAAAAAACUUUUUUUCUUUUUUUAAGCAUAAAACAUGUUUGGUUUGUAAUUCUCUAACGCUUUCAAACAGAUACUUAUAUUCUUUAAAGAUAAUAAUUCAAUAUGAAAAAUAAAAUUUGAAAAAAUUAUAUGACAAUGGCACUUAUGUUAUUGUUUAUUAAGUAAAUUAUCUUAAUAUUAAGCAUAUUAUUCGAUACAUUUGUAGUAAUAUUUUAAUGACAAACUUAAUUUAUCACAUAGUAAAAUUUAAAAUUGUUAAUAUUUAAUAAAUUGUAUAAUAUUUUUAUAACAUAUCUAAUAUUAGAAAAUAAUGUUACUUCAUAUUAAAAUUAAUUUAAUAUUAUUAAUAUUUAAUAUAACCUAAACUGAUAUGUUUCUAAAUAAUGUUAUAUAAUAUUAAUUUAAUUAAUAAUAUUAAGUUAUUUAAUUAUAUUGGAUGAUUAUAAAGUUAUCUUAUAUUAAGUAGUAGUUCUUGAUACUAUUUUUCAUUAAUACCAUAUGGAGAUAUCAUCUAAAUUAUAUGUACUGUAAUAUCACAGUGUUAAAGUAUUUCCUGUGAUUAUUUCUUUUCAAUAUGCUUAUAGUUUACCUUUUUAAUUUUGAGGCAUUUAAUUUUAGUUAUAUAUUUUAAAUAUAUUAUUAUUUUAUUUAUAUUUAAUUUAAUAAAUUUUGUUUACAAAUUAAUUAAUUUCAUUUAUAAUUUUUAUUUUGAAUAUGUUAAUACAUUCAUGUGAAAGUGCUAGAAGCAAAAACAUUAUCUUUGGAAACAAUGAAAGCAAGAAAUUCUAGCUCCUAAGAAUCUGGGAGUAAUCUUUUCUUUCUAUCCGGAAAGGAAAACUGGUUGCCAAACAUGUUUUCUGUUAUCAUUUUCAAAAUAAUUGAACAAAAACAGAAAAUAAAAUACAAAAACAGUGCCAAACGACACAUGGGUAAUUUUCCCAUUAUUCUUCAAGCUUACUUGCAUCUUAAAACUUUGAUUUAUAGGUAUACGAGAAUACUGAGGUCAAGAAGCGAGUUGCUGCAAUAAAUGCGUAUGGAAAAUGGGUUAGUGAAAACAUGAGACCCUUGAAACCAGUAAAUUUUCUCUCCACAACACUUUUGGACAGUGAAACGAUCUUAAGACGCCAACAGUAAGUAUUCAACUUCCAUAGGAUACUUUGAGAGUUGUUCAUGGUGGUGUUCUGAUGAAUGCAAAUGAGACUGAUUUUAUUUCCUUUAAUGCUCUUAGCCCUUUAACAGCUAUAGCUGCUGAUGUUUUUGUGAGAGCUAUAUUUAGAUUUGUUUGAUUCUUGAUUGAUAUAUCUUAGGUGGUCAGUGGUGAUUUAUCUUAUGAUUUGGAACACUGCUUCUACAAUUUUGCAUGCUAAAAUGAGUUAUAUUCUUGUUAGCUAAGAGCAAGCCCGCAUGUAAGGAAAUAUCACUCUAAAAGGGAUACUUUUUCCUGCUGAUUGGAGUUUGUUUAUUGAGAUGUAAAAUUUUAAAUGUUUCUUUCAAAAAUAAUUAAAUAGACAUGGAUUUGAUGUUGUAUAGAAAAGCCUAUGGUGUCUAUUUAGUAAUAUGUUCUUCUUAAUCACUCCACCAUGGUGGAUAGGUUGGUACCUCACGCGUUUGCUUUGCACCCUUAUCUUUUCAAGAAAAUUACAUUAAUUUAAUAGCAUAGUGGUUUUGAGAUUUUUACCAAGACAGGGAGUAGAAAAACUAAUUUGGAUUUUUGCAUUUGCAUUGUUAAGUGGUUAUAUUUCUUUGUUGAGAAACCUUCAAAUACCUUCAACAUCUUUGCAAGUAAUAGAGAAGCUUUGGAAAAUGUUGUCUAUAUUGCUUCUAAAUAAUAUAGGUAUUUUACACAAAUAAAAUCUAUAUACAAGGAAAUGACUAAUUGCAAUUAAUCCUAUUUGAUUCUUUCAAGUCUCUAUAAUUACGUUAACAUAACUAACACACUCCUUCAAGCUGACACAACUAACACUCACACCAGAGCAUAGAUGUUAAUCAUGCCUAGCUUGUCACGUAGAUAGUCAACUCGAUUUCCAUUUACUGCAUUAAGUUCGUUCUCUUAUCAUCAUGUAGCCAGUGGAAAUUAAAUUAUCCAAAAUCUUCUCAUGAAUGAAAUGACAAUAAACUUUUCUAGCCCAAUUUCAGUUUAAAGAGUACAUAUCCACAUGAUCUCACGGAUGGAAUGUGCCACAACAAUGUUUGGUCUUUCAUUAUUUUUUCUUAUUUGUAUCUGAAGCAAAUAUUUCACCUUACUAGUUGUUGUGAUAACUGUGGUGUCUUGCAUAAUUAUAUCAUGAUUCUAGGAUUAAUUAGCAUAACAUUAGGCAUAUCAUAUCUUUGACUUACCUUAUUAGUGUAUCUAGUUUAUUAUUAUAUGAACAAAUUUAGGAAGAAGAAUAAUUCUUAUUUCUUCUAAUCUGAAUACAGCCUUUUAAAGAAUAGCAGGAAAAAUAAAAAGGAAAUAAUCUCUAGAAAUUAGUCUAUCCCUAAAAAUUAGUAAUUUGAUUGUGGCUAAUAGUACAAGGAAAUUCCUAGAACUAAGGUAGAAAAUUUGCUUAAUUUAAGGAAUUCCAACACUCCUCCUCAAGCUGGAGUGUAGAUGUUAAUCAAACCCAGCUUGCCCAUAAUUUCUUCGAACAUUUUUCUGCUCAAGCUUUUGGUUAACACGUCUGCUACUUGUUGUCUUGUAGGUAGAUAUGAAACACAAACUUCCCCUUUGUUAAUUUUCUCCGUAAUAAAGUGGAGAUCAAUUUCCACAUGCUUGGUACGGUCAUGGUGUACAGUGUUAUGUGUUAUGCUAACUGCUGCCUGGUUGUCACAGUAUAAUGUUAUAGGUUUUGUAUAGGAUAAUUUUAGUUCUCCCAUUAGCCGUUGUAACCACAUUCCUUCAUAUAUACCGUGGGACAAAGCUCGAUAUUUAGAUUCAGCACUGCUGCGUGCCACAACAGAUUGCUUUUUACUCCUCCAUGUUACGAGAUUACCCCAAACAUAGCUGUAGUAACCGCUUGUGGAGCGCCUGUCAUUAACUGCCCCUGCCCAGUCUGCAUCAGUGUAGACUUCUAUUCUUCGAUUUACAUCUUUCUUGAAAUGCAACCCCUUACCAGGAGUCCCUUUUAAGUAUCUCAAUAUCUUGUAGGCAGCUUCCAAAUGUUUCUCCCUAGGAGCAUGCAUAAAUUGACUUAUAACACUUACUCCAAAAGCUAUGUCUGGAUGAGUGUGAGAAAGAUAGAUAAGUUUUCCCACUAACCGUUGAUAUCUCCCCCUGUCUACCUCUUCUCCAUCCUUAUCAGUUCCUAAUUUAAGGUUGGGUUCCAUAGGAGUCUCGGUUGGUUUGCAACCCAACAGCCCGACUUCAGAAAGUAGAUCAAGAACACACUUUCUUUGAGAGAUUGAAAUACCUGCCUUUGACCUUGCUAUCUCCAUUCCUAGAAAAUAUCAAAGAUUCCCCAAGUCUUUAAGUUUAAACUCAAGACUUAAGAACUCUUUUAGUCUUUCAAUUUCAAUAGAAUCAGCCCCUGUCAAUAUUAUGUCAUCUACAUAGACAAUGAGAAUACAGCACUUCCCAUUAUCCGAGUGUUUGUAGAAUAAGGUGUGAUCAGCUUGACCUUGAGUAUAAUGUCUACUAGUCAUGGCUUUGGCAAAACGAUUAAACCAAGCCCUAGGGGAUUGCUUUAGUCCAUACAAGGACUUCUUCAACUUGCAUACUUGGCUGCUUCCUUCGAAUCCAGGCGGAAAAUCCAUGUAGACUUCUUCGUUUAAUUCUUCAUUGAGAAAAGCGUUCUUUACAUCCAAUUGGAUCAAAGGCCAUUCUAAGUUGACAGCAAUUGAGAGAAGCACUCGAAUAGUAUUCAAUUUGGCCAUUGGUGCAAAUGUUUCGUCAUAGUCCAACACAUAUGUUUGAGUGAAACCCCUGGCCACAAGUCUAGCCUUGUAUCGAUCAAUGCUCCCAUCUGGUUUAAAUUUUGUGGUGAAAAUCCACUUACAACCCACGGUCUUCUUCCUAGUAGGUAGUUUAGAUAUUUCCCAAGUUCCAUUGUCUUAAAGAGCCUUUAUUUCUUCCAACACAGCUUGCCUCCAUUUGGUUGACUUAAGAGCCUCUUCUAUGUUUUUUGGAGUUUCUACAGAGUCAACAUUAGAAACAAAGGCAUUGUAGGAUAUAGACAAGUUUCCAUAGGAUACAAACCGAGAAAUGGGAUGUUGAGUGCAGCUCAUAGUGCCCUUUCUUACUGCAAUUGGAAGAUAGAUGGAAGAUGAAGGAGGUGAAACUUCUUCCUCAGGACAGUCCUCGGGUAAAGAUGGCAUUGGCACUGCUGUUUCUGUCUCAGGCAGCUGAUGUCUCCGAGAGUAUACACGAAGCCCCUGAGUUUUUCCUUGUUGUUUUUCAGAAUGAGUGGGCUGUUUUUCUUCAUUAGUAUGGUUAAUCACCCUUGUUUCUUGUUGCUGAACAGUGGAGAUAGGAAAAACAGGUUCCAAAACAGGAAUAACAGUGGCUGUAGGAUUUUCUGCAGGUUUUGUAGUGGUGGUAGGGCUGAUAAAGUCUUGAGGUAUAAUGAGAAGAUUGCUCAAGGUCUCAUCUUCACUAAGUAUCUCCCUCUGAAGAUGAGAGGCUGAAAAAUAUGGCUCGUUUUCGAAGAAAGUAACAUCAAGGGACACAAACAUCCGGUGUAAGGUUGGAGAAUAGCACUUGUACCCUUUUUGUGUAGGUGAGUAACCAAUAAAGACACAAGUGUGGGCUCUAAGAUCAAGUUUAGAUUGGUUAGGUUGAUGGUUGUGGACAAAUGCUUUGCAACCAAAUGUUUUGGUUGGGAGAUUAGGAACACGAAACAAGGGAAAAAAUUUUUGAGGAGUAUGUAAAGGUGUUUGAAAGUUUAAUACCUUUGAUGGGAGUCGGUUUAUAAGAUAACAGGCAGUGAGGACAGCUUCUCCCCAUAAAUACUUUGGUACACCUAUAGUAAACAUAAGGGCACGAGCCACGACUACAAGGUGUCUAUUUUUCCUCUCGGAAACCCCGUUUUGUUGAGGGGUGUCAGGACAAGAACUUUGAUGUAUGAUUCCUUGCUCAGAAAGAUAAGGACUUAGGAUAGAAUUAAAGUACUCUCUCCCAUUAUCAGUUCUAAGGGUGUGAAUAUUUGAAUUGAACUGGGCUCGAAUCAUUGAAUGAAAAUUUUGGAAGACUCUACAGACUUCGGAUUUUUCUUUAAGGAGAUAGACCCAACAAACUCUAGUGUGGUCAUCAAUGAAAGUUAUGAACCACCUAGCCCCUGUGAUGUUUUUUACUCGACUGGCUCCCCAUAGAUCACUGUGGAUUAAAGAGAAAGGUUGAGAUUGAACAUAAGGUUUCAAAGGAUAAGGGACACGAGUGUGUUUAGACAGUUGGCAAACUUCACAGUUCAAUGAACUUUUUUUCUUAUUUAGAAAUAGUAGAGGAAACAGUUUCUUCAAGUACAUGAAAUUCGGGUGUCCUAGUCUACGGUGCCAUAGCAUGAUAGAAUCUUCUUUUGAUGUAGAUAAGGCCAUCCCUUCUUGUGAACUGUUUUUGUUCCAAACAUAUAAGCCAUCAUCAACUUUAGCAGUGCCAAUCAUCUUUCCCGAUUCCUGUUCCUGAACCACACAACUGAAAGCAGAAAAUUCAGCAAGUACUUUUUCAUCCUUGGUAAGCUUGCUAAUUGAGAGUAAAUUACAGGAAAGAUUUGGAACAUGUAAAACUUUAUCAAGGGAAAAAUUUUCAGUAAGUCUAACUGUCCCCAUUCCAGCCACCGGUGAGUAAGAUCCAUCAGCUAUGCGAAUCUGAGAGUGAUCAUGACAAGGUAAAUAGGUGUGAAACAAACUUAGAUUACCUGUCCUGUGGUCGGAUGCACCCGAGUCUAGUAUCCAGGAAGUUGUGAUAGGUUCGUGUGUAGUAUUUAAAGCAGUACCUUGAAUAGCUAGUGACCCACUGGCUGUAGGAGUCCCGAGUAGUUUAUGAAGAGCCUCAAGUUAAGUUUUGGUUAGCCGAACAUCUUGAGCAUCUUCUUCAAUAGUAGAUAUCAUUGCUGCCUUGUUUUCUUUCUAUUUUUUUUUCAGGAUAGCCAUGGAGUUUGAAGCAUUUCUCCUUGGUAUGCCCAACCCGGUUACAGUGGCUACACCAUGGCCUAUUUGAAUCAGAAUCAAUUCCAUCUUUGAACUUUUGAGAUUGUGGGCCUCUUGAAAUAAGAGCAGAGUUCUCGGAAGGACGAUGACCAGCUAUGGUCAAUGGUUUUAGUUCUCUUGUGUCUCCCAACAUGAUAAGAUGCCGUUUCUCUUCCCUCCUUACUUCAGCAAAUGCUUCUCCUAUGGUUGGUAGUGUGGUUCUGCCUAGUAUUCGUCCUCGGACUUCAUCAAGAUCACGAUUUAGUCCUGCUAGGAACUCAUAGAGACGCUCUUUGUUAAGAUGAUCCAUGAACUUGGUGUGUUCCGAGCUCUCGCCCCAAUCAGCUUCAUAAUACAUGUCUAACUCCUGCCAUAAGAUCUUUAGGCUGUUGUAAUAUUGGGUGACUUCAAGUGUUCCUUGUCGAAUAUCUUUCAACUUUAAUUUGAUCUCGAAUACUUGGGAAGCAUUUCCAAGAUUCGAGUAAUUCUCCUUGAGUGCAUCCCAUAUUUCUUUGGCAGUUUUUAAAAAAAGAUAUGUUCGGCUUAUAUGACCUUCCAUCGAAUUUAUAUUCCAGGCCAUAACCAUUGAGUUGUUAAGCUCCCAAGUUGCAUAACUAGAGUCUGUUGAUGCUGGUCGAGGAAUUUGUCCAUUAAUGUACCCAAAUUUUCCUCAACCACGAAGAACCAUAAGGACAGAUUGUGACCAUUGCAGGAAAUUUUUUCCAUCUAAUCGAUGAUUUGUGAUUAUAAAAGAAGAGUUAAGGUCAUCUUGUGGGAGUCCUUGACUGUGAUUUUGAGUUAUUUGUGAGAUUUCAGUCUCAGAGGAAUUUUCGGUGUCACCCAUGGGAGUAGGGUUUCUAACAGAGAAAACAGAACAAGAAAAGAGAAGAAAGAGCAGGAUCAACUGGAUUCCUGAUGCUCUUGAUACCAUGAACAAGUUUAGGAAGAAGAAUAAUUCUUAUUUCUUCUAAUCUGAAUACAGCCUUUUAAAGAAUAACAGGAAAAAUAAAAAGGAAAUAAUCUCUAGAAAUUAGCCUAUUCCUAAAAAUUAGUAAUUUGAUUAUGGCUAAUAGUACAAGGAAAUUCCUAGAACUAAGGUAGAAAAUCUGCUUAAUUUAAGGAAUUCCAACAUUAUAAAUAGGCUAUGUAACCUAAUGUAAAUUGACAAGUAAUAUUUUCACACAAGUCUUUUCCCUAUUUCUCUCUUCUUUUUUUCUCCUUAUUUUUUUCUUUCUUUUUCACGGCUGUUACAACCAACAGUAGAGCUGCAAUAGCAGCUCUUUUCUUUCUUCUUUCUCUUUCUUUCUCUCUUUUCUUCACUCGAUUUAACAUGGUAUCAGAGCCAAGGGAGUCUCACUACCCCUCUCACUGAAAUACCUAUCUUCCAUCGACCUUCCAGUCGAAAUCCGGUCACUGGAAUCCACGUGUGAGCCACAUGUGCCACCCUAAUAUUUUCUCCCCUUUCAUGCGCCGGCAUGUGAGCACGCAUGAGACCACCUCAGGCCACUGUUCGGCGCCGCGAGUCUUCCCUAAAGGUAAACACUCCUCUCCUAACCAUAUUGGUGUUAUCACCUAUCCGUUUCCACUAGUUCAGAAAUUUUCUUCGAUAUGGAUUCUCUCAAAUCUUUAUUCUCUUGCCUAGUUCCCCUGCAAUUACCACUCUUAAACUUCAAGGUAGCAAUAACUAUGUGUCAUGAGCAGCUUUGGUUGAACUUUGGUAUAUGGGACAGGGUUUCAAGGAUCACUUGGAUAAAGAAACAAGUCAGGUUGAUGAAAAGAAUAAAGAAACUUGGGUGAAAGUCGAUGCUCAAUUGUGAAGUCUUUUAUGGCAUUCUCUUGAGCCAAAGCUACACACUUCGUUUCAAUCUUGCAAAGCAUGUUACAAAGUGUGGGGUAAGGCCAAAAAUCUAUACACUAAUGAUAUUUUAACGAAUAUAUAAGAUUGUCUCAGGUCUUGUUAAUCUCCAGCUGAAUCAACAGGAUAUGUCAGGCUAUUUAGGUCAGAUUGAAACUUUAAAGGAUGAGUUCAAUGUUCUUAUGCCCUUUUCUGAGGUGUUACUGAUCAAGAGAAGCAGCAAGACAAUUUUUUUAUGGUGUUGGCUUUAAUAGGGUUGCGAACAGACUUAGCUUCAAUUUGAGAUCAAGUCCUUGCUAGCCCAACCAUUCCCACCCUUGAGGAUGUGAUGGCUUGGUUACUUCGAAUCUCCUCAAACCCAAACCAGGUUGACGGAGAAUUUUCUAUGCUCACAAUAUAGGAAACUGGUCAGCAAGGAGAUAAUUGAAAAGGAAAAGGCAGAGGAUCUCAGCUUCAUUGUACAUAUUGUGAUAAAAGUGGCCAUAUUUGUGAUAAAUAUUGUGGCAAGAUCUAGUGCAGAAGCUGAAUAUUGGGCUAUGACUCUAGUUAUUUGUGAGCUAAUUUGGUUAAUACAAUUACUUUAAGAGUUGAAACAAGAAACUGUUAGCCCAAUGAAGUUAAUAUGUGAUAACCAUGCGGCACUGCAUAUUGCCUCAAAUCUAGUGUUUCAUGAAAGAGCAAAGCACAUAGAGAUUGAUUGUCAUUUGUGAGGCAAAAGAUUGACUCUGGGUGGAUUACUACUAGCUUUGUUCAUUCAAAUGACCAGUUAGCAGAUGUUUUUAACUAAAGCACUUAGAAAGCCUCGCAUCGUAUACAUAUAUAUAUAUGUAUAUAUAUAUAACAAGCUAGGAGCUUAUGGUUUGUAUGCUCCAGCUUGAGGGUGAGUGCUAUGAUAGCUGUGAUAUCUUGCAUAAUUAUGUCAUGAUUCUAGGAUUAAUUAGCAUAACACUAGGCAUAUCAUAUCAUAUCAUAUCUUAGACUUUCCUUAUUUGUGUAUCUAGUUUUUUAUUAUAAAUAGGCUAUGUAACCUAAUCUAAAUUGACAAGUUAUAUUUUCACACUAGUCUUUUCCCUAUUUCUCUCUUCUUUUCUUCUCCUUAAUUUUUUCUUUCUUUUUCACGUCUGUUACAGCCAACAGUAGAGCUGCAACAGCAGCUGUUCUCUUCUUCCUCUGUCUUCUUCACUUGAUUUCACACUAGUUAGUAUCAUUUAAAUAUUACGCAUAUUACAUAAGUUUUUUUAUAUGCAUUUUACAUAUAUAUAUAUGUAUGCGCCUUUUUUUACUUGAGGGAGCGCUUUGUUUGCACCUUGCGCCUCAGGCUAUAUAGAGGUCUUAGCCCUUCAGUGCACUUGGCACUUUUGUCAGCAUUGUUUAUUUGUUCUUGGUACAUUUGUUAUUGAGUUUGAUUUCGUGAUUGAAAUAUCUUGGUUUCUAGCGCCCAUAAAUUAGUCUAUGAUAAAAAAUGCAAAUUCUAACGAUUUGAAUUGUUCUAUUUUUCUUUUUGUAAUGUGAUGUAUUAGGGCUUUUGGUUAUUCAAGUGAGGAUGUUCAAAUGAUUAUUGAGACUAUGGCUGCACAAGGAAAGGAGCCAACAUUUUGCAUGGGUGAUGACAUUCCAUUGGCUAUAUUGUCUCAAAAGGCACACAUGCUUUAUGAUUAUUUCAAGCAGCGUUUUGCACAGGUUUGUUAGAAUUUUGAUCUUAUUACUAUGCUGUGAAGAGAUCCUACAAUAUGGCAUUUUAAGUGUUUGAUUUUGUUAUAUGCUUGAUUACCUCUAUACCAAAGUUGGUUUUACUUGGUCUCCCUUUUCUCCUUUUUGGACAAUCCUUGUUUUUUGCUUCAUCUUUAUCUUAAGAUGCCAAAGGAAUAUUAGGAAUAUUUGCGCUACAUGAUUGAGAUUUAGUUUGAUUAAACAUAAAAUGUUAGAAGAUUAUGCACUAAUUCUUGAGAAACUCUAAGCUAUUAUUUAUGCUCAAGAUAAUUAGGUUGUUUGCACUGAGGUUGAACAAAAUCACAUUCAACAGUCGCACAACGAUAAAGUAGACAUUGCAUGUGUUUAUGGAUCAUGAGAAACCUUUGUUGCCUCCAAUCCUCCCAAGAAAAAAAAUCUUUGUUGGCUUGAAUGCUGUCGUCAAUUUUCUUCUUUAACUUGAUUACUAGAGUGAGGACUAGGAAUGUACAAGUUUAAAAAACUUCCAAGGAAGUUGGAAACUGCCACUAAAAGCAUAUGCUUUGUCAUAUUAUGGGGUUUCAUUUAUUUAUUUAUUUUAUUGGGAGGAGGAUGGGUUUGACAAAAACACUGCAUUAUCUUUAUGCAAACCUUUAGAGUUUCAUGCUAUUGGUUCUUACGAACAUGAAAACUGGUAAAACACCUUUGGCAUCAACUUUAAUCUAGUAAUUUAAUUUGUUACUAUUCCAUGUCAUAGUUUAAAGUUUAUUUUAUGUAUCUAAUGUUUUGAAUUCAUUUUCUUUAUUAAUUGUUGUCAGAUUUCAGUUUCCUAAUUAAGGAAUAUUUGAGUGUAUCAAAUAGGAUUCUGUAAAUAUUUUAUCCCUAACUUUAAGGCUGUUUUUAGGUACAGCAUCCCUAGAAUUAGUCUGUUUCCUAGUGUAAAGUUUCCUAAGUUAGGCUCACUAUGUGUAUAAAUAUUUAUGUAAUUUCUUGUGAAAAAUAUAAUUGAAAUAGCCUGUUUUUAACAAUUGUUUAUAUGCAGGUCACAAAUCCGGCCAUUGACCCUCUUCGGGAAGGAUUAGUUAUGUCUCUUGAAGUCAAUAUUGGAAAACGAGGAAAUAUAUUGGAAGUUGGACCUGAAAAUGCUUCUCAGGUUUGUAUAUUUCCUAAAUAUAUAUUUGAUGCCAUCUCAUGGUUGCUUUCAAAUUGGAAAUCAAUUAAACUUUUAACCAUUUUCCCACUAUCAAAAUGAAUUGUCAUUGGAACCAGGUCACCUUGUCUAGUCCUGUACUGAAUGAAGGGGAGCUUGAGUCAUUGCUUAAGGAUCCCCAGCUAAAGGCCCAAGUCUUGCCUACAUUUUUUGAUAUACGUAAAGGGAUUGAAGGAUCAUUGGACAAGACACUUUACAAACUAUGCGAAGCUGCUGAUGAAGCUGUUCGUAAUGGUUCCCAACUGCUUGUGCUCUCUGACCGUGCUGAUGAGUUGGUAUGAACCUUUUUAUACUUGCACAAAAGCUUACGAAUUAGUAAAACGUCUUCACUUUCAGAACUAGUUUAGCUAUGAUUUGAGUAUGUAAUCAUCAAAGGCUACUGUUUCAUAUACUUUCAUCUCUGAUUAUAAUAGAAUUUUCUGUCUCUUGAUUGUUGCAUCAAGAAGUGUACUUUGAAAUCCCUUUCUGUGGUUAGUAUAUGAGAAAGACUUUGAUGUAGUUUUGUUACCUUAAUCUUAUUGAACUGUCUUGCCCAGAUUCAUUAAAUAUGUAACAUUCUGUGCUGUCUAAAAUUUGGUGAGCAUACACUAGUAUCGCAUAAUGGGAGGGAUAAGAAUAUGCAUCUUUAUUUAAUCAUUUAAAGUGGCUGUGUAGACAUAUUCACUUGUUAAUUUUGAACAUAAUUGUUAUUUCUAGGAGUCUUGAUAGACUUGGUUAUUUGGUUAUUGUAUCCCUGUUUCUAUUUUUUUUUGUCUAUAUAUAUUUCGAGAACCAAGAAUAUUUUUACCUUUUAACUUACUAGUAUCUCACUUUUCGAGGAGUGGCUUCUUCUCUUUUGAUCUUAUAUAUCUUUGGCGGAACUUCAUUCUGGAUGUUUUCAUUUUUCUGUGUCACUCUAGGAAGCAACUCGGCCUGCAAUUCCAAUACUUCUAGCUGUUGCUGCUGUUCAUCAACAUCUUAUUCAAAAUGGUCUAAGGAUGUCAGCUUCCAUAGUUGCUGAUACUGCUCAGUGCUUUAGUACGCAUCAAUUUGCCUGUUUAAUUGGAUACGGGGCAAGGUGAGUUCUCUUUCUAUUGGAUGUAACCUUAUGUUAACAUAGAUACUUAAAGCGAAAUGAAGAGUUAGAGCAACAUAGAAGUAAACUGUGCUUAAUAUUCCUCAAGAUUUAAGUAUAUGAGAUUACCAGAUGGUUUAAUAGUAUCAUGUAGGGGCAUGUCUUUAAGUCAAGCCCGUUUUAUAAAAAUUGCUUGGAAAACGAGAAAUUUGCUUUCCUUGAAUGAACAAUCCAUGAUAAAAGUUUCUACCAUGGUUUUCUAUAGUAGCAUAAGUUCAGAUUCUCAUGAAUGAGAGCCUGGGAAUGAUGUCCUUUGGUACUCGCGGUUUGUGCAAAAGAGAUGACUGUGAACCCUUGUAAAUGAUUUUAAUUGUUCUCUUUUAUUUGGUUUCUACAAGAUGAUGACUUAAAUUGUUUUUUUUCAACGUGUGAAUGGUUGAUUACUUUUAUUAUUAUUGUUAUUGGUACUAUUAUUAUUUUUGGUACUUCCCUAAUAAUUUAUGCCAUGCAAUUUGUUUGCUUCCCUAGGAUUUUCAAAUUAUGAUUGUGCCUCUUUUAGUUAUAGCAUAUUAUUGUUGUCUCCUGAAUCUAAAGAACACACAUGUUUAGAAUUACAGUAGAAGAUCGUCAUUAGGGAAAUGGUUGUAGUUUACACAUCCACAACUGAAUAUUUCUAUUUAUGUUUGUAUACUUGUGCACAUGUUUUAAACAAAGAUUUAUGCUUUUUGAUUUAAGUUAUGGCUAAUGUUUUAGGCAAGUGAUUUUCUUUAUGGAAAGUAUAAAAAAAAAGUUCAUGGUGUAUUUACCACAUAAGCCCUUACAUGGUAAAGUAAGAGUACAAUUGAUUAACCUACUACAUGGUGAAAAAUAAAAUUUUCCCAUUUUGUUUCUUUUUACUAGUUUCAAGAUGGGUGCGUAAUUUGUAAAUUAAUAUUUUCUGCAUCUCUUAAUUGAAGCUUUGUACUCAUUAAAGAUCUCAUUAGUAUGAAGUUUAUGAUUUAUGGUCUGAAGAUAAGUCGUUGAUAACUUUUAUUUGGCAUGUGAGCAAUAAUUAGGUGGUUUAUUCCAUUUUCAUGUAUUUUAUUUUUGUUCAUCUAGUUCUUAUGAUUCUGUUGUUUGGUUCGUAAAACCUAUUUUUGUCUUCAAAUCUUGAAACUGCUUCACUUUUUUUUGCUAAUUUCAUUUUUGCAGUGCUGUAUGUCCGUACUUGGCAUUGGAAACUUGUCGGCAGUGGCGUUUGAGUUCUAAAACUGUGAAUUUGAUGCGGAAUGGAAAAAUGCCUACUGUGACAAUCGAGCAAGCGCAAACAAACUUUUGCAAGGUCAGUAUAUAUCAAAUGAUGAAAGCUUUUUGGGAUAUUUUAUCGUCUUUGUCAUAUAUGAAUUUCUUUUAUCUUCAUUUACUUCAGGAAUUGUUAUGUUUUAUAUCCUUGUUACUGAUUUUCUUAAGUUUGCUUGUAUUGUGAUAGAAAGUGGUGAUAUUUUGGUAAGAAAACAAUUACUAUCAUUUCUACAAAGCACUACUAUAGAUUGGUCACAUAAUACUAGUCUAAACAGGCCACCGUUUCCCCCACAUAACUGGCUAGUCGAGUUUCUUAUAGUUUGUGUAUAUGCUAAUUAUUUGUCAUGAUCUAGGCAAUCAAAGCUGGUCUCCUCAAAAUUCUUUCUAAGAUGGGCAUCUCAUUACUUUCAAGGUAUGUGUUCUGAAUAAAAAAUGGGUUUGAAUGAUUUAAUAUAGAUGUAUGUGUUAAACUUAAUUUACUUUUGUUGUUCUCUAUUUAGUUAUUGUGGUGCGCAAAUAUUUGAGAUUUAUGGAUUGGGGAAGGAAAUAGUGGAUCUUGCAUUUUCUGGGAGUGUGUCAAAGAUUGGUGGAUUAACUUUUGAUGAGGUUAGAAAUACAACUUGCUCUUGAAGUUUAAUAGUAUCCUGGUAUCAGAAAAUGUGUGUUUGUUCUUGUGAAGCAAUAUUUUUUUAUCAUUCUUUUUUCGAACUUAUUUUUGAGACAAUGAUAUGAUAGACCAAUUCAAUUUUGUGUUUUGGUUUUAUAUUGAUCAUUUUUUUUUUCUCAUGCAUAAUGAACUUGACAGGGCAUGGCGCAUACUGGUUUUAUUCUGUUCUGUCAAGGCUUUAGACUAAUUCUAUUGACCAUUGGCAUUAAUUUCUAGAUAUGUAUUUAUCCUUUAAUGUCUCAACUUUAAAACUAGUGUUCUGCCUUUGCAAGACUGACAACCAGGUCAGUAUCAAAUGAUAUUAUUUCUUCCAGAGGACUCCCACAGUAACCUUUCCUUCAUUUACCAGAAAAGGAAACCUGCCAAUGUUGAAUUUUGACUUGUGAUUCAUGGAUGUCUGGUGCUGAUUAAAUGGAUAUUUAAGGAUGCAUUUUUAUCGAUUUUACUAUUUUUGUAUGAACUCUCCUGGCAUUUUAUAUUAGUUUUGUCAUUUGUUCUUAUUUGCCAAGUACUAGGGUUUAGGGAGUAGCCUACUUGUUUUUACUGUCCAUUUUUUCCCCCAGUUCUAGGUUAUCUUUUUAUUGAGACUAUUUUGAGACUUUGGGAUUUUGAAAUGUCCCUUGGCCUUGACAUGCUCUCCAAAAUUUGAGUUUCUAGUCUACUUUUUAUCCUUUUCCCUCUACCCUACCUCAGGUGACUUAAUUUGAUUAAGCCCUUGCAUUCUUAGGUCAUUUAUUCUUAAUAUUUUGAUUAGGGUGUUAUUAUGCUGUUUACUUCUGUGUCCUUUGAUUUUGUUUUCUAUGAUUCUUAUUUUCUACAGUUAGCGAGGGAGACAUUGUCUUUUUGGGUGAAGGCUUUCUCUGAAGAUACAGCUAAAAGAUUGGAAAAUUUUGGAUUUAUACAAUUCAGAUCUGGAGGUAUCCCUUAUUCUCAAAAUGUUUGUGCAUUUAUGUGCUGUCAAGGGAAAUACAUGAUUUUAUUUAUAAUUUGGUAUCUCUUCUAUUUUGAUAAUAAGAUACUUUAUCUGGAAAUGAUUGAACAAUGUGCUGGAUUUCAGUUGUAACUCAUGCAGAUUAGCUAGGAGGAGGUAAUAUCAUCGAUGAAAGUACCUGUUAGGUCCCUCUAUUAUAAGAACUGGUUCAAAUCAAUCUCUUUACUAUUAAAUAGAUCAAUUUAGUCGUUAUUCUAGCAAAUAGAAUCAAAUAAGGCUAAGUUUUAAUAGAGUUAACAUUUAAUAUCUAAAAAAUAGCAUGAAAUUUUUUUUCUUUUCAUUUGUAGUUUGCAAGAAACAUAAAAGCUUUAAAAAUCUUAACUCUAUUAAACAAUAAGUGAGAUUUUUUAAACAGUAAAUAUUAACUCUAUCAAAAUUUGGCCUUAUUUGAUUCUUUUGACUAGUAUGUGGACUAAACUGAUUAUUUAGUACUAUAGGCACUAAUUUGAACGAGUUCCUAUAAUGGAGGGACCUGCCAGGUAUUCUCACCUAACAUCAUCUUAGCCUAAUUUUAGUCACAUCAAUUAUUCCUGAUUUAAUAAUAUUCUCAAGCGCAAUGGUAUAUUGAGUAUAUUCAAUUUCACCUUUUUUUGUUUGUAUCUUAAUUAUUAUUUAAUUGUUAAAGGGGAGUAUCAUGCAAACAACCCUGAGAUGUCAAAACUACUUCAUAAAGCUGUCCGUGAGAAGAGUGAAAUUGCAUUUUCAAUUUAUCAGCAGCACUUGGCCAGUCGUCCAGUCAAUGUUAGUCAAUACAUAUGAUAUCCCUUCUUUCUGGUUUCAAUGCGAUGCUUAUAGAAUUACAUGAUCUGUUCCUAUUAUUUUAAAUGCAGGUUCUCCGUGAUCUUCUUGAAUUCAAAAGUAAUCGUGCACCAAUUCCUGUUGGGAAAGUUGAACCCGCCUUAUCCAUUGUUCAAAGAUUUUGCACUGGUGGAAUGUCACUUGGAGCUAUUUCAAGGGAAACUCAUGAGGCAAUAGCCAUUGCUAUGAACAGAUUGGGUGGAAAGUCUAAUUCAGGAGAAGGUGGUGAGGUAAUACAGGACUGGAGAUAUAUCUUCGUUGUUGUCUUUCAUAUUUCUUUUGAGCAAUAUAUAUACAUACAUACAUACAUACAUUGUGUGUGUUUGUGUGUUAAUGUUACUCCUUUGGUCAGUAACUCAUUGCCCCUGUCAGUUCAAAAGAAAGGUCACUGCCAUGUGUAAAUUCAUGGGAAGUGCCUAUUCUAUCUACUGUUCUAUUAGGUUCUCAUUUUAAAAGUGAAUUAUAGACCAGAAUAAUCUUCAAACUUAUGCACAAUAAUCUUGAUGUGUCUGUUUGCUUAGCCGAGGAGCUAUAGGGCAUUGAUAGGUUUGGUUCUUGUCUUCCUAUCUGUAGGAGAAUGGCGCUUUUUUUCUCACCUCCCUUAACCCACCAAACAUAAGGAAAUAAAUUGAAGGAUCUAAUUGUUUAUGUUUACUUUCUCCAAGGAUCCAAUUCGCUGGAGGCCACUUACUGAUGUUGUUGAUGGGUAUUCUCCCACACUGCCACAUCUCAAAGGUCUUCAAAAUGGUGAUACUGCUACGAGUGCCAUUAAACAGGUUAUGCAACGGAACAUUGCUUAGAAAAAGUUUCAUAUGAUUCUGUCAUAUGUCAUGUUGACCUCAUGAGGUUUUCUUUAGGGCACAGAUCUUUGAAACAAUGCAUCUGUUGUUAUCUGCACCACGUGAAUGUUAUACAUUUGCAUUGAUUUAUGCUUUUGCGCCAUAACUGUGUAGCGCUUAGCUAUUUUUGGUUUCAAAUGUGACUUCUCUUAGCUAUCUUGUUAUUUUUUCUGUCACAAAAAAUGCAACUAGGAAUUUCUUUUAGAAAUUUAUUGUAAGAAGUUAAAAGUACAUUUAAAAAAAAAAAAAAAAAACCCAAUACAAUGAUUUCAAUACUUGAAUCUCCUUAUGUUUGGGCCCAUUUUUUGGUAAAGUUUCAAUACUUCUCAAUCUUUUGUUUUUUAAAGAAAAAUAAUUAAAUAACAAUAUGGAGGCAAUCUGUCUUUUUUGGCACCAGAUUCUAAAGUCAAGACUGGCAUAAACAUUUAGCUUUUUAUUGGAUGGAAAGAACAUGGAUAAACCUGACGGUCCUUAUCUGCUAGGAGCAGUCUGUGCUUUUGAUAGGGAGCAGUGUAUGCCUUUGAUACAUAUCGAGCAGUCAUGUAAAUUGUUCCUUUUAUUCUCAUGAUACACUAUUUCUUCAGGUUGCUUCUGGUCGAUUUGGUGUUACUCCAACAUUCUUGGCCAAUGCUGAUCAAUUGGAAAUCAAAAUUGCACAAGGUGCAAAGCCAGGUGAAGGAGGUCAGUUGCCAGGAAAAAAAGUUAGUGCAUAUAUUGCAAAGUUAAGAAAUUCUAAACCAGGUGUUCCACUUAUAUCUCCACCUCCGCACCAUGACAUUUAUUCUAUUGAAGAUCUUGCACAAUUGAUCUUUGACCUACAUCAGGUAAUUGGUUGCUUCAUGUUUAAUCUAGAUUUGAUUUAUGCAUAUAGUACUGCACCAUAACAGAUUCAGUGAACUUUAAAGACAUUUAUCUAGUUUAACCAUGAACACUGUUCAACCAACUUGCUUUUGUGGCAUGAAAUAGGUUUUCAACAUCUUCUAGUCUGUUUUCCAGCCUAAUUGAAUUCGAGGAAUGCUUCUAGAAACUCAAAAUCAGUUAGUAGAUUAAUACAGGAUCAUUGGCCAGUGAAAUUCAAAAAGGGUUGUUGAUUUAUCCAAACCGAUUUUAAGUUCCAAAAUUUUUCCUGGUGCCUUUGUUGCCUUGAAAACCAAUUUUUUAAAUGUUGAAAAUCGGUUUCAAUGUAACAAAAGAAGGUUGAAGUAAUGGUUGCUUGUCCUAAAUUGCAAUGGUUGUGAUGUGAGGGCUAAUUGUACAUGUUUUUAGUUCAGCUACCAAAUUAUCGUUCUAAUCUGUUUAGCCUUACUAAAAGCAGUAUCCUUGGAGUGCUGAUAAGAAUACUAUCUUAUAUCUACCAAAUAUUUAGGUCAACCCUAAGGCUAAGGUAUCUGUAAAGCUAGUGGCAGAAGCUGGAAUCGGAACAGUUGCUUCUGGUGUUGCAAAGGCUAAUGCUGAUAUCAUACAGGUGAAUUAUCCUAAUUUAUUACCAGUAUCCUGAGCUCUUAGCUGUGUCAUGUUCCUUCUGUACUAUUUCUAUGCCCUUGAAUAUUAUUAUUAUUAUUAUUAUUUCUGGUUUCUUCAAUUGCAUAACACUAAUCAAUCUUUUUCUCAAGACGGUGUAUCUACAUAAGUUGUGCCUUUGCAAUGUGCUUAGAGUUGUUUAUGCAUUUUUCUGCUGUUAAAAGUAUUCUCGUGUUUAACCCAGGCAUCACUAGUGAAAUUGUUUCCUAAUGAUUAUAUAUUCUUACUAGUAAUUUUCAAGAUUAACAACUAGUGAUGAAUAAAGUAAGUGCAGCGGAGAAAGUAAUGUUAAAGCACAAUGAUUAACUUUUCUAGAGGAAGCUAUCUGCAGCAAAGAAGAGCAUAAAAGUCGUUAUAUCACUUGAAAGACUUCCCAGAACCAGAAAAAUUAUGACUGCAAAACCUUAAUAUGAGGAAAAAGUUAACAUAAAAGAAAAAAAGAAAAAAGAAGAAGAUUUUCACAGACAUCUAAGAGAAAGCCCCAACAUUAUGUGUAAAACCACUAUAACCUUAUUACAAUGAAUAUAACAAAGCAUUGGUACACACUAGAGAAACAUCAUAAAAUUUCAUUAAAAAGUAUAUAAACAAAUAGGGAAUUGAAAGAGGGAAAAUAAAUCUAAAAUACCUAUAAUUUGUGAAGCUGAUUUUUUCUCAGCACCUGCAAAAUAUGCAAAAGAACACCAUCAAUAUUGUUUUCCCUUAAAUAAAGCUAGAUCUUGUAUUUGAAGCUCCUUCUAAAUUUUAAACAAAAAAAGAAGAAGAAGAAAUAAAUAGAUAAAUAAGGAAAUUCAUACAUGAAUGAAAUCCGAGCUGUCAAGGUGUCCGCCUGUAUAUUGCACCUUACCGUGAAAUAACAAAGGUGCCUUAGACCCUUUUAGGUCAAAUGCAUCUGAUAAGCAACGUGCUUGGUGUGCCCUGGUGUGUUUUUUGUAAGGCGAUAGGCAUAAAAGGCCCACCUGAUUGAUGUUCUGUUUAAUUUUUUUUUUACCUUAUUCAUUAGAUGUGCCUUUACUAGUAAGAAAGGGGUAAUAUCAGCUAUCUACACAUCUGAUGCAUUCUUGCUACCUUUGUGUCGUCUCUUCACUUCUCUAAGCUCCUUCUCACUUUGCACUUACGAAAUUAAAAAGUUAUCUAAUUUUAUCAUGGAAAAAAUAAAUCAAACCAAGUAAAAACUACUAGAAAAUUAGUAAUCUGAAUUAAAACUUCAUAGACUUAGCUAACUUUAAUGUAAAAAUGUGACUGAAUUGUCUAACUUGAAUGUAAAAAUGAGGCUGAAUAAGUUUAACGUAAAAAUUACAUUUCAUGCAGGCCUUUUAAUUGAAUAAAAGAAAUUAAAUGCAAUGUUUUGGAAGCACACUAAACAUAUUGUGCUGGUGAUUUAAGCUCUAUGAUUCAGGUUGAUUUUGGAAUAAGAAAUGAAUGCUGAAGUGUUUGUUUUGUUUUGUUUUUAAAUUUAAUUUUUUAUCCAACUGGAUAGUUUAGAACUUGAUGUAAUUGUUAAAAGGAUAAGAGAAAACAUUUGAAGUAGAGUUUUGUGGUAAACAGACCAUAGAGGACCACAAUUCUUAAAGUUCUAGCUGAAAGUGGUGAUAUUCACAGUCUAUACUAAGUUUAGUACCCAUGAUCACAAAUUUUGGUUUGAUUUGUAUCUCUUUUAAAUUCUCAAUCCUACAAAGCUCAUUAAUACAAACUUUCUGCCUACAAAACUUUUAUAGUAGAGUUAAAUAGACAAUUAAAAGAAAUGUAAAUGUAAGUUUCAAGACUCACUAGUUUGUUGGUCUAAGCGGUUCAGCUCCUUUCCUAGUUUUUCAUCUGCUUCUUUGAAGUUUCCACGUUAAAGUGGCAUGCUGAAGAAGAUUAAACUUUUGGCAUAUUUAUUAUCUGUCACAAAGUGCCUCUUCUGAAGUUGAUUGCAUCAAGAUAAGUUAUUUUAAGUUGAUCAUGAAUCUCAAAAGUUUCUUCACAGCCAAACUGACAAAUUCUUGCACUAAUGGACUUUCGGCAUUUUUAUCUGGUGGAACCAGUGGUGCUAGCAACUCAAGCUGUCUUCCUUGCAAGGCUGAUAUAUGCCUUGGAUAUUCACGAGAUACAGUGUUGGAUCUCAUUGUCUAGAUUUAUUGUGUUUUUAAUGCUACUAUUUUCCUUUUCAUUUCAUUUCUAUUCUAUUCAAUUAUGAAUUUAUAUUAAUAUAUAAAUGUAAUAAGGGGAAAGCAAAAUCUAGAAUGCUGUUUUUGAAUAUAGCUCUUAGGAAUCCAUACAAAGUCAUCUGACAACUGUAAUUUGCUUUUGCAGAUAUCUGGUCAUGAUGGUGGUACUGGAGCUAGUCCCAUAAGUUCCAUUAAACAUGCUGGUGGUCCUUGGGAGCUUGGACUUACUGAGACCCACCAGGUAAGUCUUUAUCCUACCAAUUAAAUCUUGGAAAUUUAUUUAUCAUUUAAUAAGAGCAAUGCUUUUUGUUUUUAAUUUGAAAGAAUAAGAGCAAUGUUAAAUCACUGAUCUUUGACAGACUCUCAUUGAAAAUGGACUAAGAGAAAGGGUAAUUCUUAGAGUCGAUGGUGGUUUCAGAAGCGGAGUUGAUGUUCUAAUGGCUGCAGCGAUGGGUGCUGAUGAGUAUGGCUUUGGCUCUUUGGCAAUGAUUGCCACUGGGUGUGUUAUGGCUCGCAUUUGUCACACAAACAAUUGCCCAGUUGGUGUUGCCAGUCAGGUACUAGAAUACCCUUUCCCUUAUAUGAUGCUAUGAUUGCUUGUGCUCGUAUGUAAUGUACUAUCCCCUGCUUUUUGUUAUUAAUAUGUAUUUUUAUUUCAACAUUAGCGAGAAGAACUUCGUGCAAGAUUUCCUGGCGUGCCUGGUGACCUUGUCAAUUUCUUUUUAUAUGUUGCAGAGGAGGUAACCCAUAAUCCUUAUUCUUGAUGGGGUUUUGUAUUCCUUUUCCUCAAUUUAGAAUUCAUUUUAUAUUAUCAUUCUCACUUUUUCUUUUCUGUAUUCUUUCCCCUCUAAUAGAAUUAUUUUUUUUCUCUCAGGUGCGUGGCAUGUUAGCACAACUGGGUUAUGAAAAGUUGGAUGAUAUAAUUGGACGAACAGAUUUGCUAAAACCACGAGAUAUCUCACUAGUGAAAACGCAGCAUCUUGAUCUGAAUUAUAUCUUGUCGGUAUGUUUUUGAGUCAUUGCCUUCUCUCAUCACAUGAAGGUUUCUUUUUUCUUCUGGUGAACAUGCUUAUUUUUAAUCUGCAUUCAACAUAAAAAUUGUCUCUGGUUCCUAGAAUGUUGGAUUACCAAAAUGGAGCAGUACUGCCAUCAGGACUCAAGAAGUUCACUCAAAUGGUUCUGUUCUGGAUGCUAUUUUACUUUCUGAUCCUGAGGUAACACUUGCAUGUAUAUGUAAUUUCACAUUCAUGAUCAAUGGCUUUUUUCUUGACUGGGACAUGGAGAGGACCCUGUGAGAUUUAGACAAACAAAAGGUUUUUCCAGUAGUCCCUUCUGUUCCAAAUGCUCUUGAAAAUCUUACAACUUGCUUGAUUCAGCUAGUUUUCUCCUCAUUUGACAUCAUAUUGUGUAUGGCUCUACCCCAUUGCAUUUGGUGUUGUGUUUGUGCUGAAUGCCUACGCACCUUUGAGAUGCUGGGAUAUGUAUCCAACAUGGCUGAAUAUGGAAAUUUUUUAAAAUGAUAACAUUUUAUUUGGACACUUCCAUUGGUGCCAGAAUUCAAAAAAAGAAAAAAAGAAGAAGAAGAAGAAAGAAAGAAAGAAAGAUUAAAGUUUUUUAUUGUAUGCUUUGUUAAAAUCUAUUGAAAUAAUUUUUUUCUUAUGAUAUAAUUCCGCUUCUAUAUCCUUAAAUUUUAGAAGUUGACAUGUCACCAUUACCAUUCCAUAUUGUGUCAUACUUGAGCCAUAUCCUCUGUAAGUACUUAGUCUUCCUGGGUAACUAUAUUGCACUCAAGGGCUCUAGGAGAAUUUCAAAUGAAAGAUGUCAUAGUCGGUAGUUGUAGUUGCAAAGUUUCAUAAAUAAAUCUUUUGUUAUGAAACACAAAUAGGAUCGAGUCAUAGGGAGAUUGAUAGGGAGGUCAGUUGUUUUCCCUUUAUCUUGAUUCUUGUAAUGACCUAUUUUGAUUGAUAGUUCAGCUCAUCAAAGGGAGAGACCUUUGGACUCAUUAGAGACAGACUUAGGUCUCUUUAGGGUUUCUUUAUAGAAAUUUUUCUUAGGGAUUUAUUAUUCCAUACAUCUCUUUAAAUAAAGAUUAGUCUUAUUACAUAAAUAGGAAACCUAUUGUAAAUGGGAAGUAACUUAACUGAAAUAAAAUCACAAUCAAGAAACCUAAGAAUUAAAAUCUCAGUCUAAGCCUUAAUUAGAGAAUCAAAAUUAAUGACCUUUCCUAACAUAGGUUUGACUCGUAACUAUGCCCCCACCAACAAAUAAAAGGUUUACCUCAAGCUUGAAUUCAUGAUAACUUGACGAUAUAAUUCAACCCAGUUCAGUCUCAGUUUUAGAUUUUGGUUUUGUGUCAUUCAGAUCUGCCAAAAGAGCUUCUUAAAUUGUUACCUAACCAUAUACUAUUCGUCAGAAUUAUAACAUAAGCCCAUAUUCCUUCUCUCUGCCAUUUUUGCCCAUAUCUUUAAAAAAGUGGCUAGAUUAUUUAUCGAUUUUGCUUCAAUAGUUCCCCUAACAUAUUUCUGCCUUUAGAAAGUUGGGUGCCAAAAUCGUUAUAUCCACAGGGAAUUUGAAACUGCCCUCAUUACCUUGCCAAGUUCCUUUACGAUUAUUUUUGACACAUAGCAUUUGCUACUUCUGUUCGUCAGAAUUAUAACCAUAUACUGAUCGUCAGAAUUAUAACAUAAGCCCUUCAUCCUUCUCUCUACCAUUUUUGCCCAUAUCUUUAAAAAAGUGGCUAGAUGAUUUAUUGAUUUUGCUUCAAUAGUUCCCCUAACAUAUUGCUGCCUUUAGAAAGUUGGGUGCCAAAAUUGUUAUAUCCACAGGGAAUUUGUAACUUCCCUCAUUACCUUGCCAAAUUCCUUUACGAUUAUUUUUGACACAUAGCAUUUGCUACUUCUGUUCAUAGGCACUAGCAAGGCUUAUAAUCAUGGCUAAAUCAAUGUUUUGUGCAUUAGAGCAUCUAAUCGAAUGCAAUCAUGCAGUCCAGCCAUGAAUAACCCAACAUGUUGGUCUACUUCAAUGUAUUGGCUUUAUCCAGUAACAUAUAUUAAGUGAUUUUUCUUCACAUUGGUGAAGUCUCGGAUCUCUUCUGCAUUGUAUUUGAGUUGUACCCUUCCAUUAUUUCUUAUUGGUUUUAGGUGGGAUGGUAACAUAUUAUAACAUAUUAUAAUGCCACCUCAAUGUACUGGGGAUUGUUAUGCCAAUUAGUGAUGCCUUUAUAGGAACUAGACUGGUUGAUAGAAACAUAAAAUUGCAAUAUAAGGAAACAAAGUCGUUAAGGUAGAUUUUAAUGUUUAAACUAUGUUAUGAAAAUUGUUAAUUUAAUUUAAUUUGUUUUUCGAUACUUUUAGUAUGAGUUGCUAGUAAUAGUCAGCAAUUAAGAAGCUUUAUUUCGUUCAUUCAGGUAUCUCAUGCAAUUGAAAAUGAGAAAGAGGUACAUAAGACUAUAAAGAUAUACAAUGUGGACCGAGCUGUUUGUGGUCGUAUAGCAGGUGUGAUUGCAAAAAGAUAUGGUGACACUGGGUUUGCUGGGCAGAUUAAUAUAACGUGAGAUCCAACUUCUAAAUAGUUGACGUUUGUGCUUAAAAAUGCAUCUGUGUCAUGCAAGCUAAAACAGUUUUCUUCUUGUCCAUAGAUUUACUGGUAGUGCUGGGCAGUCAUUUGCAUGCUUCCUGACUCCUGGAAUGAAUAUUCGACUUAUUGGAGAAGCUAAUGAUUAUGUGGGAAAGGUAUUGUUACUAAAUUGCUAUCUACAUGCUCUGUUGGAUAAUUUUAAUAUUUCAAAAGAAGUGCAAUUGAUUUUCUAAAAUUUUGAACUUGGUUAGUAAAAAACAUGCGAUUUUGUGAUUCAGUUAUUUUUAAUGGACUCUGACCACUAUAGACUUUAACUAGGUAUGAAACAAUCUAAACACGUAAACUAUGUCAAAAAAUUCCUUUUCCAAGUAUGUGUUUUUGUGUGUAUCUGUUACAACUGUCACUUUGGUAUAGCCUAAACUGAUUUGUGAACAUUGUUAGCCAACUCUCGAGUUAAAUAGAAUAUAAUAAAAAGUGUUAAAUGAACCUUCAAGGUAUGAUUGAACUUCAUUGUUUGUUCAUAGAAUCUGACAUGAACACUAUAAAUAUUUCAAGGGUAUGGCUGGAGGUGAGUUGGUAGUAACCCCUGUAGAGAAUCCUGGGUUUUGCCCUGAGGAUGCAACUAUUGUAGGAAAUACAUGUUUGUAUGGAGCAACAGGUGGACAAAUCUUUGUUAGAGGGAAGGCUGGAGAGCGCUUUGCUGUGAGAAACUCACUUGCCCAAGCAGUGGUUGAAGGCACUGGUGACCAUUGCUGCGAGUACAUGACUGGUGGUUGUGUGGUUGUACUUGGAAAGUGAGUAAUGGUUUAUUUUUUGUACUGGUUGUCACUAACCUACUUGAUGUAAUCCAAUUAGCGCCCCCCCCCCCCCAAAAAAAAAAAAAAGAAAAAAAAUUGAUGUAAUUCUUUGAAUGUUGCAUUUAUUUUUGACAGAGUGGGGAGAAAUGUUGCUGCUGGAAUGACUGGAGGUUUAGCAUACAUGCUUGAUGAGGAUGAUACUCUAAUACCCAAGGUUUGAGCAGAAGUUUCCCGUCUUCCUCUCUUAUAUCCUGGCUUCUUAAUUUAUUAUACAUUGGAAAGUAUUUAACAAUCUUGCAUCCUUGAAUAUAAUUUCUAGAAAUGCUGUGGUUAAUUUGUGAUGAGACCUCUCUGCUGCCAUAGGAAAUGAUUCUUAACUAAUUGCAUGCCAUCAGUCAUCAGUUGUGUCCCAUUUCUUCUGCUGCUCUGAAACAGAAUGUGGUCACAUAAGACACGCACAAAGUUUAUAAAAUAUUUUAAUGCUUUAACCUUUUCUCCCCUUUCUUUCUACUUCAAUUCUCCUUAUUAUUACUGAUAUAUUUUUUCUUAGAUUCUAAACUUUGGAAUACUUCCUUUUCCCCCACACUCUACUAAAAGAAGAAGAAAAAUACCCUUUUGAACAUCAAUUUCCUCUAGUUUUGAGGUUUCCAAUUGUUAGCCAAAGCAUUAGAUACAUAGAUUUUGCAAUGAAGGCCUCUUGCACAUUUCCAGUCUGCUUGCUUCACUUUUGACAAUUGUAGCACAUACGUAUAAUCUGUAGGGAUGCAAAUCAGUGAAAGUAAUGUUUUGUUCUGGUUCUUCUAAUUGAUCAAAUAUCUGUAAUAAAAAUAUAUCAUACUAUUAUCAUUUGCUUUCCAUCGAUAUUCCUUCAGAUUCACAUCUUUACAAUUUUAUAAAUGUUUGAUCAGGUAAAUAAGGAAAUUGUGAAGAUCCAAAGAGUAACUGCCCCUGUUGGACAGAUGCAGCUUAAGAGCCUUAUCGAGGCCCAUGUUGUAAGUUCACCUUGAAUUGUCCAACAAUCAUAAUGAACCAGCACAAGAAACACUUUGACUUGUCACAUAUUUCUUAGGUUAAGAGCCACUGCUUGCUGACAAGUGGGCAGUGGCAGAGCCACUUAAGACCGUGGUCUGGCUAAGUUUAGUAUUCUCUUUUAUGUACACGGUGAAUUUAGUUUAGGCUCUUCAAAUGGUACAUGAAAACUAAUCUGCCCCCCUCAAUACUCUAAACCUUGAGUAUAAAAUGCUUUUAAAAUUUAGAUGAAUUUCUUUUAUAUGAAGUAAUAUUUUAAAAAUUCAAGAUUCCCAAAAGAUUAAAUAUUGAAAUCGUGAUGAUUAAUAGUUUUUCUGUAUAGUAUAUUCUUCAAACAAAAUCUGUUCCUACUAAUUUUAAGUGAUUUGUCCAUUAGCAAAUAUUUGUCACAAACACAUCAAUAAUACCUUUCUUUUAUAUGCUGAAUUGUGAUGUAUAUAUAUAUAUUACGGAGAACACUUUGAUUUUCUUUAUUUUCUGAGUGAAUUAAUCAAGGACAUUCUCUUUUUCAAUUUGAAGACUACGAUUAUAAUAUCAAUACUACCUCAUGUAAUGAUUAUUGCGAUCAACUUUAAAAACUACUUUUACAAAUGUCGGAUUUUCUAUUGUGGUAUAAGUUCUUUACGUGCUUUGCCUUUAUUUUCUUGAACAAUGUCCUUACUUUAAUUCUUCAUGGUGAAGGAAAAAACUGGGAGUGCCAAAGGCUCUAUGAUUUUGCUUGAAUGGGACAAGUACUUACCACUGUUCUGGCAGCUGGUUCCACCUAGUGAAGAAGAUACCCCGGAGGCUUGUGCUGAGUAUCAGAGCACAGCUUCGGAGAAGGUGACGUUGCAGUCAGCCUGAGUUAAUGAUCAGACCAUAUGUUCACUUAGAGCAUUAUUCUUGCCCCACACUGUACAGAUCAACCAAAAGGGGAUUGUUGUGGGCGUUGUGAAUGAAUGCUAUCUUGCUUGUGGGAGUUCAGUGCGGGGAGCGGAAGAACUUCGGUAGUAUAUGGUGUCAGCAUUUGGUCUUUGUCAAUCCAUCCAAAAGCAUUCAACCUCCAGGUGUUAUAGCAGUUAUGUAGUCAUCAUGCUUGAAAGUUGUAGAUUCAGAUUAGUUUAGUUUAGUUUAGUUUUCAUAAUAUUGUCCAAGGUUUAUUUGGGUGGCACGCUACUCGCUGCCCUUUUUCCAUCCAAUUAAACUUGGCUUGUUCUAAGCUGGUAUUGAGUGCCAUUACUUAUCGUACUUCGGAUCAAAGUGUAUUUUUUAUCUUUACUAUUCUGUCAGCCAACUGAAUACAAAGCCUUGCUAUGCCAAUUUGUCCGAAUACUAGUUUCACAGAGCCCAUAUGUACGAGGACAUGACUAUCUUGUAUGGCAAUUAUCCUACUACCAUGAUAUGCUAAUUGUGCAUCCAUCUUAUAAAAACAAGUGCAAAACUGUUCAAAAUGGAAUCUGUUAGUUUGAAGAGCUUCCAUUUAAGGGUAUUUUGUCUUGGCUUUAGAUAAUGUGUAUUAUCUUAGUUUAUCAGUAAUCAAACUGACUUAAUAAAAAAGGUCCAUUUGAAAGGAUUAGACUUAGACAAGAUGAAGGGGCAGCCACUUGGAUGAGUUUACAUGGUAUUUGAGAGCUUUAAUAUAAAAAAAAAAUGAUGAGACCUAGAACCGAAGGAGCUGCUGUAAAUGUUUUCCUGAUUAGAGCUCUGAGUAUAACGUCGGAGUUUGUCACUUCAACCAAAGACAUUUUAGCAACUAAGUUGGAAGUUAGGAUUCAUUAAUUGAGUUGCUGCUGCCAUCUUUUGUAUGGGUCAAAUGCCCUUUUAAGGUAUAAAGAUGAAAUUGAAAUGAUGGAUUAGUGUUCCCACGCCCCUUUUGGUUGAGUAACCAACAAAGAUAAUCAUAGGAUUCUAACCAACUCUCUAAAAUAUGAACCUAGCAAAUUAGAGUGUGAAAAGUUGCAAGCUUGAUGUUGAGUUGCUGCAAAUCUUUGAAGCUCAAACAAUAAUUGAAUCUUGAAAGAAAAACUCUCUUAAGAGUAAUUUUAUUAAUUAAAAAAAACAAAGGUACAUAUCCUAAUGGCGAUCAUGCCUUCCCAUAUAUAGUUUAAAAUUGGCUUGCAAGUAAAGAAACUCUAAACCUCUUAAGAUUUAGUCAACUAUCUUACAAUGCAUGUAAGCUAAUUCUUCUAAGACCUACUCAAACUACUUGACAUGCAAGUAUGUAGCAUUUGCAAUUAUUUUUAUUGAUUUGCAUCGGCCACUUGCUUGCCAAGUAAUCAAUUAUUUAACUCUAAGAAAUAAAAAAGUAAAAUAAAUAGACUUACUUGGAGUGUAAUUUUCGGGCAUGUGCAAUGCCUUUUACUAGAAGUGAGGGUUAAACUUAUUACAAAAUUCUCCGAAGUUACUUGAUAAAUAAUAACAACCAAUUAAAAUAACUAAAAUAGAUCUAUUUUACAAUAUAUAAUUGCUAGCUUCCUUCGACGGGAAUGGGAGGUUCGGGUAAUACGAAUGGAAUCGGCUAGAUGCAAUAGCGGCUAUGGUACUUGGGAACCAUUAUGGGAUUUUUGUCUUUCCACAAGCUCCUAUGGAUGUGCUACAAUUGCUACAAGAUUAUGAGAGUGGUUUAGAGAGGAUGAGAAGGGUCUCUGUUUAGUUUAAGUUCUCUUCAAUACAAAAAAGAGUCUUCCUUGACACAUACUUGAGUCUGCUCUCCAAGUUUCUUGAGAUUUGAAGAUGAUUCUAGAACUUCAGUUUGGAACUCACUUACAAAUAAAGCUUUAAACAAAACCUUGAAUUCCAUCCCCAAAUUGUUUAGUCUUGAUCUUGUAAUUGGUUCACUUUGAAAAAUUCAAAUCUUUUAUGUCGUCUAAAAUUUUCUUGUUGCAUGCAUCAUUUCUUAAGAGGAUUUUCCCUCAAAUUUACAUCCAUAUCAAAAGGAGAUAAAUCAACAACAUCGAAAGUAACACUGAUAUUAUUCUCAAUAAAUUAAUUUUGUAAUCAUUUUUAUUAAUCUUCUCUAACUAUUAAAAAGUUCAUCUACUUUAACCUCAAGAUUCAUCUAAAAAAAAUUUGUAAAAAUAUGAAUCCAAAAAAAUCUAGGUGUAUAUGAAUCAUAUGCCAUAACUUUAGAUUUAGCUUAUUUACAUUUAAUACACUUGGAUGAAAUAUUUUCCAUUAAGAGUUUUUGACGAAAUAGUAAUUUUAAAACUAUUUAGAUGCUGCCAACUUAUCAUCGAGUUGCCCACGAGUCCCAAUUGGUUGAUAAUCUCCUAAUUUUAGUUAAGGCCUUAUAUUCCUGGAAUGGCAAUAUACAUAUAGGUGUAUUAGUUGCCAAGUUUAAGAGAUUAAAAUGGUUCAUAUUAUUAAGUAUUAAAGUGGACAAGAAAAAAUAUAUUUAAUUAUCAAGUUAGUGAUCAAAAGUUUUAUUAACCCUUUUGUUAUUUUUCGCUAUUAGUAUAAUAAUAUGAUAAUAAUAAUAAUAAUAAUAAUAAAGCAUAUUUAAUACAAUUGUUGUAAAAUAGUUAUAUAUAAAAUAAAGAAUAAUUAGUAUAAAUUUAAAUAUACAAUUAAAAAGAUGAGUAAAAACUCUUGUAAAAAAUAAGUUUUGUUCAAAUAAACGAAAAGUUUUUCUUCUCUUUGCUAUAAGUCAUGUGAGUAACUAAAAAUUACCCAUUGUGAUUAGUUUAUAAUUAACUAAUGACUAAAACAUGUAGAGAAAAUAAUACUCCAACCAACUUGACUGAAUUAGUGUCACGAAUUAACCAAGCACUGACUCAAUUAAGAAAUUAUUAAAAUACCUUCUAUAUACAAAGUCAAAGUGUGAAGUUGUUUUUGUAUUUUUAUACAAAACCAAUAAAAUGUCAAAUAUGAUUGGUUUUAAAUUCAAAAACAAAAUCAAUUUUAAAUAUUCGAUUUUACUAUUUUAAUUAAAGAUUUAUUUGAUUUUUAUAAGAAUUUUUAAUAAAUAUAUUUAUUAAAAUUUUCUUCGGUCUUUAUAUUUUUUGAAAAUUUAAAAUUUAGUCAUUAUAUUUUUAUUUUUAAGAAUUUAAUAUCUCAAGUUUAAUUGUUAAAAUUAUUAAUUUUUUAUAUGAAAUUUAUUGGUGUAACAAUUUAAAAUAAAAAUAAAAAAAUACAAAAGAAUAAAUUUCAAGAUACACUGAUAUUUUAACUUUUUCUUUUCACCCCACAAUAAAAUUCCAAAAAAAAAAAAUCUCAGAUCCUCCGUUAAUUCACUUUCAUUUCCAAUCAAAAUCCUACAUUUUAGAACCCGAAAAGCCUGGGGGUGAGUUGCCAUAGCUCUUUUUAUUUGUUUGUUCUUCUAUUUCUUUGAUUAUUUAAUCCAUAUUAUUGGUUAUGACUUAAAUGUUUUUUCAUUUAUCUAAAACUUGUUUGAUUUCUUUAACUCCAGCUACCGUAUUAUAUAUUUGCUUAUCAAUUAUUAAAGGGUAAUUCUGAAUUUUUGUGUUUAGUAAAAUUAAUUUACUCUUAGUUGUAAUUAUGGUUUUAUUUCAUUAGCAUUUCUGUGUGUUUUGUGGUUUGCAGAGAGUCCAGGGCGAUUCAAAAUUAAGAUGGUAAAGUAUAGAAAGUCUUGAAAUUAGUCAGCAAGAAACUACAACUUUUUCUUUAUUUGAUGCUUGAGAUAGAAAGAGUUUAUUUUUGUUUAGUUUUUUUUACAAGUUCUUCACCUGUUUGAAGCUUGAGGCGAAAGAGGGUGCCGCCGUUUGAUUUUGUACACUAUUAAAUGACCUGCCUUGGGUUUAAACUUCAGGUGGUUUGCAUAGAGCCUUUGGAAAACACAGGUUAAGUAUAGAUUGCUAGUUCACCUUCAGCCCACGCUUCAAUGUUUACUUUUUCGGAAGUAAGCUAUAUUGUUUUCCUGUUUGUUUUUUUCAUUGGAGAUUGUGUAUAUAUAUAUAUAUAAAUAAUUGCUGUGUGGUAUUUCUAGUUUAUGUGGUAUCACAUGUUUCUUGCUUUAUAUAGUGAUGAACAUGGUUAAUUCCGAAAUGUAUUCAUUUUUGUUAGUCAAUAGUCACUAUUAUAGGACAUUACCUAAGCUUAAGGGUGUUCAGUGGUCAUUAGUUGUAUGGAUUUAAGCUUGCCGUGAGAUCAUGGAGUGCUUUCAAUACAUAUUUGAAUUUGAAGUUUGAUGUUUUUAUGAUUCAUUUUGAAUUUUUUGGUGUGUUUUUGCAUGUCCCAAUUGAUACUAAACCAGCGUAAGUAGAAUUAUUUGAAAAUUUUUGAAAUCCAAAGUAUCGAUAUUAAACCAACGGGUAUCGAUAUUUAUGUGUUAGGUAUCAAUACUAAAGUAAGUAUCGACACCGUUUUAGUUCUCUAUCAAUUUUGGUUCAAAACAUUUUAUCGAUAUCUUUGCAGAGGUAUCGAUAUUUUUAUCACGAGUAUCGAUACCCUUAUUUGGGUAUCGAUACCAAAUUUGGUUGCUGUCGAUUUUUGAAAACUUUUCAUUCGCAAAGUAUUGCUAUUUUGAUCUUGAGUAUUGAUCCUUUUACCCAGAAUGCUAAAAGUUCACAAGUUAAAACGUUCUUCAUGCUCAAAACAAUAUUCCUACUCAUUAUACAAAUAAUGUCUAACUCAACCAAGCCUACUAUCAUCGUUUAACCAUUUUACCUACCUUAUUAAUACAUAUUCAUCAAGAUAACAUAACAUGCAUUAUUGAACUCAGUCUCAAGCAUCAAAAUGUCCACAAUCAAAGUUCAAAAACAAUAUCAACAUUCUAUAAGCCUAAUACCAAAUUAAUAAUAAUAAUAAUAAUAACUAUACCCACAUUGCCUUUAUUCAAAGUGUCCAAAAAUCAUAAAACCACCUAUUCGAAAAUUAUGCAUUGGAUGGAUCAACGCCUGCCCACUCUGCAUUCCUUGAAUGUACUACUAGCCUGCCAAUUUUAGGCAAAAAGUGUGAGAUUUUUUAAGCUCAGUAAAUGUUCAGAAUUACCGAAAAACAUAGGCAACAACAUAAAUUAAGCAAGAGCAUACUAAGGCACAAUCACAACCAUAUAUUCAUCAAAUCAAAAUAAUGUAUUCAUGCUUCAUUAUCUUAUAAGUCUAGCUUAUACUCUUACAUGCAUUUACACACAUCAUAACUCAUAUAUAUAAGUCAAAUAAUGAUAAUUUGACAACUUAAGAUUAUGAAACAUAAAAGUGGACUCUAUCACCACACAUUGGAUAAACGAAUCUCCAUCACAUCAAUGACUCAAUGAGUCUAACGUAUCCCAAAAAAGUAAUAUUAAGCUAAACACUCUCCAACACACCAGGAUGUCCCGAUGAAUGGAGUUUAACUCGACAUUCCCUUAUCUCUCGAACUUGUCUUAGGGUCUCAACGCCUAAAUUAAAAAAUACAAAGGUGAGUACUCACAAUUCUUUGGCAUGCCAACUAUAUCAAACGGUUUCAAGAGAUCACAAGGCCAAAAUAUCCAUAAUUACACAUAUUUAAUUAUUGUUUUAUGCAUAUAACCUAUGCUCAUAUUCAUCAAUUCACAUCACAAUCUCAUACAUAAUGCAUGCUUAUUGUAACACCCUAUACCCGGCCCUAUGGCGGAGCCUGAGUAACAAGACAUUACACCACCGUCUCAUCAACAACAAGCAUAAAACAUUUCAUUGUUAUACGAUUAUCAUAAAAUAUCAUUAAAUUAUUUAUAGAGAUUCCAAGUCAUGAAUACUCUAAGCAAUACUAAGUUAUGCUAAACAUACUUCGGACAAGCUUAUAACAGGAUUUAAACAUGCUUGUAAACCAUUUAACAAAAAUUUUGAAUAAAUCACGUAGGUAUGGAUAUUGAAUCAAAGGUAUCAGUAAUUCUAGUAGACGGUAUCAAUAUCAUCCAGAAAAAAUGGUACCAAAUUAGCAUUUUGUUUCUCUCCUAAAAUUAAAACCCAGAAAAUAUUGAUACAUAUAAAAAAGUAUCAGUUAUUCUACCCCGAGUAUCGAUACUCGUGACAUGGUAUCGAUACCAAAUCUCACUACUGACUUCCUACACUUUUAAACAUUCGUAGAGGUAUCGUUUUUAAAACUCGAAUAUCAAUACCUCUGCUCUAGACAAUAAAAAUAUAGCAUAUUAAAGCAAUUAGUCCAAUCUAACCUAAGCCCAUUCAACAUGCAUCUUUUAUCACAUCCAACAAUCGUCAAAACAACUACGAUAUCAGUUCUAAACAUAAAAAAUGUGUCUAAGCAAGAAUCAAUAUCAAAGUCCAAAUCAUUAAAAUUUUAAAACAAGUAAACUAAGAAAACAUCCAAGCAUCAUGGCAAUAUUUAUGCAGUAGUUCUACCACAUAAUUCAAUGUUCGUUGACCAUAAAAUAAUAUUCAAACCAAAACAAUACCAUUGAAAUGAUUUUAACAUCCAUCAAAAGUGCCAGAAAACUAAACCCAUAAAAUAAUAUGAGGACCUCAAUAAUAAUCGAAUCAAAGUUUAACCACAUUGUCUUAUUCUCAUAGUUUAGAAUAAUAAUAUCACCUACACAAAAAAUAAAGUCUAACUUGGAUCACUUCUUUGGUAUCCCAGCACCGUUCACACCGCAAACGCUAAGUAUCUGCAAUGAUUAGAGAGAGUGGGUGAGCUUAAACAAGCUCAAUGAAUGUCGGAGUAACAACAAAAUAUACACAAUCUCAAAGGCUGAACAAGAGCAUACUACAAUACGUUCACAACCAUAUUUUAACCAAGUCACAAUAACAUAUUCACGCUUCAUUAAAUCAUAAAACUAGCAUAUACUCUCAUGUAUAACUACACUCAACUCAUAUUCAAAUAAUUUACUUUACAAUAAUUCAUCAAGACUAACAACAUAUGCAUGCUUUAAUAACUCACAAGUCUAGAUGAUAUAUUGACAUCCAUUCACAAGUUAACUAAAAAUGAUCCAAACCACAAUUACAUACGCAAUUUACUAUGAAAACAUACUAACAUUUUCAUGGAAAUUAAAUCAACUCAUUUAGCAUAUUAUUUACAUGUUUAUGUAUCCAUCUUACAUCGUAUUGUCACAAUAUAUAAGAUUACAUUUAAACUAUAAUUUGACACUUGAGGUUAUUAAACAUAAAAGUGGGCUCUAUCACCACACAUCAUAUACACGGAUCUCCAACACACCAAAUGACUUGUAGAGUCGAACAUAACCCAAAAGCGUAGCAUUUAACUAACACUCUCCAACACACCAACAUAUCCUGGUGAAUGAAGCUUGGCUUACAUCCCCUUAUCUCUCCAAAUUGUCUCAGUACCUUAAUACCCAAAUCACAAAACACAAGGGUAAGUACUCACAAUCCUAUGGAAUUCCAAAUAUAUCCAAUGGUUUUAAGAGAUCAUAAGGCUAAAAUAUCCACAUAAUUUUAGUUACUGAUUUAAUGCACAUCAUCUGUAUUCAUAUUCAUCAGUUUACAUCACAAACUUGUACAUUUUGCAUGCUUACCAAAUCCAUAUUUAAUUGUACUUUAAGUGCCACAAUAAUGCUUAUUGAACCAUCAUAUAUCCAACCACAUAUGCGUGCAUUAAGAUCAGUACAUCAUACAUCACAUACAAGUAUUCUCACAUAUUACUUGCCAUGAUAAUAUCACAUUCUACCAUUCAACACAUAUGUACUUACUGAAAUAUCGCUCACUUCUGUUACAUAUUUGCAUUAUUAGCAUAUCAUUAUCACUAUUAUUUGGCAUGUAUAUCAUGCGCACAACAAAACACAGUUCACAAUAGUCAUCACAUAUGUCUCAUAUCAUAAUAUCACAUCAUAACAAUCAAUCCACAAUUAUUCACAUAAUCAUAUAUUUUGCCAAAAUAAAAUAAAGGAAAUAGAAAGCUUACACUCGGAACUUAAGAUAGGGGUUUAGUUUAUUACUAAGCUCCCAAUUAACACUAUGAACCGUGUCUACUAACAGUGGUUCCAAACACUCACUGUUCACGCUUUCGCCUAAUUGUCGAAAGCUUAAACUAGCUUUUCCUAGCCUUUCGCCUUGCUCGUAGAAGGCUCCAACGAUUCUGAUGCUUCACACAUAACAACCACGCAAUAUACACAAUCAAUUAGUAGCCAAAAACUCAUAUAAACCAACCAAAAAUGCAAGCUUAAUCUAUAUUUCUCAUGAAACUGAAAUUUCGGCUAGCAAACUUGAAACUCAAAUAUCUUAAUUUUUACUCAUUCGCAUUGCCUACAAUUGAUUCCAAUCAUCUAAUUAUACAUCUAAGAACAAUUCUGAACCUUCAAACUAUUCAAAACCAUGUAGAUUAAUAGAUCCAAAAUUUUGACAUAUAAUGAUAAUUUACACAAAAACUCAAUAAAACGUUGGAAUUCUUUAACAAAACUUUAAGGAAUGUUUAGAAACCUUCUAAGCAUGUGAAAAAUAAUUGAAAAAUAAUUUUAAAUCACGUUUUUACUGAAAAUCCUGAAAUUUACCAUUAAUGACCCAAUUUUCGGCUUUAUUCAGAACAUGUGAUUUAAUGGCUAAAAAUUUAGUUUAAAGGAUCAAAUAACAUAAAAGAAAAACUAAUAAGGAAUUGAAUCGUUACCUUUAAUGGAAAAAAAUAAAGGUUUAGUCGAAAUUUCAGAAAACCCAUAACUUGAGAGAUGACAAAAAUCAUGGUGUUUUUGGUGUUUUUCUUGAAGUUCUAUGGAGAUUUAUCGAUUGGGUGAUGAUAGAAAUUAAAAGAAUGAAGUUUGUAAAAUAACAUUGAGAGGGAGAAGCUUGGGGAGGCCAAAGGACGACAACAAAAAUCUGGAGAAGAAACUAAUAUAGGCUUUAUAAAGAUGGAGGGGGAAAAUAGGGUAUUUUUAAAACUUUAGUAAAAUUGCUUUUUAAUUACUCCUAAAUUGAACCCUUUUACAAAACAGUCUUUAUUUUAACAUUGAAAGUCUUUUCAGCAUUAUUUUCAAAAAUUGAUUUGAUUUUUCAAAAGCUAUGAUCGAAAAUAAUUUUGUGUUACCACAAUUCAGAAUUUUCUGAAGCUACUUCAAGCCAAAAUUCCUAAUUUACCUUCAAAACUUCUAAGCCCAAUUUUGGAGCUCUCAGUGGGUAGACCUAAAUAGAAAAACAAAACAAGCACACCAAAAGAAAAAUAUGCAAUAAAAAAUAAAAGAAAAUAAGAACUAACAAAAAUAAAACUUAUCAACUUUCGGGGUGGAUCCGUAUCCCCUCCAUAAAAGAACUUCCAAGAGGUCCUCGACACAUUGAAUCGUUGUUCAUUCUUCAUGGCUAGAACAAGGACCUCCUUCGCAUUUGAGUACAUUGUCGAUGUCUUAUUUUUUACCAUCUAGACAGCCACAUUAUGAGCCACUUUCUUCCAAGCUUAACCAACUCCAUAGCUUAUUUCUGAGUACUAUAGCCUCGUCCAUCGCAAACUCCAUGUCGCUAUAAGCCAUAGAUACCCAAACUUCAAUUUUUAUUUCAAACUAAAAAUAGGUAUGUUCAUUAAGUUUUGUAGGAAUUCACGCGGCAACACAGUAUUUGGGUGCCUAAUUAUAUGCCGGAUAUGUUUAGGCCAACACAUCCAAGUAGGAAGAAGAGGAGCAGAAGAGUGAAGAAGAAGAAGAAGAAGAAAUGAGGAGAGGAGGAAGAUGAUGAGAUGAAUUUUGAGGAAGAUGAAUGAUGUAACACCCCAAACCCGACCCAGACGUUAUGGCUAAAUCUGGCAAUGUUACAUGAAAGUGUUUUUGGAAAACCGUUUUGAUACAUAAAAUCUGUCAAAUUAUUACCUGUUAGUUAGGUCGAGAAAAACGUGAAAAUAAUCUAACUGUUUGAAUACAUGUCAUUAUCGCAGAAGCUUUCGAAACUAAUAUAUUUUUAAAACCCGUUUUUAUUUACGAAACCUCUUAGUUUAUUUUAGGAAAACCAUAUUUUAGCGUUGCAGUUUAUAUUCCAAAUUACAGUUUAAAACCCCAAAUUAAAACCAAGAGUCCAAGUCCCUAAUUACAUCAAAAAUCCUAAAAAUAAUGAGUAAAGCAAAAGCAUUAAGUUCAUAAACCAAAAUGUAUGUGGUCAUGGACACCGUCUAGUCUUCGGCUGCACCGAUCCGCCUAUUGCUGGGGAUUACCUGAACAUAUAAAACAGAAAGGGUGAGUUUUCGCAAACUCAGUGUGUACUUCCCCCCAGUUCAGCAUGCAUACAGACAGAUCACAGAAUACAGUCGUAAUUCAGGCCUGAGCCCUUAACAGAUGCAGUGUGGGCCUUGGCCCACUCAAAAUAGAAUCAGAUAUAUCAUGCAUAUAGAUCAGAAUAAAAGAAACAUGCCCACCAACCCUACACACCAACUCUGUCCAACCCAACAAACCAUGUGGGGAUAAAAUCGACCCACCUAUCCCUACACACCAAAUACGGGGAUAAAAUCUACCCAUCCAACCCUACCUACCAUAAAGUACCAUAAUGCGGCACAUGUCAUAAUUAUGCAGCUUAGUUACCAGAUAACAGGCUUAAGAAGCCUUUCAGAUACUUCCUUCACUUCGUCAAACCCACUCCAAUGCAAUGCAUCAUACAAUAUGGCAUGCUAUAAUGCGGGUUAACAGUCAUAUAUUUAUAUUCAGAAUAGAACAGAUAAACAUGCUAGUGCAUCCAUCAUAUAGUCAGAUCACAAUAAUAGGGGUCUAAUAUAUCCUUAUCGACCCUAUGACAGGUCACAGUCGACUUGGGCGACUCGUGCAACCUUACAGUACAUUUUUGAAAAAUGGGCUCACACGCCUAUGUAGCUUGCCCGUGUGGGUCUACACGUCUGUAUGGCCCACACGGCCCAAAUUGGCCUUAGCCGUGUAGAUUACACGACCUGGCCUAAAAUCUUACAUGCCCAAGUAGUUCACCUGUGCGGCCUAUACGACUCAAUUGGCCAAGCCCGUGUCUCGUACAUGGCCUCGCCAGCCAUCACACGGCCGUGUCUGUCGUGUCCGUGUUACGCGAGCACGGCCUGGCUCGUCGACCACACGCCCGUGUACUGCAAUGCGGCCUACCACACGGGCGACCACACGCCUAUGUGGCAUCGACAAAAUACUUUUUGGUUUUUACCGAAUCUCAUUUUCGGUGCAUUCGGAGUGCACACCUAGUUUCGAUUGAAGCUAACCUGCACCCCAAGCACUCAAAGACCUAAAUAUGUCAAACCAAUACCAUAAUCAGUCUUACUUUGCGACAAAUCGAAAUCCCGAAACCAGAAUACUCAUCCCUAAAAUGAUGAACACUUACCGCAGGACUUCAAAUCGAUUUACUACGAAGCGAUACGAAGAGAGCCCUAAUUCUCGCUAUAUGCCGCUGUAAAAAAGGUCAAUAUAACCCCAGUUAGUGUUCUAGAAAACCCAUCUUACAAAAUACCACAAUUUCACUUUCUGAUAUUGAGCAAAGAAAUGUCGAAAAAGAAGAACGAUACGAUUUCAGUAGAAAAAAAGUAAAAAUUCGGAAAAAUGGAGAUAAGGGAAAUUUUCGGCAGAAGAAAAAGGGAAAAUAGAGGGGAGAUAACAGUUUUUUUUCUGCAGAGAGAAUUUUGGGAAACUGAUCACCCAAAUGCCACGACCUACUCUAUCUCAACCACCCACUACUCAGAUUUCCAGUACAACUCAAACUCUAAGCCACCUCACCGAACAACAAUACAUUCCUGUGCUCAUGCAGAGAUUCAAACCCAGAACCUCCAGCAGACUGACACUCUACUUAACCACUAGACAAGCAGGCCCAUUCUGCUAUAGUUUUACAACAAUUAAACAUAACUUUAUUGAACCAGAUUAAGGCUUUAUUCAGAAAAACAUUAAAAUUUGCCAAAUGUAAGGCUUGAACUUGGGACCUCCCACGCAUACCCAGAACACUUAACCACUAAAGCAGAUACAUAAUUGUGUUAUAUACUAACAGAAUCAAAAAUAUAAAUUUUGGGGCGUUCUAACUCUACACCCCUAAAAGAAAAUUUCGUCCUCGAAAUUUACCUGAUCAGAAUAGGUGAGGAUAUUACUGUAGCAUUGAAUCCUCCGGCUCCCAAGUGGCCUCCUCAGAGUUAUGAUUCUGCCAUAGCACCUUCACUAAAGGGAUGGAUUUCCUGCACAGAACCUUAACAUCGCGAUCUAGGAUCUAAACUGGUUCCUCUUUGAAUGUUAGAUCUAGUCUAACAUCAAUUUCCUCCACAGGCACAAUGUGCGUGAGAUCAGAGCAAUAGCGUCUCAACAUCGAGAUGUAGAACACAUUAUGUAUACGAUCCAACUCCGGAGGUAAUUCCAACUGAUAUGUGACUAGCCCUACUUGCUUCAGAAUUCAGUACGGCCCAAUAAACCAAGGGCUGAUCUUGCCCUUGCGACCGAACCUCAAAACUUUCUUCCAAGGCGAGACCUUAAGGAAAACCAUGUCCCCCAUAGAAUACUCGAUGUCCUUUCUCUUCAAAUCUGCAUAGGACUUUUGUCUGUCAAAAGUCACUUUCAGCUGAUCUCGAACCAUGCAGACUUUAUCCUCAGUCUUCAUUACCAACUCUGGACCCAAAACAUGCCGCUCACCCAACUCAGUCUAGCAUAAGGGAGUGCGACACUUACGACCAUACAGUGCCUCGUAAGGUGGCAUUUGUAUACUAGACUGAUAGCUUUUACUAUAAGCGAAUUCUGCUAAAGGCAAGUACUCCUUCCAACUGCCUUGGAAGUCAAUCACACAACUCCUCAACAUGUCCUCUAGUAUCUGAAUCACCCUCUCCGACUGUCCAUCUGUUUGAGGAUGGAAAGCAGUACUGAAGUCUAACCUUAAUCCUAGAGCCUUAUGAAGCUUCUGCCAGAACGGAGAUGAAAAUCGAAGAUCCCUAUCAGCAAUGAUCGAAACAAGUAUCUCAUAUAGCCUCACUAUCUCGGAAAUGUAAAGUUUGACCAACUUUUAUAGGGAGAAGUCUGUCCUAACCGGAAUGAAAUGUGCAGUCUUGGUCAAUCGAUCUACGAUGACCCAAAUAGAUUCUUUCUUAGUGGGUGUUAAAGGCAACCCACUAACGAAGUCCAUCGUUACUCGCUCUCAUUUCUACAUCGGUAUCUUAACCAACUGUAGCAAACCCGAAGGUAACUGAUACUCAGCUUUAAUCUGCUAACAAGUCAAACAGCGAGCAACAAAGUCGAUAACCUCAUGUUUCAAUCCUGGCCGCUAGUACAACUCUCAGAGAUCUCGGUACAUCUUGUUCCCACUAGGAUGCAUAGCAUAAGAACUACUAUACGCCUCCCUCAGAAUCGACUGUCGCAAGUCACCAUCAUUCGGUACAUAGAUUCGUCCCCAGAAACACAAUACCCUCUCAUCAUUAAUCCCACUCUCCAUCUGAUAGAACCUUAACUCAAGAGAUUUAUCUCCUAUCUGUUUAGCCCUGAUCUACUCCAUCUAUGUCAGCCUUACUUGCAGCUCAGCCAAUAGACCCCCAUCAUCGAAUAAACUGAGUCGAGCGAACAUUGCUCUGAAAUUUGUCACAGGUCUACGGCUUAACACAUUGGCCACCAUAUUGGCCCUACCAGGAUGAUACUCAAUACUGCAAUCAUAAUCCUUAAGCUGUUCAACCCAUCGACGCUGUCUAAAGUUUAAUUCCUUCUGAGUGAUGAGAUAUUUGAGGCUCUUGCGAUCAGUUUAGAUGGUACACUUCUCACCGUACAGGUAGUGCCUCCAGAUCUUAAGAGCAAAUACCACUGCUUCCAAUCCCAGAUCGUGUGUUGGAUAAUUUUUCUCGUGAGUCUUGAGCUGCCGAGAUGCAUAAGCAACAACUUAACCGUUUUGUAUCAGGACACAACCUAGACCCACAUACGGUCCAUCACUGUAAACCACGAAGUCCUUACUGAGUUUAGGUUGAAUCAGAACAGGUGCUUGAGUUAACACAGUCCUGAACAUUUCAAAGCUCUCCUUCUGUGCAUCAGUCCAAACAAAAGGAACUCCUUUACACAGCAGCUUAGUCAUCGGAGCUACGAUCAAAUAGAACCCUUCUACGAAACUUCAAUAAUAUCCUGUCAGCCCUAGAAAGCUACGAAUUUCAAACACACUCUUCAGCUGUUUUCAAUCCAACAUAGCCUCAACCUUACGAAGGUCCAUUUAAAUCCCCUUCGUAGAAACUACAUGUCCCAGAAAUGUCACUUCCAGAAGCCAGAACUCACACUUGCUAAACUUCGCAUACAACUGUUUCUCACGAAGAAUCUGCAGGACCACUCUUAGAUGCUCAUCUUGCUGAUCAUCUGUCUUAGAAUACACCAAGAUGUCGUCGAUGAAUACCACCAUGAACUGAUCUAAGUAAGGCUGGAACACACGGUUCAUCAAGUCUAUGAAUGUCACUGGUGCAUUAGUCAACCCAAAGGGCAUAACUAGGAACUAAUAAUGUCCAUACCGAGUCCUAAAUGCUGUUUUAUGCACGUCAGCCUCAUUUACCCUCAACUAAUGAUAACCUGAUCGUAGGUCAAUCUUAGAAAACACUGACGCCCCUCUGAAUUGAUCAAAUAAGUCGUCUAUCCUUGGAAGUGGGUACUUAUUCUUGAUCGUCAACUUGUUCAACUGACAAUAAUUAAUACACAUCCUUAUUGUACCGUCUUUUUAGAACAAGUGCCCCCCACGGAAACACACCGGGACGGACAAACCCAUGAUCUAACAGUUCCUGAAUCUGAACCUUAAGUUCAGUUAGCUCUUCCGAUGCCAUUCGAUAAGGGGCAAUAGACAUCAGAGCUGUACCCAAAAUUAACUCGAUACCAAAUUUUACCUCUCGACUCGGAGGCAAUCCCGAUAAUUCUUCUAGAAAAACAUCUGAAAAGUCCCUUACAGUUUGAAUGUCCUUAACCGAAGAGUCCACUUUCUUACUAACUUCUUUGCCCUCAAUGUAGAUAUCACAUUAGUCAAAUAAUCUCGUCAUUCCCCAAUCACGACUACCUCAAUAUCCUCUUCGGUUUUCAGAACAACCUUUUUCGUAGUACAAUCAAGACUCACUCGAUGUUUAACCAGCCAGCCCAUGCCCAAAAUCAAAUCGAACUCCUCAAAUGGAAGCUCCAUCAGAUCAGCCAGAAAUACAGUCCCUUGGACCUCUAACAGAACGUCUCUAAACAGUUUACUAACUCUAAUAAACUGCCCCAACGGACUCACCACUGUUAUCUCACUAGAAGUGCUCUCAAACGGAAACCCCAAAGUCUCAGACACUGUACUAGCUACGUAAGAGUAUGCAGAGCCUAUGUCUAUCAAUGUAAAGUAAGAUACAUUAAAAAUUAAAAAUGUACCCGUGAUGACAUCUGGAGUAUCUCGAUCCUCAUGGUGACGCGCAGAAUAAACCAGUACAGGCUGCCUUGCCUCAGUCGGUCCAGCACCUCUACCUGGUGCUCUCUGUCUUCUGCCCUUGCCAUUACCACCUCGAGCCUAACCACGGCCCCUAAAUGGCUGCUGAACUACCAUUGGUGACUAUGCAGUCUCAUUAACUGGAUCUUGCAUCUGAUUAAUCCUCAAUGGACAGUCCUUAACACGGUGCUCAGUAAACCCACACCUUAAACACGCUCCAAUAGCCCUGCAACACUCGCUCGGAUGGCGUCUAUUACAGUACUGAUAGAUCGUCACCCUAGAAGGUGCAACACUAGGCCCAACUUUCAUGGGCCCAUCAGUCCUGGCCUUUUUCCUAUGCCUCAUCCCAGAAUUCGAAGGCUCUGCAUCCCUCUUAGCCUUCCUCUUGUCUCGGUUUUGACGCUCAGUGCGCUUCACUUCCUUGAUGAUCUUCUCCUUUUCAACCAAUGCAGAGAAAUCCCGCUCCCACUGAGGAGCUACCAGAACUCCCAGACUAUCCCAGAGACCAUGCUCAAACCGCACACAGUGCUCAUACUCGGUUGCCACCAUGCCCCUCAUAUAACGAUUCAGUCUUAUAAACUCUGCCUCAUACUCGGCCACUAAAUGAUCACCCUGAGUAAGAUUAAAGAACUCCCGCCUCCUAGCGUCGAUAUAACUGGCCCCCGCAUAUUUAUUCUAAAAAGUCGUCUUAAACAGGUCCCAUGUCAACCGGUCGAGCUGAAUGCCCUCCUUAACCGUCAACCACCACUGAUACGUUUCAUCAUGAAGUAGUGAAAAAGCCCCAUUGAGUUUCUGCUAUGCAGAAAAAUCUAGAUCGUCCAUGAUACGUUCCGUGGCCUCCUUCCAGUACUCGGCCACAUUAGGAGCAACUCUAGCGAUGCCCCUGAACAACUCUGCCCCAUUAAAUUGGUGUCGUUCCGUAAUCGACCCACGGCCCCUAAAACCAGUGUUGGGCCCAACAAUCCUCUCCAAUAAUUGCAACAUGGCUUGGGACAGUCUGCAUGAUCAUGAGACCCAAACCCAAUCUCCGUCGCAGGUGAUACCGACGGCUUGCUAGUAACUAGAUGCAAAAUCGUAUCAGACGGUAAGGACUUAGCUCGAGCCCCUUUACGGCCUCUACCUUGGCCUCUAGUACCCCAUCCACGAGUACCACGCGAGCUUAUUGUAAUUUCAGAUUAAUCUGUAUUAACAGUUUUAAGCAAAUUAGUUUAUAGUUUUGAUAUUUAUUAACAAAUAUUUUAUGCAGUAAGGUUAUCAGAGUAUUCAGAGUCUGUUAUCAUAAAUCGCAGUUUACUUUAGUUUUCAGUCUAUACUACUUAAAGUGUUUCAACAGAGUUUACUACCCACAGUAGUUUCAUAACAUACUAAUAGUAUUUUUGGUCAGAUCCAAAUAGAAUUUCAGUAUAUUCUAAGCAUGCUUCAAAAUAGUUCUAGAUAGAAUUUCAAAAACUUACAGAAUCGGCGCCAGAGACUCGGUGUACCACGGUUUAUCAAAAAUUUCUCAAAUUGUUUCACAAACUAUUUCCCAUAACCAUUCUUUUACAACCCAAGUCCACAACCGAGUUUUACAACCUGGCUUUAAUACCACUAAAUUUACACCCCAAACCCUGCCCAAACGUUAUGGCCGAAUCUGGCAAUUUCACAUAAGAGUGUUUUUGGAAAACCAUUUUGAUACAUAAAAUCUGUCAAAUUAUUAUCUGUUACUUAGGUCGAGAAAAACGUGAAAAUAAUCUAACUAUUUGAAUAUAUGUCUUUAUCGCGGAAGCUUUCGAAACCAAUAUAUUUUUAAAACCCGUUUUUAUUUACGAAACCUCUUAGUUUAUUUUAGGAAAACCAUAUUUUUGCGUUGCAGUUUAUAUUCCAAAUCACAUUUCAAAACCCAAUUUAAAACCAAGAGUCCAAGUCCCUAAUUACAUCAAAAAUCCCAAAAAUAAUGAGUAAAUAAAAAGCAUUAAGUUCAUAAGUAUGUGGUCGUGGUCACCAUCGAGUCAUCGGCUACACUGAUCCGCCUACUGCUGGGAUUACCUGAACAGAUAAAACAGAAAGGGUAAUUUUUUGCAAACUCGGUGUGUACUUCCCCCCAGUUUAGCAUGCUUACAGACAGAUCACAAAAUACAAUCGUAAUUCGGGCUUGAGCCCUUAACAGAUGACGUAUGGGCCUUCGCCCACUCAAAACAGAAUCAGAUAUAUCAUUCAUACAGAUCAGAAUAACAAAAACAUGCCCACCAACCCUGCACACCAACUCUGUCUAAUCCAACACACCAUGUGGGGAUAAAAUCGACCUAUCCAACCCUACCCACCAUAAAGUUCUGUAAUGCGACACAUGUCAUAAUUAUGCAGCUUAGCUGCUAGAUAACAGGCUUAAAAAGCCUUUCAGAUAAUUCCUUUACUAAACCCACCCCAAUGCAAUGCAUCAUACAAUAUGGCAUGCUAUAAUGCGAGUUAACAGUCAUACAUUUAUAUUCAGAAUAGAACAGAUAAACAUGCUAAGUAUAACAUGCUAGUGCAUAUAUCACAUAGCCAGAUCACAAUAAUAGGGGUCUAAGAUAUCCUUACCGACCCUAUGACAGGUUACAGUCGACUUGGGAGACCCGUGUAACCUUACAGUACAUUUUUGAAAAAUGUGCUUACACGCUCAUGUGGCCUGCCUGUGUGGGCCCACACGACCCAAAUUGGCAUUGGUCGAGUGGAUUACACGACUUGGCCCAGAAUUUCGCACGUCCAUGUGGUUCACUCUUGUGGCUUACACGCUCGUGUGGCUUAUACAACCCAAUUAGUUGACCCCAUGUCUCGCAUACGGCCUCGCCAGCCAUCAUAUGGCUAUGUCCAUCGCGCCAGUGUCAUGCGCCCACGGCUUGGCUCGUUGACUAUACGCCUGUGUACUGCCACACGACCUACUACACGGACGACAACACGCCCGUGUGGCAUCGACAGAAUAUUUUUUUACUUUUGUCGAAUCUCGUUUUUAGUGCAUUCGGAGUACACACCUAGUUUUGAUUGAAGCUAAACCGUACCCCAAGUACUCCAAGACCUAAAUAUGUCAAACUAACACUACAAUCAGUCUUACUUUGCGACAAAUCGAAAUCUCAAAACUAAAAUACUCAUCCCUAAAAUGAUGAACACUUACCGCAGGACUUCUAAUCGAUUCACUACGAAGCGAUACGAAGAGAGCACUAAUUCUCAUUACGUGCUACUGUCAAAAACAUCAAUAUAACCCCAGUUAGUAUUCUAGAAAACCCAUCUUACAAAAUACUACAAUUUCACUUACUGAUAUUGCGCAAAGAAACACCGAAGAAGAAAAACGAUAAGAUUUCAGUAGAAAGAAAGUAAAAAUUAGACAAAUGGGAGAUAAGGGAAAUUUUAGGCAGAAGGCAAAGGGAAAAUGGAGGGGAAAUGAACAAUUUUUUUUUCUGCAGAGAGAAUUUUAGGAAACUGAUCACCCAAAUCCCACCACUACUCUAUCUCAACCACCCACUACUCAGAUUUCCAGUACAACUAAAACUCUAAGCCACCUUACUGAGCAAAAAUAUAUUCCUAUGCUCAUGCAAAAAUUCGAACCCAGAACCUCCAUCAAAUUGACACUCCGCUUAACCACUAGACCAAUAGGCCCAUUUUUCUAUGGUUUUACAACAAUUAAACAUAAGCCUAUUGAACCAGAUUAAGGCUUUAUUCAGAAAAACAUCAAAAUUUUCCAAAUGCAAGGUUUGAACUAGGGACCUCCCACACACACCCAGAACAUUUAACCACUGAAGCAGAUACACAAUUGUGUCAUAUACUAACAGAAUCAGAAAUAUAAAUUUUGGGGCGUUACAACUGAGCUUUUAGUUUUUUAUUUUUUUUAAUUCUAUUAAUUUGUGGGAUGAUUUUUUUUAAUUUAUAUAAAUUGUUAGGAGUAUGAGUAAUAAUAGACUAGUAAUUGUUUUGUGUUUAAUUUUUUUGUACAGGAACCUCACAUGGAAGAAGCACAAUGAUUUUGAGCUAUCAAUGAUCAAGGAGGAGGUACCCACUAAUAUUCUGCGAAACUAUCACGAUCAAUUAGGUAACUUCUUUCCUUAUAUUUUACAUGGCUACACAUUGAGUACAAUGUGUUAUCUAAAGUGUGGGGGUUAACAUAGAAAAUUUGUUUUAAAUUUUUAUGUUUUUCUUUUAGUUUUCUUGUCAUUUGUGUGCAUGAGCUUAUAGAAAUACAAGUGAUUGGUUAGAAGCAUGUACAUAGGUUGAUUGUAUUCAUGGUAAAUUUAGCAUGAUGAUAGGUGAUUUUAAAUUUUUUUAUUAUUAGACUAUUAAGUUCUAUAUAUUACACCGUAAAUAGGUAUUAAGCAAUUGAAUGUACCAAAUGAUAUAAAGAAUACAAGGAAACGAGCAUGCUAGUGUGAAUGAUAAAUUGUCGAAUUUGUGAUUGUUUGGUUGACUAAAUUUGUGAAUAUUAAGAUACCUAUGGAUGACCUAAGGCAUUGUUUGGUAUACACCCAAAGCAAAAGAGCUAACCCUAUUUAUUCAUCUUUAGUACCUAAUUUUGAGCUAGAAAACCCUUCUUGAUGAACCUCUAUAGAAACCCAAGCUAAAAACAAUAAUUCGUGCUUAUCCUUUUCUUUGGUCUUGAAUUGCAUGAUUAUAGACAUUUGGUCAUACAUAUUGAAGGUUAAUUAGAUACGUUACAGUGGUAUUGUAAAAAUAGAGCGAUAAGAAAGAUCAGUAGAGUAUAGUGAUUAUAGGUUAAAUUAAAAAAAAUACAAAAGAAAAUUCAAAAAGGAAAAUUAUACGAGUCGAAAAAGUAUGUGAAAAAUGAAAGAAUUUGUGAGUGAGGUACCGUGAAAAAGAAAGAACAGUGACAAAGUCACAACAAUAGAAAAUCUCAUUCAUCAGUGUAAUAAAAACUCAUGAACCACGCAUAGUUACUAUAUGAUUCUAAAAUCUUCUAUAAAGAGAUAAAAGGAAGGUGAGAGAAUGAGAAAUAAGGCGGUCAGUGGGAAAGGGUCACUGAGGGGGAAAAUAUGAUGUCCUAAACUAUUUUUGUGUUUGAAACUAUUUGAUGCUUACUAUUCUUGAAUUCCAUACCUUUCCUACGCCUUAGAAUGUUAUAAGUCGAAAAGCGCUAGGUGAUCUAGGUAGACUUUUUCACAAUUUGAAAUCAUAUUGAAUAAUUGCAUUUAUGAAUUUUUUUUAUUCUACUAAGAUAAUCAAAUUACUUGUACAAUUUAUUGAUGGAUUUCUACAUUUGAGACCCUUAAUUCUUGUAUGUUUUGUAAUAUACUGAACUUAGGUGUUUGAUAUUAAAAGUGGUAAGUCAACUAUAUAUCAUGCCAAUAUUAUGUGUGAAUAUGAAAUGUUUAUUCAUGUGCUAUAAAUGUAACAUUUGUAAUGUACUUUCUCAAGGGUCUUCUUUUUAUUUUUUGUUUUUGUUUGCUUUGCUUGAGGAUAAGUAAUUGAGGACAAGCAAUGACUUAAGUGCACAGGAGUUUGAUCUGUCGUAAUUCAGUGUAGCAAAUUAAACUAGUUUUCACUCUUUAGGAGCUUGAACAUAAGCAUUUUAGUUAAGUUUUAAUUACAUUUUUGUAAGUUUAGUUCACUUAAAUAAAGUGUGUAAUUUGAGCCUUUUAUUGGUCUUAGGAGCCGAAUGAGGCCUAAGGGUGAGCUAAUAUACUUUAUGAGUGUGCAAGAGACCACUAAAAGGCGUACUAACUCGAUACUGGUCAUUGUGUUGCAACACAGGGCAUUGGAUGUUGCAACAUAGGGAGUAGAAUUAGGAGUGAGCGUUCGAUCGAAUCGAAUUGAAUCGGAUGAAAAAAAUUUGAGUUAAUCGAGUUGACGAAUCAUAUUUUAUCAUCCUAAUUUGAUUUGAAAUUUUCUCGAAUCGAGUCGAGUGAGAUGAAAUUCGAAUUGAAUCGAAUCGAAUAUAUUUGUUCGAGUUAAAUUUUAAAAAAUAAUUUUGGGUCAUUGUAACCACUGUCGCCUAUCAUAAUAAAAUUUGUCCACCUUAAUCAAAUUUUUUAACUUUCAUCACCUCAUAAUUUAUUUAUUAAUCUUUUAUAUACGGGUUAGCUUCUUUGCUUGCUUAAUUAUUUCAAUUAUCUUCAAAUUCUUGUCACUAUGUAUUUUAGAAUUAAAAAAUAUAUUAAAUGUAAAAAUGUGAUUUUUUAAUAAAAGUUAUUUUAAAUAUAAAAUGUGAAAUUGAUACCAAUAUAAAAUUUUAGCACAAAUAUUUUAUGGCAUAAUUAAUAAUCCAAUUUUAAUAUAAAUAUUUAAUAUGACUAAACAAUUCAAUAAUAUAAAAAAUAUAAAAUGUGAAAUUUAAUUUAAUAAUAUAAAUAGUAUAUAUAAAUAAAAUUAUUACUAUUUAUGUUUAGUGAUAUUUUUUAGAUAAUUUUGAUUUUUUAUUUGAGAGUAAAGGGUGAGAAGUAAAAGUUUAGGAGGAAAAUAAAAAGUUUUGGGGAAUAAAAGUUUGAGGAAAAGUAAAUACGGGGUAAAAUUUUGGAGGGAAAAUAUUAAAAAAAAUUUGGAGGGGUAAUGGGUUUGAGGUAGAUGGGAGGUGGGAUGGGAAGCGAGUAAAAGUUUUAGGGGGAAAGUGGGAGGGAGUAAAAAUUUUUGGGGAAAAAUAAAAAGUUUUGAGGGUUUUUGGGAGUAAAAUUUUGAGAAAAAGUAAGUGGGAGAGUAAAAUUUUGGUGAGAAAUGGAUUUUAGGUAGAUUGGGGGGUUGGGAUGGGAAGGGAGUAAAAGUUUUGGGGGGAAAGUAGGAAGGAGUAAAGUUUUGAGAGAAAAGUCAAAAGGUUUGAGAGUUUGGGGUAAAAAUGUAAAAUAUUAUAGUUUGAUAUUUGAAUUAUUCGAAUUUGAAAACUCAACUCGAUUCGAACUCAAAAUUCGAAAAAAAUUUGAGUUGACUCGAAUAACUCGAUUUGUUUAACUUGAAAUUCGAGUUUUUUUUCAAUUUUUUUGAGUCGAAUCGAAUUUUGCUCACCCCUAAGUAGAAUAGAAGAAUUCCAAGACUACCAUCAGUGUUGCGACAUAGUCUGAGGAUCUUGCGACACACCCCUGAAGAUACCUUGAAGAUGAACAUAGUACCCUCGAUGUCGUGACACAAGAUCUGGUUUGUCGCUACAACACCUCUGUACGAGAAAUAAUCAUGAGCGAAGGGCGUUUUGGUCCACAUAAUCAUAUGUUAAGCACGACGACGACUUUCAUUUUGUAUAAUUUUCACAUGUUAUAAAUAGGUUCAUUUAGCACAUGUUAUGGACGACUUUCAUUUUGUAUAAUUUUCUUCUUAGAUUUAGCUUUUAGUUUUUCACUUUUCUCAGGCUUAGGUUUUAUUUCAGUUCCUAUUCUUUGCUUUUGUGGGGGAAAUCAAAUUUUUGAAAUACCAUCAAACUCUGUGAGGAUUGUGCACUUAAUUCUUAUAUAAAUCAGGCUUCUUCUAAAUUUUAUACUCUUGAAUUAUUCUUCAUGUCUAUUCUUUCUAUCAAGUUUACAUUGUUUAUUAGAUCAUGAGGAACUAAUCCUCCUGUGGGAGAUUAGCAAGUAGAGGUAUGAUUAAUUAACUGUUUUGUAAGGAUUUAUUAGCGGAUCAACUGUUUAGAAAAGAAAGAACCUAAACCCUAGGCCUAACAACCUUAGGAAGUCAUCAAGAUGAGAAUUAAUCCAAAUUUGGUAUGGCUUAUCCGUGAACACCUUAACCCUAAAUCGGUUUGGACUUUGAGUUCGAGAGAUAAGUAGUUAUUGUUGACUAAGUAUUUCAGUGGAGGAUUGGAUGAUCCUGCUAGGCUAUUGACUAGUUGAUUGAACAAGAAAACUCGAAAUAAUAGUUGGUUAUGAUUACUGAAGCGAGCUAAUCACCCAUGCUUAGAUUUUAUAUAUAUUUUACUAUUUGAUUUCUCAUGAUUUAUUUCUUUAUUUUCUUUUCUAUUAUUGCUAUUAUUAGUAUAGAUCACUAAAACCUUUCUUUUUAUUCAUCGUAAUAUAAUCCCUUUAAAGUACUACUUAGAUUUACUUAUGUUUAGAUUAGGAUUAAUUUAGUGCUCGCCUCCCUUGGGUAUGAUUCUCGGAGUACUCACCUACUCCGUUGAAACUAUAUUACAACUUGACUCUUAUACUUGUGGAUACCACCUUUCUUAUAUUUUGUACAAGAUUUCUACUCUAGACGUUGGUACACCUGGAGGCGGUCAGUAAUUAAGUUUCAUUUUAGAUUAAUUAAUAAAAUAAAAUCUGAUUAUAUUAUUUUAAUACUUUAUUUAUUUAUUUAUUUUAUGAACCUAAUUUUGAUCUUCGUCUCAAACCCUCAAUUUAAUAACCCGAUUCUACUAACCUGAUUUUUGGGAUGUGAAAGUUGCAACACAGGCCAUAUAGUGUCACGACACCGACGUGGCGAUGUCACUUAAUGGACCAAGAGUGUUUCCGUCCGCACAAUAAACUUUAAUGAGAAAUAAUGAGUCGUUUUAGGUCAAGGACUAGCUGCCAAACCUAGGCUUAUAAAUAGAAUUGCUCUGAACAAUUGAGGAACAACUUUUUACUUAGUUUUAAAUUUUACUUUGAAUUGUAAUUUAGAAUUCUUUUAGUUGUAAUUUUUAUUUCAAUUUUCUUUUUCAUUCUUCACGGGAACUUGACUGUAGAUUUGUCAAACUCAUUAUGGACUACUGUUCGCGCCGCAUUUUUUUAUUUAUAUAAGGAUUUCUCUCAUCUUUACUUUUGAUCUUUUAUAAAUGUUCAUCUUUCAAAUCAAUUGUAUUGUAUGUGUUAGAUCCAUAGGGAACUAAUCCAGUAAGGGAGAUUAAUGAGUGGAUGUGAGAUUAAUUAACAACUAUGUACGGUUUCUUAGUGGAUCAGUUAGUUGGGAAAGGAAGAACUUAAAAUCCUAGGCUUGACGACCCUAGAAAGUUAUAUAGGUAGGAAUGAACCCGGAAUCGAUAUUGCCUAACUGUGAAAACCUUACCCCAAUUCUGUCUAGAUUGUGACAUCAAGAGAUAAGAAAUUCUUGUUGACUCAUUAGGUUAGUGGAAGGCCGAGAGACCUUGCUAGAUUAAUGACUAGCUGAUUGAAUAGAACCCGAAGUAGGAUAGAAAAUAAAGAGAAUAAAGAAAAUGAUUUUGGUUCUUGUAUUUGGUGGAAGAAGAAAGCAAGCCUUCUAUCGUAAGUCUUCACUAAUCCAUGGUAACUUUUAUUUUUUUAGUUGGCAAUUGAUAGUCACAAAUUAUUGAGGUCACCCGUGCUUAGGUGUGAACAAUUGAAGAAGAUUGGAGUUUUGGUAGAAAAUUUAGAGGCUAUUUGGUUGGAAAGAAAGAGUUGAGGAAGCUAAUUAUUGUUCAUGCAUCCGAGGUUCUAUUAUUGAAAUUAGAUAUAUUUAAUAUUAAUUAUAGUAAUUAUGUACAUGGUGUCGGAACCAUUUUACAAGGUUUGAAAAAACGGGGUUCGACUUUAAAAAAAUGAAAACUGAGAGUCGCCACAAAUCAGUUUAAGUAUGAUUGAACCACCUUCAAACUACUUUUUGUUUAAAAUCAUUUGUUUUGGUCUACGAAAUCAAGAAAACGGGUUCGGGAGCCAAUUACGAACGAGGAAGGAUUAGCACCUUCGUAACGCCCAAAAAUUGAUACCAAAUUGAAUAAUUUUCUGUCUUUAAUGUCAAAAGAUUGAAAGAAUUUAGAAAUAAAAUCUCUAUUUUUUAAAAAAACAUAAUUAUUUGAAAAAGAAAUCAAGAUUCCUUCGCUUCAAAAGAGUAUAAACAUCAUAUCCAGCAUGAUUGGACAUGAUAUCUUUAAACUUUCGUAACCGAAAUUAUCUUGUAAUUUGUCAAACUCGUUUAAAAGGAUGUUUUUAGACAUUUAGACAAACGAAAAAUCUCAACCCAUCAUGUUAGGGCACCACUUCCCGAAUUCCUAAACACCAAAAGCAUUGCCUCACUUUUUAAAAUUCCUUUUCGAUUAAAUGAGAUAUGAUUUUUUUUAAAAUAAUGAUAUAUUUUACAUAUUACAAGAAAUUAGUACUAAAUAAACCUAGCUACAUAAUAGAUGCUUUAUCAUUUUAUGCGAAUAUAGUAUAGAAGAUGAUAAAUAAUAACAUAACUCAUAUAAUACAUUAGUAUUUCAUGCAUAUAUAAUCAUAAAAAAUGUGCAUACAUUAUCAUUCUAUGAAAGAUAUAAUGUGACAAAUAACAAAUAUAACUACAUAAUAUGUAUAUGUGCAACAAUAUUCCAUCCAAAUGUAUAAAAACAAUAAAUAAUAUAAUAAUAACAAACAAUUUACGAGAUAAUAUUAUUAUACCUACCACAACAUCAAAUAAAUAUAUAAAGAAAAACUAAAAUGAACAAACAAAUCAUAUAAAAGGAUAAAAUCUAAAUAUAGUUUGCAAAGAAUAAAUGAAAAAUAUUUAAGGCAAUAAAUAGUAAAGAAAAUUUAGACAAUGGUUAAUAUAUAUAUAAAUGUAUUGUAUGAUUUAAUAUAUUUAGUAUAUAUUUAUAAAAAAUAUUAAUAUAUUACAUGAGAACAAAAUUUCACAUUAAUUUUAAAAAUAUUACAUAUUAGAUUUCAAAUAAUAAUAUAUAAAAGUGUAAUUUUCAACAAUAAUUUACAAAAUUUUAAAUUAUACAUAAUAAAUAGUUAAUAAUAAAAUGAUAUAAAAUAAAAUAAUAAAUAAUAAAAAUGAUAUAAUAUAAAUAAUGAUUUACAUAUAUAAAUAUAAUAAAUUAAUGAAUUAUAAAGUAAAAAAUAUAUAUAUAAUAAAAUUUAUAAGAAACGUAUAUAAUAAAAUAAAAUAAUAUAUGUUAUUUCUAUAUAACUAAUGUUUAUAAAAUAGAUAAUACAUAUAGUAUUUUUUAAAAAAUAAAUUAUAUAUAUAUAUAAAAGGACUAAAAUUGAAUUUAAUUAAAAUUAGGGCUAAUUUCAAAUAAAUGAAAAUAUUGGGCUUAAUUGGAAUGCGUAUUAAAAAUGAGGGACUCACUGGGCAAUUUGUCCUAAUCCCAAAACGACGUCGUUCUUUAGAAUGAAUUUUAAGGGCCGUUAGGAUUAAAUUGAAACAACUAUAAAAGAUUAUGGCCGAAUUAAAAUAAAAAUAAAAUGAAAUUACAAAGACUAAAAAUGCGAAAGGACCCAUUGGGCAAUUAGUCCAUUUUCCAAAAACACGCGGAUCCUCAGCAUCAAUACGAUGCCGUUUUGAAGCUUAUUGUUUUAAGCAAAACAACAUCGUUUUGUUAGGGCUAUAUAAGCCAAAUUUCAGUUUUGAAAUCAUUUUAAAAUUUGAUUUUUUUUUAAAAAAAACAAAGAAAACCCUUUGAAGGAGGGCUGAGGAAGGGUUACCGGAGUUCUCUUGAACCUCUGACCAAAGGUUUGCACGUGCCCACGCGCCACCGUCAACGGCGCUAUGUACGGCGGCCGGAAGCUGAAAAGCUUCCUGUUUCACCGCAAAUCGAAACAGUACGUCCCUUUCGUUCUAUUUUUGUUUUUUGAAUAUGUAUUUAGAGAGAAAAAAAGAAAUAUAUUAAUCAUCUAUGUAUUCUCCGGACGACUGCUGAUUUCUUUUAGUGUAAAAUGCGUUCUGUUUUUUUAUUGAGUCCUUGUAAAAAACGUGCCUUUACAAAUUAAAAAGAAAGGCUUUUAUAGCCCUUUGUAAAUCAUUACAAUUUGGGAAAGAAAUCUUUGAUUUCUUUCCAUAUUUUGCUCCUAUUUUCUGUUGCCGUUCUUUCCAUUUUGCAGAUAUUAGCGAGAAUAUCACGGCGGUGAUUGCACUAUCGUUGACUCAGGCACCGAUUGCGGCGUGGUACAAGGCUGGAGUCACGUCGUCGAUGGAGGAUGAUGAAAAGUCACUGGAACGGCGCCUAAACGAAAGGUCGUGACUUUUGGUGUUCCUGCGGCGCCUAGGGUUUCAGAAACCUUAGGCCUUUCCGUGUUCUGUAAACAAUUUGGGCCUGUAUGUUUUGGGUUAAUGGUGUAUUGGGUUAAUAGAUUUUGGGCCAAGGGUUUAGGCUAAUCGAGUCUUGGGUGUAAACGUGCUUAGGUAUUUGGGUCAAUAAAUUGUAAUUGGGCUAAAUGUAAUCUGAACUUGUAAAUGGACUGUUUAAAAUAAAUAAACAUUCAUUUAUUUUUUAUUUUUGUUUUUGGUUUUAAGGCCCGGGCAGAUUUGGGCUGCUACACAUGGUUUGGUGUUUAUAUGUUUUGAAGUUACCAAAGCUGAUUUUGGUGAAGGAUCCAACAAAGGAAAAGCCGAAGUGAUAAAGAAAUGAUAGCUUGGAGUGUGGGUUUGUGUUCUACAAUCUUUGAGAUAUCCAUUAUUAUGUGUUUAGUUUUGGGACAAGAGAAGAUAACUUGGAGUGUGGGUUUGUGCUCUACAAUCUUUGGCAUAUCCAUUAUUAUGUGUUUAGUUCGUCAAAGAUUAUGGUAAUAUAAUUUGAGUGCCCUAAUGAACUGGUAGGAAUUAGUUUUGGAUAUAAUUGACUGUCAAUAGGAAAUUAAGAAUUAAUAUUGAAUUUCUCACCGGUCGAAUAACUUUGUAGACGGUAUUGGUAGAGAUUUUCAGCCAAGAGCCUUGUGAACCAAGCCACGAAAUUGUAAAACACCGACAAAAGCCUUGUGGACAAAGCUGAAUGAAUACAGAUGCCUUUGUGAAAAAAUCGAAGUAAUCUCGAGUAACGGUUCCUUAAAAUGCUAUAAAUGUUAGAUUGUUACAUAACCAUAUAACAGAUAUAUUUAAGUUAAAAUAUGCAACAAGUUAUUACACUUUCAUAAAUUUAGAAUUUAAUAUCUAUAUUUUUAUUUUUAAAAUUUUAAUUAUUCUACUUUCAGAUUUUAAAAUUCAAAUUCAACUGUUAACACUUUUAAAAUCAUUUUGCUAAAUUCAAGUUACAAUGUUAUCUUUUUAGUUUCAUGGUUAUCAAGUGAGGGUUUUUUUUUUAAUUUCAAAAUGCCACACCAAUAAAUUUAAUAAAAAAGUUCUGACAUAAUUAACAAUUGGACUUAGAAUUUUAAAAUUUGAAAAGUAAAGAGAUUAAAUUCUUAUAAACAAAAUACAAAAACUGAAUUUCAAAAUUGUAUAGAGUAUACGGACCCAUAUCACAAUAUUUUUUUCACUCACAUGUACCAUAAUUUAGUAUUGAUAUAAUUCUUUUUGCAUUAGACAUUGCAUCUCCACUGCAGCAAUCAGUCUAUAAGAGAAUGUCGAUUUUUAACAUAUGUACCAAUGAAUACGGAAUUUAACCUAAAUAAAGCUAGGAUAACAUUUACGUAUAUUUUCUUUUUUCUUCAUACGAAAGCAAAUUAACAUAUAUACAUGCAUGCAAAAUUUUGAAGAGGGGAUUCAGCAUCCUCAUGAAAUUGCAUUAUUCCAUUUCUCAAAAUCAUGUCAUUAACUUUUUAUUUAACAUCAAGAAAUGAAAUUUCUUCACUACAAUUAUUCACUCAACAACAUGCUGUUAGGAGCGGACAAAUAUUAUAGUACUGAAAUGUCAAUGAAGAUUACAAAAUGCAGUUUCACUAUCUUUACAGUUUUGUUUUAUUCAUACAAGUUUCCACUACAUUCACGUUAUACAUGAAAGUUAUCAUAUAUCUAAACACAUGAUAUCAUUGAACACAUCAAUAAGUAUGGGGUGUUAACGAGGAUAGACUUAAAACUCUUGAUAGAGACAGACUGCAUAUAUUUUCGUAACCAAGUCAGUAUUAACAGGAUCGGUAUAAAAAAGAAAAGAUCAUUUGUGACAUUCAUAAUGCUAGUCUAAAUUUUAUGCUUGUUAAGAAAUGACCAUGGUUAUGGAUCAGUAUCAGAUGACUAGCUAGGUUGUAAAUAUAUCAACAAUGUUUGCAUUGGACAUAUAUGGUUGUGUCAAGAAGCUAGUAGGUGCAAGAGUAUUAGAUUGUAGGCAUGAGAGUUGAGUUCAAUCCCAAGCAACCCCAUACCCUACCCAAUUACCAAAAGAAAAAGGAAAAACAAUAGUUCAAUAGUCAAGCAUCAUCAAAGACAUCUAGUUAAAGACAAAGAACACCUAGAAACGGGAUAACACCGAGAAUGCUAAUUUAGUCAUUAAUCAUUCAAUAAAAGUAGGAGUCCAUAGGGGUGUGUGUAUAUCCAUAAAUAUAUAGGUCUUUAAAGAUUAUUCCAUAUCACAAAUGGCAAAGAGAAACAAAGAAAGCCGCCUAAAUUAAUAUUUAAUAAACGUGCUUAAUUCAACGGCUGACUCAUGGCUUGAGAUACCAAAGAAAAAAACAUUUAUAAUUGUUGUAUAAAAUGAACAUGAUAUAUAGGCAGCUCGAUGUGUUAGUUUCAACAUUUUCAUACGAGAAUCAGAAUGUAUUCAUUUGCACCUUUCUGCAACUAGUGAAUGAGAACCAAGAAGAUGCUGGAUUUUCCUAGGAGAUCCGCUUGCGAGUGAAACUGCAUCUAUAUGCUGGUGAAAUGAAACCAGUUCAAUUCUAGAUUUAUAUAUUUAUAUAUAUAUAUAGUGGAAAGUGAAGUAGCCCCAGGGAUGUGCUGACCUACGUACCCAGAGGUUGAGACAAAAGAAUUAAUAUUAAGAAAUCUAUGGUUUAGCUGUAAAUUUUUGUUAGUAUCGGAGGCCAAAAAUGGCAAGGGGGACAAAAAGGAGGAUUACAUGGAGGGAAUCCAGAUUUAGAUAAUACCAAUAUAUUAUUAAGCUGUCCUGUGUGGUCACACUCAAAUGUUGCAUCCAUACAAGACAAACAACCAAUCAAUUUUGUCCAUUGCCUUGUGAUUUUUCUACAAAAAUAAUUAGACCACUCCUAUAUAGCCAAUUAAGCUUCUCCAAAAGCCCAUUGAGUGCUAGAAAAGAUAUGUAAAAGAAAAAAAGGGAAUCCGAAAGACAGCUCAUUUCUUUCAAUAUAAAAAUGUGUAGUUCAAACUAAGCCUAAUCAAGCCCAAGAUAACCCCACCACUCCAUACAAGCCAAACUCCUCCCUUCUUAAUUAUAUAUCUUUUCUUACUUAUAAUUACAUGUACAUAUAGUACUAAAUUACUUUAUACCGUGAAGAAUUUUAUCAUUUAUUUACUGACAUAUGUAUAUAGUGUAUGUAUAUGUUUGAAGUAGUUGUACAUAGAAUGAAAUGCAAGUGGUGCAAAAAAAAAAAAGGUGGGUGUGGUCGUGUGGGGAGACAAGAAAAAAAAGAAAAGGUAAGAGAGAAAUAGGGCAUGAUAUUUUGAUACUAUGAAUAAAUACAGAGGAAUUGACAGAUUGACCUGCGUCUCACCUCAUCACCUCCCUCCCCUCACCACAGAGCAAAUCUCAGAUCCUCCUUGUCGCAUCCCAAUCAAUGAGAGAAAAAAAAAAUUAAAAGCUCAUGACAUCUCCAAUGAAACUGCAUUUCUUGUCAUGGGUCAUUGAAAGCCUACAAAGAAAUUUAAAAAAAAAAACACCCCUCACAGCAUAGGGAAAAAGGCUAGUGAUUGAAAUCAAAGGACGGACAAAUAUAUAGAUCCAAUAAUCUCUCAUGAAUGAGUUUCCAUGAACUACUAUUUUGCCUGUCUUUCACCAUCCAUUUGUUUUAUAUUAUAUAUAUAUAGAGAGAGAGAGAGAGUAAGAGAGAGAGAAUGAGAUUGAUAUAUAGAGAGAGAAAAAGAAAGAGAAAGAAAGUGUUGGAGCUAGAAGUCAUGAGAGUGAUGGUACAUUGUUGGGUCAUGUCGAUUCAUGGCUUCUCUUUGACUGUUGUGGCUGCUAUCAUCAUCACCCUCCAUUCUUGAUCCCAUUUGAGUUGAAGCUGUAGCACCAAGAUUGAGAUAAACCAACCUUGAAUCCAAAUUGAGGUUAGCAAGGUUGUUUCCACUGCUACUGCUAUUAUGUUCAUCACUCAUUGGUGGGUAAAUUGCAGUUGAAGUUGGUGGAUUUACGCUCCCUUCUUCACGCGAGAUAACCAUAGCUGCUGAUUGAACAAGCUCAAGACAUAGCCUAAGCUUAUUUGGUUCGAUGUGAGUUAGCCCCGGCACCGCACCUUUGAACAAGAAAUCCGAAGUUAGUGUUCGAAGGAUGUCUAAAGGAGUCACCCCAUCAACGGUUCUUACAUUAGGGUCUGCGUGGUGGUCUAAAAGCACCGCAACCAUAUCUGGUGAUACCAUUUCCGCUGCAAUGUGAAGUGGGGUUUUUCCCGCAGGCCCCGCCGGGUAGUUAACAUCAGCUGCACCAAGCUCUAACAAGGUCUUAACUACUUCCCGGCUGCAGUUCUCAACAGCAUAGUGUAAAGCCAAAGCUUCAUCAAGAUUCAGACCUUCUCCCAUCACCAUGAGCUUGACUAGUUCAACAUCCGAAGAGUCUAAUGCCCUUCUCAUCCUUCGAAUCUUCUGGUCCUCAAGAUCAGCAGCUGCGGUGAGAUCAUGGUGGGGGUGGGGGUGAUGAUGAUGAUGAUGAUGAUGAUGAUGAGGGAUUAAGGACCGUCUUGCUAGAGAUGACUUGAGACGCAGCUCUUCGAUUUUGGCCACCACAUCUAUGGGCAGAUGUUUGGCGAGAACUUCUGGUGGUAGACCUGAUUUGGCCACUAGGUGGGAACAAGUAGUCCAAAGUUGGUGCAUGUCUUGCUUUCUUGAAGCUAUUAGUACUUUCAUAACAUCUUCAAUUGAGGCCUUCUCCACCAUACUGGCCAAUUGUUUCUGUGAAAAGAAGAGAACCAAGAGCGUCAGCUUUGGUAAAUGGAAAUGAAAAGAGUCUUCGUUCCCAUUGGUUGAAGCUAAACAAAGCGAUGGGUGUUUGGGAAAGAUUUUAUGUGCUUACGAGGGAAGCCAUUACCAGAGAUUAUCAAGAUCUAGAUUUAGAAAGCCUUUGGUGCGUAGCAUUUAGAUGGAAGAAACCCAAUUCAAGAAAACCAGAAAAUAUGAUUGUACAUGACAUCUAAAUAAACCCUUUGCUUUUUGGGUUAUUUGACAAUGAAUAUCAUUUGAACAACAUUUUUUUUACUCGCAAGAAAAUAGUAAAUCUUUUCAACAUCAACUGUAACCUGUAGAAGGAGAAGUCAAGAUGACCGAUGAAGAAAAACAGUGAAAGAAAACUGAAGCAAUUGAUGGUUGAAUCAGGCGCUGUAGAAGAAAACUGCAGAAAAAAUAACGAAAAAAAAAUACUAAAAAUUCUGUGUUUUUUUCUGUGUUUUUGCAGAAAAGAGAGUUCCUAAAUGAACUGAGAGGAUAAAAUCCAACUAUUUUACAAACAUGGAAAUGAGGAUCGGAAAUAUGUAGAACAAAAAGGUGUUUAGUUAAUCGUUAAAAGAAAAAGAAACCCGGUUUGAUCAUGAUGAUCAUCAUCUUCAUGUUCAUAAGAUUACAAAAAAUCCCUUCAAUAAAAAAAAAGAUUAAAUUACACUUCCCAAAAACAAAGCCUAGUUAUUGUCUGGGUACCCAAAAACCCAAAACACAAAGAGUAACAAGACUCCACAGACGCAAGAAUCAAGAAUCAGACAGCAGAAAAAGAGAGAGAAGGAAAGUAGUUUGUGAGGGUAUGUUGAUGAUGAUUGAUGACGAAGAGAGGGAAGGGAAGGGAAGGGAAGGGAAACCUGAGUAAGCAAUGCAAGCUGUUCAACACCAAAGUAUCUAGCGGCAGCAAGAGUGUCAAGCGCAAGAUCAACGGCAGAGGUGCAAUGUGUAUGCCAACACGCUCUUUCACUACAAUUAGGCCUUGGCUCAUGCUUUUGAGGCACAAUAGAGACCUGGCCACUAUACAAGAACUGUAACAAUAGCAAGAACACUUCAUAUCCCACUGAGUUCACGGGUAUAACACCGGGCCUAGACCCUGCUGUUGAUCCGCCUCCUCGGUUCAUCCUCGAACCAACCGGGUCUAAACCAGCUGGAGGAUCAGGUCCGCAGAAGAAUUUCCUAAAGAAGAGACUCCUUGCAGCUAAAAUACACCUGUGGGCAUGAACUAACCGACCCUCUACACUGAAAGUUACAUCAGAGAAAGCUUGGCCAUUGAUGAGGAGGUUGAGGUAGUCGAGGGAGAGAGAUCUUAAAGACUCGUCAAGGCUACUCAUUUUAGGGUUGUUUUCCCAGAGGAAUACAAAAAGAAAAAUCUUCUCUUUUUGGAUAAACAAGUAUGUUGUUGAAUCAAGUACACGAAGAAGAAGAAGAAGAAGUAGUAGUUAGAGAAAUAAGUAGGGAUUUAGAUGAUGGUUUCAUUUGAAAGAAACGGAGGAGGUUACUGUAAUUGGUUUUUGUAUUGAGAGAUUCUUUCCUCUCGAUGAAGUGGUGUGGGUUUUUGUCGAUAGGGAUAUAUAUAUUUUUUUGAUAGACAGAGAAAAGAGAAAACUUUAGAAAGAGGGAGAGGGAGAGGGAGAGGGAGUGGGAGAGGGAGAGCAACAUGGGUGGAUGUUCGGGGCGGCUGAGCUAUUUAAAAUACACAAUUUAUUUAUUGGAAAAUUAAAAGAACAAAAAAAAACUAUUUGUUUUUUUGUUUAUACUAUUAAAAAUAAUACAUGGGGGUGGGGUAGGACGCUGGAGAAAUGAUGAUGGGAUUGGGAUACAUGGAAAAUUUUGUUACAAUUAUUCUCAUCAUUACCUCGUGUUUUACUAUUAUAAUUUUACUCAACUUAACUAUUAGUUCAAUUUUUUUUUAAAGCCAGCAUUUAUAUUCUCUACUAAACCAAGUAAAUUAGUCUUAUUUUACUCUAAAACAAAUCAAGCUUAAUUUAAGAGUACUUCAACUAACUAAACUAACAUAGAUUAAAAAAAUAUUUGGGCAAACUAAAGAAAUUACUAUUUUUGUUUGUCAUAGAUUACGUUUUAGUCACUUAUAUUUAAAAUAUUAUGUUUUAGUCACUCACGUUAUCAAUUUGUUACGAAGUAGUCACUUUGCCAUUAAGCUCCGUUACCUCCCUAACGACAGUCCUACAUGGCAGCCUAAAUAGGUUUUUUUAAAUGCCAAUUUGGAUAUCCAAUUGGAAUGAAAAUAGAUUUUUAAUGAAGUAAAUUUAAUUAAUUAAAAAUUUUAAAUUAAUUACACCUUAAACUGGAAAAAAAAUCAGUCUUCUCCUUUUUUUUUUAGUUUUCUUUUCCAUUUUGAUUGAAAGAACUAUUCUCAUCCCAGUUGGAUAUCUAAGUUGACAUUUAAAACUCAUUUGGACUGUCAUGUAGGACUGUCAUUAAGGAGGUAAUGGAACUUACGAUAACGUAAGUGACUAAAAUGUAACAUUUCAAACAUAAAUGACUAAAAUGUAAUAUGAGACAAAUAAAAAUGACUAUUUUUAUAACUUACCCAAAAUAUUUAUGUCAAAUGGAAUCUAAUCUUCCUUUAUAAAUAUUUCUUAUCCGUUUCAACUCUCAUCAUGUUUGAAUACGUAUAUACAUCCAUAUAUAUAUAUAUAAUAAUUAAUAAUGUAAUUUGAAAAAAUAUUGGAAAAAAAAUAAUGUUAACUCCCGUUUGAGAGUUAAGCCUUAAACUUGUAAUUAGGUAAAACUUCUAACAAUGCUUCUUCCAUAUAAAGGAAAUUAUUUUCAAAUAUUCUAUUUUUUUUUGGAUAAUCAUAGACCAAGUAUAAUUUUAUUUGGGUUGAAAGUAAUAUUCACAAAUUUCAAAAAUUUUAAAUUAAAAUACUGAAAAUAAAUUGAGUGGUCAUUUAUAAACAAAAGCAAUAAUAUAAUUUUAACCUUUUUUUCAACCUAUAACACAUAAUAUUAGUUUAUAAACGAAAAUAUAAAUUUAUUUUGAAGGACAAACUUUAAUGUAAAAUACAAAUACAUAAAUCUAUGUAUACCUAAUAAAUUACCAAACAUUUCAAAGGUCAAAGCUAUGUUGGCUCCAUAUUGUCUCCCCUUUUAACUUAACCCUAUGCAACCACCAAUAAGGGUGUAAUGGCAUUGUACCAAAAGAAAGAAAGAAAGAAAAAAAUCAUGUAGCCUCAAUUCACUUCAUCUUCUACAGGAGAUGUCCCAUUUACAAGUACAUAUGCAACCUUGAUCUUUUUAGAUUACCUUUUUGGAGGAGCAAUCUCAACUUAAUGGAUAUUUUCAUUGUUUUUUAUUUAUUCCUAAUGUUACUAAGUUGAGUUUUGGUUUGCUUAUAUGAUGUAAAGGUCUAGGCCUAUAUUAUAAAAGAAGGUUUAUCCUUUGUUUCCAUCUAAAAAAUUUUCGGUAAUCUUUUAGAAAAAAAAGGUUUGGAAAUUACUUCAAUUACAGUUAACAUUUGUAUUUUUUUUUCUAGUAAUAAGUGAAUUCUUUUUGUUGUACUGCUUAUUGUGUAUGUUAGGGUCAACAAUAAUAAGAGAUAGUAAAUUGAAAUUUUGAAUUUUUUUUUAUUACAAACUUUUUAAAUUAAAAAAAAAGGAAGAGAGAAUAGUUUGGACACUUGAAUUUAUAAUAGUUUAGCCUCAGUUCCUUACCUCCACUACUUUAUUAUACUUCAACUAAAGAUUUUCCCAAUUUACAAGACUAAUAUAGAACAUUCCCUUACUUUUUAAGUGUUAACUAAAACCCUCUAGCUUUUUCACUUCAACCAGUACUCUUUAAGUCUCUUUUAAGGUUUUCUAUCUCAAAACCUUAAGUACACUCUUUAAUUACAAAAAGAAAGUGCAAACAAAUAAUCAACCUUUAAUAAAAUCUAACUUUGAGCUACAGAUAAGAAAUAAAAGUGAUGAAAGAUAUUACAAUAAUCUCUUAAAAGAAUAUGUACAAGAGAAAGAAGAUAUGAAGUUAUUUCUCUUAUGUUAUCUCUCUUAUAAGUCUUGAAUUGUUCUUGACUUGUAUUUAUAUUAAGGAAUAAGUUUGUGGACGUUUGGAGCCAUUGGGAUGAAAAUAAAACUAUUUUUGGGUUGAAAAAGUGUUCCUAUAGCUCAAGUAUCGAUACAUACUAAGAAGAUAUUGAUACCUUUCACAAAAGUAGUCGUUUAUAGUCGUUACAAGGCUAGGUGCCAAUACCUAUAGGGUAGUUAUCGAUAGCUACAAGUUGGGUACCGAUACGUGGCCUCUCAUUUUGUUUCUGAGGCUAUCGACUUACAAUGUUUUGAUACUUAGACCCUUAGUAUCAAUGCCUAACUAUCAAAAUGUCUUAAAAACAUUUAAGCAAUUUCGAAUUUGCCUCGAAAACAUUUGGUUAAGUUGAAACUCAUUUAGACCAUGUUUUUGAGUGCUUUGCAAGUCUUUGAACACGUUUUGAAAAUGUUUAGUCAUUAAAUGACUUAAUUAGUAAUAAAAUUUAUCUUAUUUAUUGUUGUAUAAAAAACUUGGGACAUCAAAACUAAUAAUCUUUCCCUUUUUUAUAUAACAAAAAGUUUUAAGAGAAAUUUGCAUUUUGAAAAACUUUCCCUAAAUGAUUUAGACAUUUUCAAAAAUAAACUCCUCUUUAAUAAAAUACUUAUUGAAGCAAGACUAACAAUAUUAAAUUUUAAUAGUAAAUACUACAAUAAAGAAUAUAUGGAUUUCAAUAACCGAAUCCAAGGGUUUAUAAAUGACAUACAUUUUCUCUAAAAAAAAAUAAAUGACAAGCAUUUAAACUAUAUAUCAAUAAGCAUACAUGCAUAACCACUAAACUAUUUGCAUAAACAUUGAAAGAUAAACAUUUAAACCAUAUAUAUAUAUAUAUGCAAACUUCAUCUUAUUCUCCCAUUUUUGGUAUAUCAAAAGGUUUGCCGAAAAUGUAAAAAAUUAUGGCAUUUUGAAAAUCAAAUCUUAAAGAGAAUAAAGUUUAAACAAAAGACUUUCAAAGAAAAAGAAGUAUAGCAAUGAAUGAAUCAUACUUGAAAUCCAUUUGUUUUAAACACUUAAUGCAAUAUUCUAAAGUGCGAGCAAGGAAGUCUUAAUUGCAUAAGAGUUCAUCUAAAGAUAUGUCGAGGGAAAUAUACCAAUUAAUACUUAAUAAAGAUAUCAAUUGUUAUCAAGAAUUGCUAUCAAGGCAUGAACAAAGAAUUGCAUACUAAUGAUAACAUUAAUACAACCAUAUGCAAUUUUUAUUUCUAGUACUCACUCUUACUAAAUACGUAUCCUAAUGAUUUUCUCUCUGUUUUUUAGAUACCAAUUGUUAUCAAACAUAAUAGGCAUGAAAAGUGCAAUGGUAUCAAAAUUGGGUAUCAAAAGCCAUUAUAGCAAUAAUGAUAUCAGCAUCAAAAGCAUAAGAAGAAGAAAGAUAUACAAAAAAUAUAUUAUUAAAUGAACAAAACAUAUAGGCAAACAAAAUGCAUUUCAUUCAAUAAGGAUAUUAAUCAUUGCGUCUUUUAAGACCAUGUUCAAAUAAGAGAAAUCCAUUAGGCAUGAACAUGGCAAUGGCAUUCAAUUAACAAAAUACCAAUAUGAGUACACAAUGGAUAUUGAAGAAUUUGUGAUAUGAGGCAGGUGAUCAUCAAACAUGGCAUAUUUAUAUAAAUCGAUAUCAAAUGUAAGCUCAAAUAAACAUGUCAUGGAACGAUGGUAUGUAAAUGAUAUAUCAAUUCAUAGCAUGAUACCAUUGAGAAUUCCAAAGUCUUAAGCCUAAGUAAAAAUAUUAAUCUUAUAUCCUAAGUCUAAUCCUAAUUCUAAUUGUAGUUCUAAACAUGUAAGCUCAAAUAAACAUGUCAUGGAACAAUGGUAUGUAUUGAUAUAUUAAUUCAUAGCAUGAUACCAUCGAGAAUUCCAAAGUCUUUAAGCCUAAGUAAAAAUAUUAAUCUUAUAUCCUAAGUCUAAGUUUAAUCCUAAUUCUAGUUCUAAACCUAGUUUUGUUUUUAAUCCUAAGUUGAAUUCUAAACUUAAUGCUAGAUUUAAUCCUAAUUCUAAUUCUAAUUUUAUAAACUAAUUCUAAUCCUAAGACUCUAUACUAAUAUGUACAAGCACCUUAUGCAUAGCUUAAGGUCAUAAGUGAUUAGAGCUUAAAUAAAGAAUUUAAAGAUAAAAGGGUCAUAAAAGUUUCAAAACAAGAUAAUACUUAUUUCAUCUUGAAUAUUUUCAAGAAAGUUUAUGAGAUAAAAUAAAGAUGUUCAAAUGAUCUUAUGACCUUAAUUUCAAUAAAUUCAAAUGAUCAUGCCUUUAAACCUCACAUUUUCUUGAAAAGUCAUGAUUUUCAAUAAAUGUCAUUAAAAUACAAAGUAUUUCAAUAAAUUCAAAUGAUCAUGCCUUAAUUUCAAUAAAUGACUUGACCGUACAUCACUAUAUGCACUUAAGGACACAAAAAUGAACCUAAAAACCACCUAGUGGUAAAAAUAUUUUCAAAUUCAUUAAAAACAAAAUUAAGCUAAGCGACUCCGUAAAAUUUUGAAAUUCGACUCGGUUUAUGAUAUUUAUAGCAAUAAACCUUAGACCAAAAUCUACCUGUGUUUUUGGAUAAGCGGAUCCUUGAUGUUUUCCUACUUUGAACAAAACGAUAUUCUUCGCUAUUCUCAUACCAUGAACUAGAAAAAGUUUUAUUUUCUUUUUUGGUUGAAAACAAAAAUUAUUUCUUUAAUAGAAACUAGUAGAAUUAUUAUUAUGGAAAAAUAUAUUAAAUAGUUGAGAAUAAAUUCUCUCUAUUUUUCGACGAAGUAACAAUUUCUCAAAGUUGUGCAAAUAGUUCUACCGAUGUCAUCUAGAAAAUUUUGAGAGAAUUUUCCAAUCUAGAUCUAACAAAUUUUUAAAAAUGAAAAAAAAAGAUAGAGAGAGCUUGGGUAGCAAGUGGUUUUAUAGCCAACCAAUUUUUUUUUCUAAAAUUGGGCUAUUUGCCCUCUGUCCGAUCCUAUUUCUCCCUUCUUCUAAUAGCUUCAUUUUUAACUACUAGCCUUAAUUUACACAUUUAAGCUCUACUUUAACCACUACUCCAAAUUAGUCUUUAUUAUUGUUAUUUACUAAUGCCCCAAUUAUUAAUAUCAUAAUUAUUUAAUUUAAUUCUUAUUUUUACUAUUAUUAACUAAUUAGUUAAUUUAUCCUAUUUCAGUUUCUACGACACAAAACUUGAUUUUCUCUCAAACCCAUAAUAUAAUGUCCAAUUCUACUAACUUGAUUUUCAGGAUGUAACAUUUUUCAUUUCUCUAUUUCUAUUCAUUUUGUUCAUUUUGAUUCAAAUACGUAAUUUAUUUAUGGUUUCAACAAGCUAGUGGAGAGACCAAUUGAACAUAUGUAAUUAGGGCUCAAAUGAUUUAUAAUUAAGUUCUGCCUUUUCGCCUAUUAAUUAUAAACUCAUUUAGUCAUGAAGUCAUUUAACUAUAGUAUUGUGACUGAGGUCUUCUUAAUGACAAACCAUUACAAAAAAAACUAUUCAGUUCUCGUCCAAUGGCCUUGUCAUAAGUGCGUUACCCUCAUAGGAUAUCAUUAAUCUCUCUAGGAUUAUUAUCCACUCUCCCAAUAUGAUCUUAUUUUAUCUCAUGGUAACCAUUAAAUCUUCCUUCAUGAAAAGUCAAUUACUAUUGAAUAGUGAUCAAGUUGUUCAUCACAAAGAUGAAUGAUUUGUGGCAACGUUUUACUUUUCAUCAACAAUGUAAUGCCAAUAAGAGCAUGUCAUUUACCCAUGUCUCAGGCUAUGAAUUCCAUUAUUGUGAAUGACACCACGUACUGCAAAAGUCAUACACCCAACACACCAGCUUUCGAUUCCUUAUCUAUUUGAACUUAGGCUUUUAGUUACAUCAAAGUGUACAAGACACACAUACAUAGUCCGUCAUCCACUCAUGAUUAAGGUAUGUCACACUAUAGGUGUUACAAGUGAAAAAAUCUGUAAAUAAAUUUAGGAUCUAUUCUAAUUGGGUCUUGUCUGAUGUUCUGUCAGUCUAGUCAGUCACACAUAUGUCUCUAUCUUUUGGGAGUCAUCCGCUUCGAUGCCCAAGAUAAAACAUCUCCCUAAUUGGACUUGAUAGAUGACAUAUUAGUGUUUCAAUCGGUUUGAUCAUUUCUGAUGAGACUAAAGAAAUUUUUUGGUUCGUUUACUAAUACAAGCUAUCUUUUAGUAUCACGAUCUGACCACGUGAUAUUUUUCAGUAUUGGUUUAAACAUUAGAUAACCAAUAAGCAACAUUUGCUUCCAUUUUUCUUUGCGUGCAAAAACCAUGUGAGGAAAAUUAUACAAAUUAUAUUAAUGUAACAAAUGAAUUUGUUUUAUUAAACGAUCUAUUCGAAAAAAUUACAAGUGCACUUUGACGAAAAUACUACAUUUAAGGCACUAGAUCCAACAGUAUCCUAGUUGCCCUAUUGAAGUAAAUGAGUUAUGUUUCACAUUCUUGUGCUAUUUCAUAUGCUACCCAGAGGACUCUCUAGCUACUAAAGUCUUGGUAAAAAAAAUCCCCAAGUUAUGCCCUCAGAUGUAUUCUUUGACUACAUUCACUAUUUUUUCAAACACUAUCGUCUCCCUUAAUGUGUUUUGUCUUAUGUGGUUUCUUUUAGGUUUAGCUAUAUCCACACUGUUAUAGUGUCAUAGCUUUUCCAUACCUUAUAUUUGGCCCUCUAUAGUAAAGUUAGCAGUGUAACCCUACUUGACACUUAUUCACAUUAUGGACCUACCAUUUAGGACAAAAACAAAAUCCGAUGUCGAUUUCCUCGAAUCUUGAUACGUUGGAAAGUCAAAUUUGGUUAAUUUGAAGAUCUCUUCUGGAAUACACAAGCAUAUAAUCCCUCUUUCCGUAAAUACUUGAAUGUAUGCUUAACUGCUUGCCUAUGUCUUGGUCCUUGAUUCGUCUAAUAUCGACUUACCAACCCCACUGUAAAAUAGAUAUCUGGACAUGUGCAUAACAUAACAUACAUGAGACUUCCUACUACUGAAGUAUAAGGAACCUUUCUCAUGUUUUCUUUUUCUUUCGUUAUCUUAGGACAGUCCUCUAAAGAGAGACGAAAUCUCGAUACGGGGGGUUGAUUUCCUUUCUUCGAAUCAGUCAUUUCAUAACACUCUAAUUUCUUAUCUUUGUAUGAAUCCUGAGACAAUACUAUCACUCUGUUCUUUCAAUCCUUUAGGAUUCGAAUGCCUAGAACAAACGUAGCUUCUCUCAAGUACUCUAUGCUAAACUGUUGGGUUAGCCACAGUUUAACUGACAACAAUGUCCUUACAUCAUUCCGAAGGAGUAGAAUGUUAUCAACUUAUAGAACAAGAAAAACCACAUUUCUAUCCUCUAAACAUUCAUAAAUGCAAGGUUCAUCAACGUUUUGUUCAAAUCCAAAAGUCUUGAUUGCUUGAUCAAAUCUUUGAUUCCAUUGGCGAGAUGCUUGCUUAAGUCCAUAUAUGGAUCUAAGAAAUUUGCAAACUUUAUGCUCAUUUUCUUUAGCUAUAUAUCUGAUGGGUUGCAUCACAUAGAUGUGAUCUAUCAUAAUUCGGUGUAGCAGAUUAAACUAGUUUUCGUACUUGAGGGGUUUAAAUACAAGCACUUUUAUUAUGUUUUAGUUAAGUUUUUAUAUUUUAGUUUAAAUUCAAUAAAAAUUAUAUUUUGAGUCUUUUAUUGACCUUAGCAGUCGAAUGAGGCCUAAAGGUGAGCUAAUGUACUUAGUAAGUGUGUAGGAGAACAUUCAAAGGCAUAAAAACUGAAAGCUUGUCACUAUGUUGCAACACAGGGAGUUCGAUGUCACAAUAUAAGGAGCAGAAUGCCAGAAUUGCUAUACUACCUUUGGUGUCGUGACACAGCUAAGAGAUGUCGCGAUACACCCUUAAAACUACCCUGAACCUGAGCAUACUACUUUUGAUGUUGCGACACAGGCAUUAAGGUGUCUUGAAAUCGGCCUUGUACGGAAAACACUUACGAGACAGGGGUGUUUUAGUUUACACAUUGAAAAGUUAACACGAGAACGUCAGCUGACCUAGGUUUGAGGACGACAAUGACCCUAACUCUAUAAAUAGGCUUUUAAUACACUUGUUGAGAACAAUUUUUCAUACUUUAAGUUUUCUUUGUAAUUUUAGUUUUAAUCUUUUCUUUUCUUUAAGCUUUAGGUUUAUUUUUAUUUGUGUUCUUCGGAGAACGUGGUUUGUAAAUGCGAUCAAAGCUAGUACAUUUGUUGCACUUCGUUUAUCAAAUACAAACAUGAUUCUCUAAAUUCUACUCUAGAUUUGUUAUUUAUGUUUAUCUUUAUCAUCAAGUUUAUUGUGUUCAUGAAAUUUAUGAGGAACUAAUCCUCCUAUAGGGGAUUAGCAAGUGGAGGUGUGACUAAUUGAUUACUAUGUAACGUUUUCUUAGCGGAUCAGUUGUUUGGGGGAGGAAGAACAUAAACCCUAGGUUUGACAACCCUAGGAAGACAUUUAGGUGGAAAUUAACCCAAAAUUGGUAUGGCCUAUCUAUGAAUACCUUAGCCCCAAACCGGUCUGGACUGUGAGGUCGAGAGAUAAGUAGUUCUUGUCGUCUCAUUACUUUAGUGGAAGAUCGAGACAUCCUUUGAUUUAGUAGAAACCCAAAAUAAGAAUUAGUUAUGACCAUCAAAGCGAGCUAAUCACGCAUGCUUAGAAUUAAUUAAGUUUAUAAAUUAGUUUUUCGAAGUCUUUUUAAUUUAGGUUUUUGUUAUCUUUAUUUCUUUAUUUCUAAGAACCCAAAAAUCUUUAUUUUAUGUUUUAUUAUAAUAUAUAUUUUAGAGUACUAAUUAGAUCUAUUUUCAUUUAGGUUAGAAUUAAUCUAGUAACUCGCUAAGAAGCAUGAAGCCCUCAAGAAGCAUUGUAGGAGACACUGUAACACCCCUAACCCGUAUCCGUCGCCAGAUCAGAGUGACGAGGCAUUACCGAUCAAAUUACCACUCAAUACGGUCAUACAAUUCAAUCAUGCACAUAGUAAUAUUAACUCCUUUACAAUAAUUUUUUUUAACUAAGUUUAACCAAAUAUAAUCAUGCAUUGUAUUUUAUUCCAAUACAUGCGCAUAUUAUACUUAAUAUGCAAUAUCACAUGGAAAAUAAAUCAAAACACAUUCGGUAUAAUCAACCUCACCAAAUGAUCAAGUAUAAAAUUUUUAAACAUCAACGUCAUGUACUCAUUUUACCUAAUUAAUAUAAACCAUUUUAAAACACAUACUACUAAUCAAAGUACAAUCAAUUUACAAAUUUAAUAAUCAAGCCAAUUCAUAUAUAUAUAUUUUUAUUCACCUCAUGAAUUAUUCGGUUAACACAAUAAUCUAAAUUAAGAUUUUUCCACGGCAUAGUAGACACAUAUAUUUUACACAUAAAUAAUCUUUAUAAUAAGACUAAUACAACAAAUUUAACAUUAACAUUUUACUAAACACUUGACUAAAUGAUUUAAACUAUCAUUGCCAAAUCACAAAGUUGAUUAUAAUCAUCAUAUAAAAUUUCAUCAUAUAACCGAAUACACAACACUUUAUAAACAGUUUCCAAAUUGAUUCAUAUAUCAAACACACCUCAUAAUUACCAUGAAACCUACUUUCCCACAUGAACAUAUAUCAUGAUCAAAUCUAUAUAAUCAUAAACAUCAUUUCUAGCCGUUUGGAUCCGAACCUAUAAAGCCAAUUUACAACCAAAUACAUAUCCAUCAUUUUACCUCAUCACCAAGCCCUAUUAUACAAUCAUCCAGCACACAUUAUACCACAUUUGAUACUUCCAAAAUAAGUUUAAGUCAUAGCCACAUACACACUAACUUUAACAUUAUAAUCAAGCCAUUUUCGUAUGGCUAUAUAUAUAAAUAUACAAACUUCAAAACCAAAUAUAUCAAAACAAGCUUAUACAUGCCACAUAACCAAAUCUCAAAGCAUUAGUUACCGAAAUGAUAACUGGAUAGUAUGAUGACGUCUCCAACAACUUCCAACUUGAGCAAUUCACUGAAACUCUAAAGACAUAGGAAAAACACACAGAGUAAGCUUCGAGAACUUAGUAAGUCAUCAGCAAAUAAAUAACUCAAUAUUAAUAUCAACUUAGUUUAAUCAAACUAAUUUAUACUAUCAUGAUCACAUUUAUUUUCAAGCUCGUAAUUUCAUAUAUAACAUAUACUUCCACGUACAAAUUUUACCUUGACCGAAUAUACAUGUAUCUAUUAUCAAAAUAACAUACCCUUUCAAAGCCAUAUUAUCAAUGUAUAUAUAACUGAAUAUUUAAACUCUUAUAUACAUAUCUUCAUAAAUCAAACCAUAAUAACACAUAUAUAUAUACAUAAUAUGUGGUCGAAUAUAUAUUUUACAAUUGCCCAAAAAUGAAAACACAUACAUUUCAUUUACAAAAUCACUUAUACUUUUCAUUUGGCCAAUUAUAGAUUUUCCUAUACAUAUAUACUCUCAUUUAUGUCAUGAAUACAUAAGUAAACCGAAUGUAUACUUUCACAUAUGCAUACAUAUAAUUCACAUUAACAUGUAACAUUUAUAUCAUUAAUCCAAACAUCCUACUUGCCAUAAUUUCAUAAUUUAGUAUGAAUACAUACCUGAGCCUUUUAAAUUGAUUUUUCAUGCGUCAGAAAAUAGCAUUACAUAACAUUUUUAUCACAUAUCUUUUAGCCAAUUUACCUUCAUUUCAAAUAAGUAAACCACAUUCACAUACCUGAUCACUUUAUCUCAUUUAACACAUUUGAUUACUUUUACCGUUGUUCACAUAAAAUUUGCUAGGCAUAAAGCCUAGUAUAAUACACCGGCACAGAGCCUUCUAGGCAAUAAGCCUGAUAUAAUACACCGGCAUAUAAAGCCUGCUAGGCAAUAAGCCUGAUUAUACAAUCAUCCAGCACACAUUAUACCACAUUUGAUACUUCCAAAAUAAGUUUAAGUCAUAGCCACAUACACACUAACUUUAACAUUAUAAUCAAGCCAUUUUCGUAUGGCUAUAUAUAUAAAUAUACAAACUUCAAAACCAAAUAUAUCAAAAUAAGCCUAUACAUGCCACAUAACCAAAUCUCAAAGCAUUAGUUACCAAAAUGAUAACCGGAUAGUUUGAUGACGUCUCCAACAACUUCCAACUCGAGCAAUUCACUGAAACUCUAAAGACAUAGGAAAAACACACAGAGUAAGCUUCGAGAGCUUAGUAAGUCAAAAGUAAAUAAAUAACUCAAUAUUAAUAUCAACUUAGUUUAAUCAAACUAAUUUAUACUAUCAUGAUCACAUUUAUUUUCAAGCUCACAAUUUCAUAUAUAACAUAUACUUCCAUGUACAAAUUUUACCUUGACCGAAUAUACAUGUAUCUAUUAUCAAAAUAACAUACCCUUUCAAAGCCAUAUUAUCAAUGUAUAUAUAACCGAAUAUUUAAACUCUUAUAUACAUAUCUUCAUAAAUCAAACCAUAAUAACACAUAUAUAUACAUAAUAUGUGGUCGAAUAUAUAUUUUACAAUUGCCCAAAUAUGAAAACACAUACAUUUCAUUUACAAAAUCACCUAUACUUUUCAUUUCGCCAAUUAUAGAUUUUCCUAUACAUAUAUACUCUCAUUUAUGUCAUGAAUACAUAAGUAAACAGAAUGUAUAUUUUCACAUAUGCAUACAUAUAAUUCACAUUAACAUGUAACAUUUAUAUCAUUAAUCCAAACAUCCUACUUGCCAUAAUUUCAUAAUUUAGUAUAAAUACAUACCUGAGCCUUUUAAAUCGAUUUUUCAUGCGUCAGAAAAUAGCAUUACAUAACAGUUUUAUCACAUAUCUUUCAGCCAAUUUACCUUCAUUUCAAAUAAGUAAACCACAUUCACAUACCUGAUCACUUUAGCUCAUUUAACACAUUUGAUUACUUUUACCGUUGUUCACAUAAAAUUUGCUAGGCAUAAAGCCUAGUAUAAUACACCAGCACAGAGCCUGCUAGGCAAUAAGCCUGAUAUAAUACACCAGCAUAUAAGGCCUGCUAGGCAAUAAGCUUGAUAUAAUACACCGGCACAAAGCCUGCUAGGCUAUAACUAAAGCCUGCUAGGCAAUAAAGCCCGAAUAUCACUGAUACAAAGUCGGUCUUACACAUAAUUCAUAUUUCGGAAAUCCUAAUUAUUUCUUAAUGUUCAUAUUAAGCUUUUCAAACAUCAUAUCUCAAUUGAAUCGAACUUGUUCCCAAAUCUCAUAAACAUUUAUACAUUCAGCUAUAACUAAUAAAAAUUCACACAAUUAAAUUCAGCAUAUAAAGAUCAUAUACAUUCAAAUUUUAAAACGUUUAUUGCUUAUAGACUUACCUCGGACAACGGUAAUCGAAACGAGACGACUAAUCGACCACUUUGAUUUUCCCCCUGAUCCAAAUCCGAAUUCCACUUUUUCCAAUCUAAUUAAUAUCAAAAUUAACUCACUUAUUCAACAUUUCAUUAAAUUUUAUCUAAGGACACAUAAUCUGGGCAAUUUUCAUUUUAUCCCCUAACAUUUCACAUUUUCACAAUUUAGUCCCGAUUUCAAAAUAACACAAAUUACUCAAAAUUUCAUCAAACCCAUGUCAGGCCGAAUUUAUCUUAGGUCUCUAGCAACCCAUUUCUUUUAUUUUUUUCACGUUUUGACCCCUCAAUUUACAAAUUUCUAAAUUUAGUCCUUAAUACACAUUUUUAUCAAAAAUCACUUAAUUAAACAUGAAAAUCAAACAUCAAAGAUUUAUUAUUCAUCAUCAAACAACAAUUUCAUCACAUAAUAAACAAUGGAAAAUCUCAAAUUCUUCAUUAAAUCCAAAAAUUAAGGCAUGGGUUUACUAGUACUCGAAGCAACGAUCUAAAAAACGUAAAAAUUAUCAAAAACCGAGUAAAACACAUACCCGAAUUAAGCUUCCAAAGGUGCCGAAUAUUCAAAGCUUCCAAACUCAUCUUUUUGUUUUCACAUUCGGCUAUGGAGAAAGAUGAUAGCAUAAAAAGACAAAAAACAUGGCUUUUGAUUUAUUUAAUUAAACUUUUUUUAACAUAUUACCAUUUUACCAUUAAAAUAAAUUCAUAUUUACACAAAUGCCAAAUCAAAUAUCAUCCACUAUCUUAUAAAUGGGCUAUUUACCAUUUAAGGCCAUCAUAGUAAAAAGCCAAGACCAAUUGACACCUUUAACCAAUAGCAUGCAACUUUUACUUUUUACGCGAUUUAGUCCUUUUUAUUAAAUCAAGCACACAAUGAUAAAAUUUUCAUACGAAAAUUUCACACAUAUAAAUUCACAUACUUUAAACACAGAAAAUAAUAUUAAAAUAUUUUUUUGACUCAGAUUCGUGGUCCCGAAACCACUGUUCUUACUAGGGUCUAAAUUGGGUUGUUACAGACACUCUAUAUGCAAUACACGAAGAUUCGACAGAAACAAAUAAGAGAUUGGAACAAACGCUGAAAAUAGAAAAUGGAUGUCGGGACUUCAAUUAAAAAAAAGUAAAGUUAACAGCUCGACAAGAUAUUGGUGAGAGUAGCCAUCCCACGUUGGAUUGGAUGAUACAUUGGAUGCAAGAGACAUACCGGUUUUCCCAGAAUACACAUCUAAAGCAUGAAGAAGAGGGGCAAGAAAGUGAUGAGGAGGAAGAAAACGAGGAUGAGAAAAGAGAAGGAAAUAAGGAAAUGGGUUUUGAGGAAGAGGAGGACGAUUAAACUUUUAAAUUUUUAAUGUUUAUUUUUGGAGAUUGUAUUAAAUUUUGGAGAAUUUUUAUUUUAGGAGAAGGACUAACAUUAUAUUGUUAUAUCUUUGUUUUCUUUUCUAUUUCAAGUUUUCUAUGUAGGAAUCCCACACGAAAGAAGCAUGACUUUUUCGAGCUUGCAACAAACAAAGAAGGAAGCACCCACUAAUAUGCAACAACACUAUCUUGAUUAAUCGAGUAACUUAUUUCCUUAUCCUUUCAGGACUGCAUAUUAGGAACAAUGUGCUAUCUAAAGUAUGGGGAUAACAUAGGAUAUUUAUUUUUAUUUUUAUGUUUUUUUUAUGUCAAAUGUGUGCUUUAGCUUGUAGAAAUACAAGUGAUUGGUUAGAAACAUGUAUAUAGGUUGAUUAUAUUUAUUAUAAAUUUGGCAUGAUAGUGAAUGAUUUUAAGUUUUUGAUUAUUAGACUACUAAGUUCUAUAUAUCACAUGUAAAUAAGCAUUGAGUAAUUGAAUAUACCAAAAGAUAUAAAUAAUACAGGGAAACGAACAUGCUAGUAUGUAUGAUAAAUAGUUGAAUUUGUGAUUAUUUGAUUGAUUAAAUUUGUGAAUAAUGGGACACCUAGGGAUGACCUAAGUCAUUGUUUGGUAUAAACCCAGAGCCAAAAAUCUAACCUUGUUUAUCAAUCCUUAGUACCUAUUUUUGAGCUAGAAAAUAAUUUUUGAUGAACCUUCAUACAAACCUAAGCCAAAACAUUAAUCUAUACUUACACUUUUUCUUUAGUCAUGAAUUACAUGAAUAAUAGACGUUUGGCCAUAUAUAUUGAUGGUUAAGUAGAUACCUCACGAUGGAUUUUGUAAAAAUAGAGUGAAAUAGGAAGAAUCGGUGUGAUAUAGUGAUUAUAGGUUAGCCAAUAUGUGCAAUAAAAGAAAAUUGUAGAAAGAAAACAAGAAAAGCGAGUAGAAAAAGAUCAUGAAAAAUCACAAGCAUUAUGAGCGAGAUGUGUAAAAAAGGAAAAAACGUGAUAAAGUAAAAAAAAUAGAAAAACUUAGUCAAUAAUGCACAAAAACUCGUGAUUUACUAGUAGUUGUUGUAUUAUAUUGUGACUUCUGACGUGGAGAAAUAAGGAAGGUGAGAGAAGGAGAAAUAAGGUGGUGAGAGGGCAUGGGUUACUACGGGGGAAGAAUAGGGACCAAUACGAUGUGCUAAACUAUUUUCGUGCUUGAAACCAUUUUGAUGCUUCCUGUUCUUGAAUUCCAUGCAUGUCAUAAGCCUCAUAAAGUUACAAGCCGAAAAGCCCUAUGUGACCUAGGUAGACUUAUUCAUGAAUUGACAUCACAUUAAGUAAUUACAUUAACGACUGUUUAUAUUCUGCUAGGAUAAUCAAAUUACCAGUACGAUUUAUUGAUGGAUGCAUAUAUUUGAAAACCUUUAUGUAUGUAUACUUUGUAAUAUACUGAAAUUAGGUGUUUGAUAUUGAAAUUGGUAAGUCGUUUAUGUAUCAUGCUAGGAUUAUGUGUAAAUAUGAAAAUGCCUAGUUAUGUACUCCAAAACCAAUCUUUGUACCAUACUUGCUCAAGGGUUGUCUUUUACUUUUUUUUUAGCUUGCUUGAGGACAAGCAAUGACUUAAAUAUGGGGGAGUUUCAUAUGAAGUAAUUUGGUGUAGCAGAUUAAACUAGUUUUCAUACUUAAGGAGCUUAAAUACAAGCACUUUUAUUAUUCUUUAGUUAAAUUUUUAUAUUUUAGUUUAAAUUCAAUAAAAAGUGUAUUUUAAGUCUUUAUAUACCUUAAGGGCCGAAUGAGACCUAAAGGUGAUCUAAUGUACUUAGUAAGUGUGAAGAAGACCAUUCAAUAGCAUAAGAACUGAAAGCUAGUCACUAUGUUGCAACACGGGGAGUUCAAUAGCAACAUAGGAAACAUAAUGCCAAAAUUGCUAUACUGCCUUUGGUGUUGUAACACACCCUUGAAGUUACCCUGAACCUAAGCAUACUGCCUUUGAUGUCGCAACACAUGCACAAAGGUGUUGUGACAUCGGCCUUGUAUGGGAAACACAUACAAGUCAGAGGCUUUUUGGUCUGCAUAAUACAAACAGGAUUAUCUAAACUCUACUCUUGAUUUUUUAUUUAUGUUUAUCCUUAUUAUCAAAUUUUUUUUGUUCAUGAUAUCUAUGAGGAACUAAUCCUCUUAUGGGGGAUUAGCGAGUCGAGGUGUGAGUAAUUGAUUACUAUGUAACGAUUUUUUAGUGGAUCAACUAUUUGGGAGAGAAAGAACUUAAACCCUAGGUUUGAAAAUCCUAAGAAGUCAUUUAGGUGAAAAUUAACCCAAAACUGGUAUGGCCUAUAUGUGAACACCUUAGCCCCAAACUAGUCUGGACUGUGAGGUUGAAAGAUAAGUAGUUCUUGUCAGCUCAUUAGUUUAGUGGAAGAUCGAGACAUCAUGCUAGGGUAAUGACUAGUUGAUUGAGUGGAAACCCAAAAUAGGAAUUAGUUAUGACCACCAAAGUGAGCUAAUAAUCCAUGCUUAGAAUUGAUUAAGUUUCUAAAUUAGUUUUUCGAAGUCCUUUUUAUUUAGGUGUUUGUUAUCUUUAUUUCAUUAUUUAUAAAACUCAAAAAUCUUUAUUUUAUGUUUUAUCAUAAUAUAAUUUGUUUAAAGUACUAAAUAGAUCUAUUUGCGUUUAGGUUAAACUUAAUCUAGUAACUCGCCUCUCUUAGGUACGAUCUUCAGAGUAGUCACCCACUCCGUUAUAACUUUAUUAGAACCUAACCCGUAUACUUGUGGACACUACCUCUAUACUUUGUAUCUUUUAGUUGCAGUAUUCAUACUCUGGACAUUUGUACGUUUGGAGGUGGUCAAGAUGUUCUCUUUAAGAUAGUAGUUCAAAAAUGUUUUCUUGACAUCCAAUUGCCAGAUCUUGUAAUCAAAAGUCACCGCAAUGGAUGGCAAUAUGGGGAUUGACUUGAACAUGGCAACUAGAAAGAAUGUUUCUUCAUAAUUGAUACCUUGUUUCUAAGUAUAACCUUUUGCUACAAGUCUGGCCUUAUAAGUUGUCACUUUUCCAUCCGCUAUUUUUUCCUCUUGUAGAUCUACUUACACCCUAUGGAUUUUAUCCCUUUCGGUAAGUCUAGAAGUUCCCACACUGCGUUGGAAUACAUAGAAUCUAUCUAAGCUUUCAUAGCUAUUUCCUAGAGCUUGGAAUCAGUACUCUGCAAUACUUCAUCUUAUGUAAGUGGGUCAUCGUCUUCCUAUUUGGAAGACCUAGUGUUAAAAACACUUCUACCGGAGUGGAAGAACUCAGGCCUAUGAAAGACCCUCCCACUGUGAUGAAGCACCCUAUGUUGCUAAUCGUUUACAGGUCUUCUAUUAGGAUUUGGUUCUGGAACCAUUUCAAUAGGGUUUUGUAUAUUUCUCGAAAGUUUUUCUCGAAAUUUUUUCUCGAAAGUUUUUUGAUCUCCUCUAGACAUACCAACGUCCAGAGUAAGAAUCCUGUACAAAAGCCGUCUUUGCAAGUAUACGGGUCAGGAUAUAAUAUAGUUACAACGAAAUAGGUAAGUACUCCGAGGAUCGUACCCAAGGGAGGCUAGCACUAAAUUAAUCCUAACCUAAACACAACUAGAUCUAAUUAGUACUUUAAAUAAAUUAUAUUACGAAUAAACAUAAAGAAAGGUUUGAGGGGCUUGUAAUAAUAAAGAGAAUAGCAUAAAUAAAGAGACUUUGGUACAUUAAUAUGUAAACUUUAUCAGAUAUAACUAUGAGUGGUUAGCUGGCAUUGGUGGUUAUAACUAAUUCUUAUUUUUGGUUCCUAUUCAAUCAAAUAGUUAUUAACCUAGUAAGAUCUCUCGAUCUUUCAGUCUAGACUGAUUUGGUGUUAAAGUGUUCACGAAUAAGCCAUACCAAUUUUGGGGAAUUCCAAACUAAAUGGCUUCCUAUGAUCGUCAAGCUUAGGGUUUAAUUUUUUCUUCUCCCAAAUAGUUAAUCAGCUAAGGAAACCCUACAUAGAAAUUAAUUAAUUACACUUCCACUCUCUAAUCCCCCAUAAAAGGAUUAGUUCCUUCUGAUUCUCAUAAACAUAAUAAUAUUGAUGCUAAAGAUAAAAAUAAAUAAUGAAUUUAAGAGAAAAGUUUUAAGAGAAUCCUGAAUUAUAUUGAGUGAAGCACAAAAUCCACAAAGAGUUGAUCGAGUCUACAGAUCAAAUCUCUCGACGAACGCAAAUAGAAAAACUAGAAAUAACCUAAAGCCUAAGAAAAUGGAAAAAUUAAAAACUGAAAUUAGAAAGAAAAUUCUCAAGUCUAAAAGUUCCCCAUAAUAAGUGCUAAAUGGGCCUAUUUAUAGAGUUAGGGUAUUUGUCGUCCUUAACCCCGGGUCAACUGAUGCUCUCGUGUUAAAUAUUAGAUUGUGCAGACCAAAACACCCCUGACUUGUAAAUAUCUCUCGUAUAGGACCGAUGUCGCAACAUCAAAGGCAGUAUGCUCAGGUUCAUGGUUACUUUAGGGGUGUGUCGCGACAUCCCAUGGUUGUGUUCCAACACCGAAGGCAGUAUCAAUAUUCUAGUAUUUUUCUCCCUAUGCUGCGACAUCAAACUUCCCGUGUUGUAGCACAACAACCAAUAUUGAGUUCAUAUGCACUCUGAUGGUUUCCUGCACACUUACUAAGUAUAUUAACUCACCUCUAGGCUUCAUUCGGCCCCUAAGGUCAAUAACAGGCUAUAAUUCACUUUUUAUUACAUUUAGACUAAACUAUGAAAGCUUAAUUAAAAAUAAUGAAAAUACUCGUAUUGAAGCUCUUCAAAUGCGAAAACUAGUUUAACAUGCUACAUUGAAUUACGACAGAUCAUUCCCCGAUUACCUCUUUACUCCAAGAUUUGAAGUCAUUCAUGUAACUUUCUUCAAGGAAAGUAGCACGAGUUGACACUAUAACAAUAUGCUCUUUCGAGUUAUAAAACAAACCACCCUUUGUUCCCUUCAGAUAUCCUACAAACAUGUACAAUUCUGUCUGUGAGUCUAACAUCCUGGCAUCUUUGAGCACUACGCAGGUUGGACAUCCCCAAACCCUUAAAUAUUUUAGACUUGGCUUUCUAUCAUGCCACAAUUCAUAUGGAGUUUUCAAUGCUGCCUUAGUUAGCACAUCAUUCAGAAUAUAACAAGUUCAUUGUAUUGCAUAUCCCGAAAAAGAGAUAUGUAACUUCGAAUAACUUAGCAUCAAACGUACCAUGCUAACUACGUUCGGUUCCUUCUCUCUACCACACCAUUCUGUUGUGGAUUGCCUAGCAUGGUUAGCAAGGAUAGAAUCAUAUUCUUUAUUGGGUACCAUAAGAACUCAUUAGAUAAAUAUUCCCCACCUCGAUCUGACUGAAGUGCCUUUAUGGGUAAACCUAGUUGUUUCUUCACUUUUGCAUGAAACUCUUUGAAUUUAACAAGGGUUCCACUCUUGUAGUGCAUUAAGUAUACAUUCCCAUAUCUAGAAUAGUCAUCAAGAAAGGUUACAUAAUACUCGUAACCACCUUUUGCACUAAUGCUCAUGGGUCCACAUACAUCAAUGUGCACAAGUUCUAGAGGUUUUUUGGUCCUUAUUCCUUUUUGCAUUAAAAGAUCACUUAGUCAUCUUACCUUCCUAACAAGAUUCACAUUGAGGAAGAUUAAUUUCUUUAAGUGAACUUAAGAUGUUGUCUUCCACAAGUCUAGUGAUUCUUUCUCGGUUAAUAUGGCCAAGUUUCAAAUGUCAAAGGUAAGCCUUAUUAGAUUGAGAAUUUUUAAGUCUUUUAUUCGAUAUUUCAGCCUCAAGCAAUGUGUACAUCUUUGGUUUGAUAAAAUAGAAAUUAUUUGACAUCCACCCAUUACAAAUAAGAUUGUGAUUUCUAAAUAUUGCAAUUCCAUUAUUAAAUUUCACAAUCAAGCUGCAACAGAAAUUAAGUUUCUUUUAAAAGUUGGUACAUAGAAAACAUCUCUUAAAAUAAUCUUCCUAAAAUUAUCAAAAUAAAUAUGUACAUUUCUCACUACUUCAGCUGCCACACUGGUCUUGUUCUCGGCCCGCAACAAUAAAUUCUUAUCUGUUAGAUCUUUUAUCUCUUCGAACCCCUGUAGAGAAACACAAAUACAAUUAAUGGCUCUCGAAUCAAUGACUUAGUGGUCUGUCGAAUCAUCCAUUAAACAAGCUUCUAUCAUAGAGAGUUUCAUAUAUUUUCUUUUGGUGGUUAGUUAUUCCUUUCACUCUCUACAAUUUGCCUUGAAGAGCCUUUUCUUACAGCAGAAGAAGCAUUUAGACUUAGCUAACUCUUUAGGCUUACUGGUUUUCUUCCUUUCCACCUUUGGUAACUUAGAGACAUUAGCCUUGUGUUUCUUAGCACACUUUUCCUUCCCUUUUGAGGAAGAAGUGACAACUAUGUUUCCUUCUGUUCUUCAGACCAGCUGACCACCAUUUAACUUCAACUCAUAGGAUUGUAAAUCUUUUAUGAGUUGUGGAAGUAUCAGGUUUUUGUUGCAAGGGUUAUAUGCUAUCUAAUAGUCAAUAAAAUACUUGGAAAAACUCUUGAAACCAUCUCAAUUUGAGUGUUUUGGUCCAAAUUGGCCUCAUUGUCGGCAGCCUCAGCAAAGUAUCCCAUAAGAGUAAUCAUAUAAUCUUUGACUAGAGUGUCGGGUUUUUGUUGGGCAUUCAUCAAACUAGUUAUAGUAGACUAUCGAGCUAAGGAAACUUGGCCUCUCAACAUGUCUUCUAGCUUAUCCAAAACUACUUUGGCAUUCUUACAGAUCUCUAGUUGCUUAUAUAAGGUGCUGGUCAUGCUUGUCUUCAUAUAACAAUGAGCUGUGUUAUCAGACUCCUCCUAGCGUUUUCUAGCCUCAACUUGAAUAGUCGGUAGGUACUUAUUAUCAAGAAUUGUUUUAAGUUUAUCAUAUCUUAAGAAAAUUAUCAAGUUUUUUUUCAUUCCUUAUAGCUAUUUUUGUUCAGUUUGUUUUUAGUGAGUAUAUUCAAUAAGGGAGUAAGUGCCAUUUUCGAAAUGAAAAUAAAACAUUCAUAUAUUAAUAUAGUUGUAUUAAACAAAUGUUUGAAAACAUUUUGCAACAUUACGAUAUGUAUUAAGAUGAUGCAUACGUCUUACAUUAAACCUUAAAUAUAUUUGUAAGCCAUUGCAACGAUAAUUCCUACUCCCAUUAAAUAAAGCCACUUUUGGGUGAUCAUGAUCAACUAGUAAGAACAUGGAUUUCCAUUCGAUUAGUACAUAAACCUAAUUCCUUAGGUGUUCACACGUACUAAUAAUUGUGUAAUGUUUGACCAUCAUUCUAACUUAAGUAUAGCCCUUUAGGGAGUUACUUAACUAGAUGAUCUUGAGUAUAUAACCAUCAACUCAACACCUAUCGCAUAAUGCACCACAAACAAUUUAUCUUGGGACAAUCUCACCUAGUAGCAUGCUGUGACUAGUUUUCCUCUUUGAAGACAGAAUUUCUUAAUGUUUUGCAUGAUAAUACCUACCAUAAAGGCCGAUCCAACUAUCAUACGAUUAUAAGAAAAUUUUGCUUACUUUCAGGAAAUCUCCACAAUGAGAUCUACGUGACAACAUCCAUCUUAGGGCAGGUUGUUUCAUGCCAUCACAAGAGACAAUUGAUGAAGGCCGUAGGCAUAAUUCUAGCCUACAAAAAUAAUAAAAUUAUAACAUGCACCCCAAAGCAUAAUUUGGGUCUUUAAUUUUUCGCCAUGGUCUUUUGCUGCGGUAUUGGUUGACUUUUCCUUCGUUACUGUCUUUUCUUCAUCGUUUCCAUUCCACUGCCACUGUCGGGCUGUCAAAGACCACCAUCGCCAGACCACCAUUGGCUCCACUGGGUCAGGUUUCUUUCAUCUUGUUUUUGGGUUUUGUUGGGAAAGAAUUUUACAAAAAAUUAUAUUUUCAUUUUUGGCUCACAUAUUUUAUUCUAAAUAAAUAAAUAAUAAAAUAAAACCCUAUGUGGAGAUUAUAGUCCACGAUGUAUAAUAUACAUGCCCGAAAAACAAAUUAAAUUACAAAUACAUUUCUAAGAAUCAUAAUUUGGCGAAAUUACUUUACCAUCCAUAGCAAUAAAAUAAUGAUAUAUAUCCACUCACAUACAUUCUGCUAAACAUGCAAAUAAUUACAAGAAUAUCAGAUCUUAUCAAAUAUUAAUCAAACAAGAUGAAGAGAGAGAUUCGGUCUUGGUUAAUAAUAGGAACACAGUGCAACCUGGCACUUUCAUACCAAUUAUUAGAAAAAAAACUCUAAAUUGAAAGCAAUUUUCUUGCAUAUCAACAAAUUAAAAUUUUGAAAAUCAGCCUGAUUUGUGAUAUUCAAAGCAAUAAACCUUAGACCGAAAUCGUACCUGUAUUUUUGGAUAAGCGGAUCAUUGAUUUUUUCAGUUUUCAACUAAACGAUCUUCUCCACUAUUCUCGUAUCACGAACUCCUUUGAGUGUGGGCUCAAACAGAUUGAAUCAAAACACAGAACUAGAAAAAGUUUUAUUUUCUGUUUUGGGGUGAAAAACGAAAAAUUGCUAUUAUUUAUUAGAAACUAAUGAAAUCGUUAUUCUACAAAAAUAUAUUUAAUAGUUGAGAAUAAAUUCUCUCUAUUUUUCGAUAGAGUAACAAUCUCUCAAAGUUGUGUAAAUAGCUCUAUCAGUGCUAUCUAUUUACAUGAAGAGAAAAUAGAAUCCUUGUUGAAUUGUAGAGGUUUAUUUGAAAUAGAAAAAUAAAUUCCUACUUAGAGUGGAAGUAUGGUGGACAACACACCCUACCAUUCCUAGUAGGGUUGCUGCCCGCCUUCAUGUUACAUGGUCAGAUUUUAGGCCUAUCUCAUAUCGAGUCCAAUUACAAGUAUUUUCUAGAUUUUUUGACCCAAUACUUUGUAAUUUGGUCCAUCCCAAUUCUAUUUUUCUAUUUCCUAAAAUAAACUUUAAUAUAUAUUAAAUAAUUUUUUCAUCCCAAUUUUACCACCGGUAAAAUUAUGACAAUUUUACACUUGAUAAAAUUUAUUAAAAAAUUAUAUUUUUAAUAUUUCUCUACUCAACAUGUUCACUAUGAAUGAAUUAUUUAUUUUCAUUUUUGGGCUUUAAAAUAGCUCAAAAACGUAAACUCAUUCUUCCGACCAUUUUUUAAUAAUCCAUGUAUAGUUGCAAAUGAAUCAUUUCUCAGUUUCAUUUUCAUUUCCAUUUCAAUUUCCAUUUUGAUAAAACCACAUUCAUUUCCAAAUGAUUCCAUUUCUCCAUUUCGGAGAAAACCAUAAUAAUUUUUGAAUUUUUUAAAUUUCUCUAUUUCUAUUCAUUCUAUUCAUGUAAUGCCCCAAAAAUCUCUUAUAUAUUUAUUUAUUUUCGUAUGUUUGUGCCAUAAAUAUAUGUCUGCUUCAGUGGUUAAGUGUUCUGGGAAGUGUCUGAGAGGUCUCAAGUUCAAGCCUUAGCUUUGGCAAAUUUUUGUUUUUAAAUGAAUAAACCCCUAUCUCUAAUCAGUAAACUUAUUAAUAAAUGUUGGUAAAAUACGUUAGAAUGGGCCUGUUGGUCUAGUGGUUAAGUGGAGAGUUAAGGAGGUAGAGGUUUGGAGUUCGAAUCUCUACGCGAUCAAGGAGAUUUAUUUUUACUAUUGGUGUCGUGUGAGUGUUGUAGUUUGAUCGAAAUUCUGAGUAUUUGAGAAGUGUGGGGUUGUUGUGGCCGAUUUAAGGAGGCUAAUAAGGGUGAUUUCAGUUGUUGAGGGGAUUGUGGUGGGUGAGUAGUGAGGAUUUUGAUGAGAGAUUUUAGGGAUUGUGGAUUGAGAGGAGUGUUGUGGAGGAUAUGGGCAUUAUCUUGAGGAAUUUUAGCCAAAAUAGAAUUUUUAGCUGAAAUUUUUUUUCCUCCUUUCUUUUUGUGUUUUGCCAAUUUUCUACUCUCCAUCUUUUCUUUCUCGUUUUAUGUUAGCCAAAAAAUCCCCACUUGUUGCCCUUUUUUUUUCAAAAUUCGGUUCCCCUUUUCUGUUCCCAAAUUUUUUACGCUACUUUCCUUUCUCCUCAAGCCGGCCGUGUGUCAUCUUGCUCUUCUUCUUGGCUGAAUAUUGCUAGGUGAGUUCUGUUUUGCCUUCUGCCCCCUUUCGGCCUUGCACUUCCCUUCCCAUCGUUUUCUUUUUCCUCUUCUCGUCGUCACGCCCUAGUUUUGCCUUUUUUCAGUCUUUGAUUCCCCUUUUCGAUCCGUUCUCUCUUGCGUUGCCAAAUUGCACUCUGCUCUAUCGUCAGUAGGGUAAGUGAUUUAGUUGUUUUGUUGUCUCGUUUUAUAAGAUACUAAAUGAAGGGUUGUGUUUGAUCGGUAAGUAUGAUUUAAUUGAAGUUUGCAGUGAAAUUUGAUUAAAGGUUUAACGAAAAGUUUUUGUGACUCUCGUUUUAGGUGGAGGCGAAGAGUUGGUUGGUGCGUCUUCAAGGAACUAAGGGAACGAUUUUGGUUGUUUUCGGUAAGGGGGUUUCAAUUGUUAAUCGAUUUUUAACUUCGUUAGGUUUUGAUUGAAUAACGAGUUAAGUAGUUGAUUAAAUAAUGUUUUGGGUUGAAUCUAGGUUUGGAGUACUCGGAGUGCAGUUUAACUUCAAAACAAAAUCAAGUGUGUAACAAUAACACUAUAAACGGGAAUCGACAAAAAGCCAAAAAGUGAGGCUGUCGAUGCCACACAGGCGUGUAGCCGUCCGUGUGGUAGGCCGUGUGAUCAAACACGAGCGUAUGAUUGACGAGGCUGGCCAUGUGCAAUACACGGGUCGGAUUGAAUUGGACCGUGUGGGCCUACACGGAUGAACCACACGAGCGUGUGGGAUUUUUGGGGCAAGCCAUGUGAUUCACACGACCAAGGCCAAUUUGGGCCAAGUGGGCCACAUGGGCGAACAUCAUGGGCUUAUAGGCCCAUUUUUAUUGUUUUAUUGCUAAGGUUCCACGGGUUGCCUGAGUCGAAUGUGGACCUACUGUAGGGUUCGUAAGCUUACCUAGACCUCUAACUGACUGAAAUAACUGUAUGACUGAUAUGAAUAAGUAUGAUGAUGUUCCACUGAUUUGAUACUGUAUGCCCUGAUCACAUUUAUGAUAUUAUGUUAUAGCAUGUCAUAUUUGUAUAUUGCAUUGCAUUGGGUUAGGGGUUUAUAUUUUUUGGAGGAAGUGUACUGAAAGGCUUAAAGCCUAAUUUUCUGUCAUCUCAAUUACAAACUACUGUUUAGUGCCCUAUUCGGUUCUUUUUGGAGUGCAGGGAUGGGUGGGUUGAUUAUGUCCCCACAUGGAGGUAGGGUUGGACAGAGUUGGAGUGUACAGGUUGGCUGGGUAGGAUUUGACACUGUAAAUCUGUUACUAUACUGAAUAUUGAUACUGUAAUAAGGCCCAAAUGCAUGACUGCUUCUGUAUUGUAAUGGGCUAAGGCCCUAACUAAAAUGAAACUUUACUGAAAUGGGCUUAGGCCCAAACUAUGAUUGCAUUCUAUUUGCUUGUUUUUAUGGGAAUUACACACUGAGUUUUCGUAAACUCACCAUUCUAUUUUAUCUGUACAGGUAAUUCCCAGACUUAGGCGAAUCGGUGUAGCAGAGGACUCAGUAGUGGCCACACGACUUAUUUCAUUCUAUUUAGUACUUAAUUAUGAUUUUGAUUUUAUUUUGGGGUAUUUUAUUGUAUCAUGGCCUCUUUGGAGUUUUAUUUAUUUAUUUUAAUUUAGGAUUUUUAUUUUUUUUGGUUUAUAACUGCUAGUGGUAGGAGGAAUAGAGUUUUAAUAAAGAAUCAAUCGUUUUAACAAAAUACACACAAAUACACAAACCGUUUUAAUAUCUUACGCAUAGAAUAAACGUUUUGAAACCUUUCGACUGAGUAAUUAACACGACUUCCGAAUUAGUAAGUAAUAAUGAAAAGUUUCUAAGUGGAAAAUGUUUUAAGCAAAGUUACGGUUUUCCAACACAAGCUACAGUUUUCAAACACACUAUCAUGUGACAUCACCAGAUUCGGCCAUAACGUCCAGGCUGGGUUUGGGGUGUUACAAUUCAUUUUGAUUCAAACAUGCAAUUCAUUUUCAGUUUCAAUGAGCUAGCGGAGGGAUCGAUUAGACACAUGUAUUUAGGGCUCAAAUUAUUUACAAUUAAAUUUAAAUUUUUCGCCUAUUAAUUAUAAACUUUUUUAUUCACGAUGUCAUUCUACUAUAGUAUCGUGGCUGAGGUCUCCUUAAUGACAAACCAUUAUGAAAGCAACUACUUAGUGCUCGUCCAAUGACCUUAUCAUAAGUGUUUUACCCUUAUAAGGUAUCAUUGAUCUUUUUGAGAAAAUAUCCGCUCUUCUAAUAUGACCCUAAUUCAUCUCAUAGUAACCAUUACAUCUACCUUCAUGAAAAAUCAUUUAAUAUGAAACAGUAAUCAGGUCAUCUAUCACAAAGACGAAUGACCUCUGCCCACCUUUACUUUUCAUCAACAAUAUAAUUCCAAUGGGACGAUAUCAUUUACCCAUGUCUCGGGCUAUGAAUUCCACUGUUGUGAAUGACGCUACGUACUGUAGAAGUCGUACACCAGUGCACUAGCUUUCGAUUCCUUACCUAUUCGAACUUAGGCUUUUACUUACAUCAAAGUGUAUGAGUUACGCAUACAUAGUUCAUCAUCCACUUAGGAUUUAGGUAUGUCACACUAUGAACAUUACAAGUGAAUAAAUCCAUAAAUGGAUUCAGAAUCUAUUUUGCUUGGGUCAUGUUUGGUUUGCUGCUAGUCCAGUCUGUCACAUCUAUGUCUCUAUCUUCUAGGAGUCAUCCGCUCUAAUGCCCAAGACAAAGUAUCUCCCCAAUUGGUCUUUAUAGACGAAAUAUUAGCCUUUCAAUCGGUUUUUUCUUUUCCAAUUAGACUAAGGACAUUUUUAGGUUAGUCUACUAAUACAAGUUGUCUUUUCGUAUCACGAUCAGACCACGUGAUACCACUCAGCAUUAGUUUAAACAUUAGACAACAAAUAAGCAACAUUUGUUUCCAUUUUUAUUUGUGUAAAAAAACCAUGUGAGGAAAAUUAUACAAAGUAUAUUAAUGUAAUCAAUGAAUUUUUUAACCAAUCUGUUCAAAAAAUUUAAAAAUGCACUUCGACGAAAUUACUACAUUUAAGGCUCAAGGUCUAACACUAACAACAAAAAAAUGUACCUAAAAACUACCUAGUGGUGAAGUAUUGAUAUCUUCUUUAUAGGUAUCAGUACCUCAUGGAUAAAUUGAUUAAUUGGUGAUUUUUUGGGCAUAGGUGUCGAUACCGCAUAACAAGCAUAGGUACAAUUGAUCGCGUGAUUUCGUGAUAGGUUUUAAAUAUUUAUAAUUAAUCGUUCUUGAAACUAACUAUUAUUGCGAUGUAGGCAAGUGUACCUGUCGAACAAUAGUAUAGUUUUAGCAAGACUAGAUUCUCAAACCCAAAGGAACUAAAAGUACUAGUAAUGACUGUCUUUUUAUUAUCUAGCCUAAGAAUAAAGAGGUUUUGUUUUAACUAACUAGUUAUCUAAACUAAGAACUCACAGAGAAUAGAAUUGGGGAAUUGCUUUUGGUAAAAUCAAUUGAAUUAGGACAAUACCUAAAGAAAAAUCCACCUAGACUGUACUUGUUAUUCUGGCUCCGAAUCGGAUAAUUUAUUCACUUAACUUGUUCCGUAGAGAUCCCUAAGUUAUGUUAUUAUCCUUAUUCAAGACUAAUAACGUCUAAUCCCUAGAUUCAAUAAUUGAGACCUUUCUCUCAUUAACACCUUAAGGUUGCAUUAACUCGAUCUAUGGAUCCCUUUAUUAGGUUUCACCCUAAUCCUGCAAAAUCUUGUCACCCUAUAUCUAGGCCCGCAAACAACUCUGAUGACAAAUGUACUCUUAGACAGGGUCUAUUCCUCCUCUGAAUAAGAGCUUAUCUUGAAUCAGUAUCUUGGGAUAUCAAAACAAGAAUUAAGAACACAUAAUUAAGAACAAGUUAAAUAUUUAUCAUACAAUUUAGAAAAUAAAAACAAGAUUCGUCUUAGGUUUCAUUCCCUUUAGGUAUUUAGGGGUUUUAGUUCAUAACUAAAUAAGAAAACAUCUCAGAAUUAUAAAGAAUACAAAACAUAAAGAAAACCCAAAACUCCUGAAGGGGAAAUUAAGGAGAGAUCUUCAGUCUUGAUGGUGAAUCAGGCUUCUGAGAUGGAUCAAUCGGCUUCCUUGGAGUAAUUUCUUACUCCCUAUUCUAUGUGCCCCAUUUUCUUCCUCCUCUAAGGUGUAUUUAUAGGCUUUGGAAUGCCUAAAAGCCCUCAAAAUUAGCCUUUUUUGAAUUAGACUCAACUUGGGCUCGGCAGGGACACGCCCAUGUGACACGCUCGUGUACGAUUACUUCAGGCCAUGGUCGAGCCUGCCAAAUUGACACGACCGUGUAGUCUGCUCGUGUGAGAAGGUCCAGGCCGUGUUGAUUUUGUACUUUAGCCCAUUUUCUCUAUUUUUGGCCCAUUUCUCGUUCCUUUCGCUCUCCUAUGCUCUCUUAUGUAUAAAGCAUGAAAUUAAUGUAUUAAGAACAUCAAAUUCAACAAUUCUAAUGGGAAAUCAUCCAAAAAAUGCAUUAAACAUGGGGUAAAAAUAUGUAUAAAUUACGAUUUAUCAACCACGCAUGAAAAUAUAAUAUGUGAUCGCGUGUUUCGUAACAAGUAAUAAAUAUUUAUAAUGAAGAUCAAACCUAGACUAACAAUUAUCAUGACGAAAAGGCAAGCACACCUAUCGAACAAUAGUAUAGUAAUGGCAGGACCGGGAUAUCGUACCCAAGGGAACCAAAAGUACUAGUAAUAACUAUCUUUUUAUUAUCUAGCGUAAGAAUAAAAUGGGACACCAAUAAGGAAAGGUCAGUUCAGCGCGUAAAGCAAACCGAACCGAAAGAAGAAAGACUUUUUGGAAAGUUAGUCGCCUCUAUCACCCAAGGAGGAAUCCACCUAUCUAACUCUGAACCAGACGAUUUAUUCACUUGACUUGAUCCGUGAGAUUCCCUAACUUAUGUUAUUAUCCCUUUCGAGACUAAUAAUGUCUAACCCUCAGUUGAAUUAAUCGAAAUUUCUUUCUUAAUUAAAACCCCUAGGGAAGCAUUAAAUCGCUCUAUGGACUCCCAUAUUAGGUUUCACCCUAAUCCGGUAAAAUCUCGUAACCCUAUUUCUAGACAUUCGAUCAAAUCUGCUUAAUUCUGCCAAAUCUACUCUUAGGAAGUGUGUAUUCCUCCUCUGCAUAAGCACAUCAAAUCAUGAAUUAAUACCUGGAAUAUUAACUCAAGCAUUAAGAACACAUAAUUAAGAACAAAUGAAGUAUUUAUCAUACAGUUCAGAUAAUAAUAACAAGAUUCAUCAUAUGUUUUAUCCUCCUUAGGUAUCUAAGGGGUUUAGUUCAUAAUAAAAUAAGAGUACAUCUCAAAAGUAUAAAAAUAACAAAACAUGAAGAAAACUCUAAAACCCCUGAAGGAAUUUGAGAGAGAUCUUCAGUCUUGGAGUAGCUCCAGCUUUUGGGAUGGAUCAUCUGGCUUUCUUCAAGUAAUUCCUGACGUGUGGUUCUGUAUUCCAGAAAAGUUCUAGAAGAGACCCCUUUUUUAGGUCAUACUUAGGGUGUUUAUAUAAGCUUUGAAUUGGCUUUCUUCCUCCCUAAGUACCAUUUUCCAUGUAAAAUACAACACUUUGAAAAAGGGACACACCUGUCUGACGUGUUUGCCAGGCCAUGUUUGAUCUGUUAAAUUGCACACGACCGUGUGGGUCAAUGGCCAGGCCGUGUGAAUCGUGAGAGCCUUGGUCGACACCCUCGAAAGACACGGGCGUGUGAGUAGCCCGUAUGGCAAGCCUUAAGCCGUGUGAUCUUCUCGAUUUGGUCCGUUUUGUCCCUUUUUAGCUCGUUUUUGGGUUCUUUUGACUCUUGGUGCUUUCCUGAGUACAAAACGUGAAAUAACUGGAUUAAGAGCACCAAAAUCCACAAAUCUAGUAGUAAACAUCCAUAAAUAUGCUAAGUAUUUGGGGUAAAACUAUGUAUAAUUUGGCGUUUAUCAAAUACCCCUACACUUAAGCAUUUUCUUGUCCUCAAGCAAAGUUCUCAUUUAUUGCUAGAAUUCAUUCCUUUCAAUCGCAUAAGCAUUACUAAUAAUGUUACAAAUUAUUCCACGAAAAAUCAUACAGUGAGAAUUCAACUAUAGGGGCUUUAAAAAACCUCAAACAAUCUAAGUCGAAUACUUUGAUAACAAAAUUAUAGGUAAUCUCCUUCCUUCAAGUAAUUAACUUUAGUCCUAAAUAUACAAGAGAUGGCAUCCUCACUAAAGAUUCACUCAAACCACUCAAAGUGUUUAAGGUUCAAGAUUAAGCACUCGAUUGUCUAACAUGAAAAGUUAUUACCAUAGGCUUGCAGGAAAAUCAAAUAUUCACCACUUGUAAAUGAUAUGAUACACUAAUCGAAAGGUCUUUGCAUGUUUGUAAUGGAGUUUAGGUUACAGGUAUGGAUAAAAGCUGAAGAGACAAGGGUUAGAAUCGGGAUAAUUUCAAUAUAUUACCCCACUAUCAAAAACUUAAUUACUGAACCACAAACAAAUAUCUAGAACUAUUUUACAUGAGUUCAUGACAACUUUAGCUUGUUGAGAAUUACAAUAAUAAUACUGAGUUUUUUUUUUAAAAACUAAUCAAGUCAAUACAAUAUAGAAAUCAUACUUCAUGAUUCAGUAACAAAAAAUGGUGAACAUAGUGAGGUAACAAUAUUAAAAUUAACCUCGAUAAAAAAAAUUAAUUAAGAAAGAGGAUUUCAACAAUAACAGCUUAAUGGGUUAAUGAUGAAGGUUAAUCAAUAAAAAAAAUUAGUAGGCUCAAAGGGGGUUCACUAAGGGUUUAAUUAUGUGGCAAGGCUUUUAUGGAGUAAAUGGGUUAAAUUCUAAGUGCCUUUAUCAUCUCAAUGUAUCAAAUCAUACGUGUGAUCUCGACAUGUAUAGUCGAAGCAAGUUCUAGAAUAACAGUUCAAUGUUGACACACUCAAACCACAAAAGAAGUGAGCAAGAAAGAAAGCUAUAUGCUCAAUAAAAAAUCUCACCAAAAAUUUGGGUUUUUGAUGUCAUUCCCAUUAUACUUAAGAUUUCAA
rnacentral:lncRNA from 1 species